UGCAUGAAGCUAUUGCUUUCUCUGUUUUCAUUGGCUUUGUUUUGCGAUUUCAGCAUUUACUCUCCCCACUCCAUCUCCAAUGUUGUUUAACUACUGCAGCCAAACAGAAAAAUACAAAAACAGGGCCAGGAACCUCGGGGCUUCUCAUCCAAAAUUGCUUGACUAAGACGUUCUCUAAUUAUGGACCUCCGUCAUCUUCUUUCAAAUAAAAUGUGUCGACCAGAUCCACAUUAAAAUCAUCACAUGUAACAACCAAUUAUAGAAAAAAUAAAUAUAUUAUAUUAUAUUACAUUACAUAACUAUGUAACCACCGAUUAAGCUCCAAAACUAUCUUUCAUAAACAGGAAACUCUUAAAGAAAAUCAUAUUUAGUAGAAAUAUGCUAACCAAUUUAUUUAUGCAAACAUGUUAAUGGAUAGCUGACCAUUGUAGAUUCCCAUUUACUUACUAAUAUAGUUGUAAUGGUUUUUUCCUUUACUUUCGCCGCAUGUACACAAAAAUAAGUUUGUUCAUUGAAUUAUUUUCCUACUAUAUAAAUAAUUGUUACUCAAACAUUACGAAAACCCAUUUGAGUUGAACAAUAGAUGUUGUCAAUGAUCCGAAUAUUAUAAAACAUAGCCAACCGUCAACCAAAAGAACCUCUUUGAUGUUAAGCGUUCAUGACCAUCAACAAAUUUUAAUUACGGAUAUAGGAAGCUAUACUUUAUAACAUUAGCAUAACAUAAAAUAGAUCCAAAAAGUAAUAUCACAAAUAAACAACAAUCCGCCAUACGGGCGGACAAACCCCUAGUUAUUUAUAAUUGUUAUCAACAGUUAACAAACACACAAUUCACAAACAUAUCUUAUUUGCGGAUGGUAACAACAAAGCUAAUCAAACCUUUUAUAAAACAAUUAGUCUAAACACCUUAUUGAUAAUUGAAUAAACACAAGAGAAAUGGCUUGAAAUAUCAUAAUUUGGCUAUCACUUUACAAAAACACUCUAGUAUUUAGGUUUAUGUUUACUGGUUAUUGUUUAGGGUUCAGUAUUUAAGGGGAUUAUAAAAUUCUUUAAGUGUUUUAUAAAUUAUUAUUAAAUAUUUAUAAAUGAUUUAGAAAAUUUAAUGUAUUAAAAAAUUUGUGGUAUAAAACUACAUUUUAAAGAUACUAAAACCAUAUCUUAUCUAUCAAAAUGGAAAUGUUUCAUGUGUCAUUUUUAAAGUGAACAGUAUUUGAGAAAAAAUCUUAUAAAACAACCAAAUCCUAGAAUUUUAGGGGGUGAUUGGUAGUUGCUGUAGGUGUUGUCCACAGUCCUAUUUAUUUCUAAAGCACCAAAUUCAGAGCAAUCAAACUUUAAAUUUUUUUUUGAAACCACAGCUCUUGAAAUAACCUACAGCUGUACAAAUGCUCUGCGGAGCCAAAUAUCCAAAGCAAUUUUUUAGUGCUUUCCAUAAAAUUCUACAGCAGUAAAAUCUAAAGCCACAGCAAAAAGUCUACAGAUUUUUUUCUACAGCAAAAAUUUUAAAGCUACAGCCCUUACCAAUCAGACCCAUAGAAAAUAUUUAUUUUAAUUAUUAUAUUCUAUAUAUUUCUGAAUUUAGUACAAUACAAAUACUUUUUAAUAAACAUAUCAAUUUUUCUAAACCUUACAAAUAUUCACAUGUAACAUUAUUGAUAUUCCUAUAACAGCUAAAUUUUCUUAAAAUUUUUAUCAUAAACUUAUAUCAACUGAUAUAAUUUAUUAGGCCUGGGCGUUCGGGUCUUCGGGUCGGGUUCGGGCCGGUUCUUUUCGGGUCCGGGUCGUUUCGGAUCCUAAAUAUUUAGAUUCAAUAGGUACUUAAAAAAUUUCGGUUUGGGAUCGGGUCGGUUCUUCUCGGGUCCGGGUCGGUUCGGGUAUAUAAUUAAAAUACCCAUAAAAUACCCGUAAUUUUUCGGGUCCAUAUCGGGUCCGGGUCGGGUUCGGAUAUUUAGGAUCUGAAAAGGACAUGAUAUACCCAAUUCCAUCAACUUUAGUUGAAUAUUUGUCAUAUAUAUCUAAAAUUUUACAAAACGACUUAAAUGAAACUAUUAAUAAUUAAAAUAAAAUAUUUUAAAACUCUAAAUUUUACAUUUUAAAGCUUUAUAUUACUUUAAAAAUGUUAAAAAAUAAUAACAAAUGUUGUUAACAAAAGAUAUUUCAACUAAAUCAUAAAAUAAUAUAUAUAAAAUAGAACACAAAAACAUCAUAGUUUUAGAUAUACAUGUUUUUAAGUCGGGUACAAAUCGGUUCUUAUCGGGUCGGGUCUAUUCGGGUCGGUUCUUUUCGGGUCCGGGUCUAUUCGGGUCGGUUCCUUUUCGGUUCCGGUUCUUUCGGAUAAAAAAAAUUUAGACCCAAAAGGUACUUGUAAAUUUUCGGUCCGGUUCCGGGUCGGGUAUUUUUGGGUCGGUUCCGGUUCGGGUCUUCGGGUCCAGGUUAAAAUGCCCAGGCCUAUAAUUUAUAUUCCAUGAAAAAAGUCAUGUUAUUUUAGGUAUUUAUUUAAACAUCAUAAAUUUUCAGAUUUAAUACAAUACAAAUAUUUCUAUAGAAAGCCAAAAGAAUAUAUAUACAUAUAUUUUCUAAAAUUAUUGAAGCUGUUGUAAAUGAAGUGUUGGGGAAAUACUUCUGUUAUCAUUACUGUCGACCAGAAGGUCCAUAUAUAUACAAGGUAUUAGACCGUCAUAAGGUCAUGUUUAUCCUAACAAGAUAAGGAUAAGGAUAAACACUAUGUUACAGAUAUACAUGGAAUAUAUACUAGAUAAACACAUAGUCUCUGGUUGUCUUUAUCAUGUCCCGGAUUGGGCCUGCAGUACGGGCUGGUCCAUGGUCGAUCAUCAUUUGGUUUAUAACACUCACCCUAGAUCGACACAUCCUGUACAGGUUCGUUGCAUGCUUAAUGCUGAUGUUGCCUCAUUAAAACCUCUCUUGACAAACCCAAAACCCAAUGUGGUAAAAGGGAAAACAAGACAGGAAAAAGAGUACAACACAUGAACUCCCCCUGAUGAAUGCAUCACUGUAGUAGACGCAUUCCCAUCUGGUAUCCGAGUCUUCUUGAACGUUGAAGUUGCCUAUGACUUGGUGAAGAUGAUCAGCUGGAUUCUCCUUGAAUGAACUUGUAAGUCUUGGACGUUGGUAUGUCUUUUGGAACUCCAUUAAGAUGUGGUCAGGAUGUACAUCUUUGCUGCUGAUCACUCCAUGUCUUGGUUUAACUGAUGGUGCUUCAAGGGUGCUCAGAUGGACUUCAUAAUCUGCAAUAAAACUUUACUUGCAGGUCUUUUUUCAUGUCCCACGGAUUAUCUUUGGUUAUAUGGCUUUCCCAAAACGUGGACAUUCAAUAUAUAUUGAGUCAUAGACCCAGAACACAUACGAACAACUUUACUUCAUAUCUUUCGUUCAUUCGGACUUAUAUCUCUUCGUAUGUGCCAAUGGCUUUAUCCAUUGUAACCAAUCAUUCUUUAUUUUCUUUUGUCGAUCCAUGUUGAGCUAUAGACCUUGUCUAUAUUCGUUCAUAAUCAUGAGUGUCUAAGGUCAUACCAUCAAUAAUUAUUUGCUGCAAUGAAACUCAUCACACAAUGAAUUCGCAGUCAUACACUCAUGUCCUUUGUACAUGGUUAUCGAUCUUUUCUUGCUUUAGCAAUGCUUAUAAUCAUUAAGCCACGACCAGACAUCCUUCUGGUCACUAUCCUGGUUUAUGGUUCUCACUUAGACAUGCUGACUUAAUCAUACACACACACACGGCUAUGAUUUUUCUACAGACUUUCCAUAUGUAAAACAUAGCCUGUUUAAUCAAUCGAUAACUUGUAUUAUUGAACCUUUGAACCAUUAAACCUUUUUCUCUCAGUUGGUCUUUAUUAUGAUCACAAGGAAUUAUAAUAUUUUCUGUAUGGACUGACUGCACUAAGUAAAUACUUAGUCUUUCAUAUUACUUACAGCUGCUGUAUAUUACAAUCCAUAAACAACUUAGGAACAAAGCUUGUUCUAUGAGAAUUUCUUUCUCAUAUUUCUAUGGUACGUUGAUACCUUUAUCCAGUGAUCCAUUUGCUGCUUACUACACCAUUAUUUCUUUAGUAAAUAUCCAGACAAAAUCAAACUUGAUUUUCUGUAGUAGCAUCCACCAUAUAGGAGCAUAUCUCUUUAUAAAUUGUUCCUUGGUCCUUGUGAGUAUCCUUGUGUAAUCAAGCUAUACUUGAACGUUAUUUAGAAGGAACAUGGACACACUAUACCAUGUGGUCAUGUCCUUUAAUCUCACGGAAUUUCUUAUCUCACAAGAUCCAUUCACUGGUUUCUUUCUUAGAUGGCUUUUCUGUAUGUACAUGGUUACUACGCCCAUCUGUCUUAUAAUUACUUUGAAUUCUUUGAACACCCCACGUCCCUAUAUAGGUUUUAUGAGUACUCUACGUGGGUUCAUGAUCCUCAGGUUAUAUCCUUCAAAUCCCAAGUACUACAAUCUUUUAUGAGCUCUUAUGUAUGUAAAUACAUCUUUGGUGUUAACACUCUUUAUCUUUAGUUUCAUACUGUUCCAGACAUGAUCUAAUUAGAUUUUGAGAUCUUAUUAUCCAAGACCUUUAUACCUUGCAGUUUGGCGUCCCAAACUACAUGGUCUGGUACCUUAGAUGUGUGGUUGCGCAACCUUAUUUCUCUGUCUGAACUGGUUUCUCUUAUGAACUCGGAUUUGUACGAUUCUGAGCACCUUUCAUUACUUUCCGAGGUUCCUUAUUAUUUGGAACUUAUUUGUCUAUCUCUAAUAGACAUUGUAGCAACUUGAUUGUGUCUCUUAGACAUCUAAUUCGUGGUGCUUAAGCUGGUAUGACAUAGUCAUUUUUUCUUUUCGGGUCAGUGUGUCUGGCAUAUAUUUCUGCUAGCUUUUAUAUCUUUUGAUCAUAUUCUUUUAGAACGUCUAGAUCAUAAUCUUUGGUCUGAGGAUCUUGCCAAGACAACUAUGGUUGAUACCAUUAUAUUUCUCUUUUACUCUUUACUCUUUAUCAGCCUGAUAACUUUCUCCUUUCAAAGUUGGAUAAUCAGAUUACUAUCUUUUGUAAUCUGUGUUCUUGGCCACUUGAUUAAAUCAUCCAUGUUUGGCACAAGAUACAUUUUAGUUUCGUGGAGGAAUUCUUAUUUAUCUAAUAUAUAUUCCCAAUCCUCAUCUGAGGUUCCAUCUUAAAUGGCACACAUAUAUGUGGUGGAAUAUUCGUAUUUUCUUAAGAUGGUUUGUGUAUAUGUCUGGUUUAUGACCCUUAAUCAUUCAGAGGUGGGAAUGUCUAUGCUUACAUGUAUGGCCUGAUGUAAAUCAAUAUUUAUAUACAUAAUGUCCUUAAGCUUUAGGCUGGACGUGGGUGAUGUACCAUUAGUGAGAGCUUUAAAGCUUUCCAGCCGUGUAUAUUAUGGUUGUAAACCAUGGAAUCCGAAUUUAUGAUAUGAUCAUGGACUGUGGGUUUUAGUCCUCUCUCCCCCUCAUGAACAUACUCAUAAUUUCGUAGUGCUUAGGACAGUGGAGCCUUAAUUAUUUUAGUGAUUUUCCCUUUUGUGUACUUAUAACACAUUGUGAGAUUUUAUGGGAUCACUUUUGUGCCUUAAUUAAUUUUUCAUCAUGUUUUGGAUCAAGAUGGCUAAUCUGGUCAUGCCAUAAGUGUUUAUUUCGUGGUGAACCAUACUGGUUACCAUGGCUUUAUGCCUCUUUCAUACUGAUCCUUUGCAUAGAAUAAAUCAGUAGAAAAUAUGGGUAUAGGCAUUCACAAUGCUUUUAGGCGAUUUUUCAAAAAUCUGAAAGGAAUCGUAUUUUCUUUGCUCACUGGUUCAAUGUAGAAUGUUGUAAAUCUUUGUAACUCAAUGGGUCUGAAUAAUGUCGUGUCUUUUGCCAUUGUCAGUACCAAUUAAUUGAUUUCAAGUGAUUGUAGGAAGGUAAAGUUGAACCUAUACAAUCAAGAUGAAGUUAAAUCUAUGCGAGAAAUCAAUCUAUCAGUGAACUAACUCAUUAGUCUACACCCAACAAUUCAUUUUAUGUGAUUGCAGGAAGGUAAAGUUAAACCUAUACAAUCAAGGUAAAGUUAAACCAUGCAUGAAAUCAACUAUCAGUGGACUGAUUAUCCUUUUAUUAAGGUUUUGUUUGUUAUUUAAUCAAGAAUCAUCAAGCAAGACGAAGCAAGAUAAUAUAUAAAAACAAAAUCGUUUUUAUUAUUUCAAUAACAUAAAUGAAUAACAAAUAAAUCAAAUCAGAUAUGAAAACAUAAAAUCAGAAUGUCGGAAAAUUAUUCAAAACAGGUCUUAAUCAAGUAAUCUUUUUGAAAUUUUUCAUGCUUCAUAUCAAUGCCACACACGGACCAAAAGAAAUUUUUUUCUCUAAAUGAUGCAUUUUCUUAAAACCAUACGGUUUAAGGUGUAGAUCAAUGUAUUUUUCAGAUUUAAGGUCCUCUUAUUUCAAACACAAGGUUUCAAGGCCUUUAGGGAUUCUAUCUUAGAUGAUCAGGAAAAUGUUCCAUAUUUUCUUCAUCCCAUUGGAUCGGAUCAUUUAGUAUAAUGAUUUUUUUUUUUUCAGUUCAGAUCAGAUUGCUUGAAAACUAUGAAUGAUCUAUAUCCCUAACAGUCGAGAUUUCAUGUUCAGUAUGCAAUAUUAGUAUGCAAACAAUAUGCAAUCAAGCAAACCAAUUCAAUCAUGAAAUCAGGUUAGGGUUUUCGAAAAAUAUACCAUAUAUUUAUUAUUAUAUUUAUUAUUAUUUUUUUUUUUUCGAAAAAUAAUCAAAUCAGAAAUUAUUGUGACUUAAAAAAAAUAAAUCAGGAAGAUUUGAUUUAUUCAAGCAAUUUAUUAUAUACUUUUCGAUUUAAAAAUAAAUAUAUUUUCUCAGAUAUAUCUCUGAUAUUUCGAUUUUAAAUAUUAAAAAAAAUAUUUUUUUCAAUCCUAAUCAAGUUCUAGUCGUUAUCAAUCAUCAGGAAAACAAAUUUCUCAGACAAGAACAGGAGGUAAAACCUCGGAUUAAUUUAUGAAACCAUGAUCAGAUUUUCAAAAAAAAUUAUGUAACAUGCAGUCCUUAACAGUUCUAGUUGAUUCAGAUCAGAUAAGAACAUUAAACAGGACAAUAAUGAUAAGUUUAAGCAAGUAACAGUCGGUUUCUUUCAACAUAUAGCAGUCAGAUUUUUAAAAAAAAUUGUUUAACUUUCAAUCCUAAACAGUUCUAAUGUGAAACUAUCAUCAGGAAAAGUUUUAAACAAUUUUAAAAUCAGUUUCAGAUUAAGAACAGGUUCAAAACAAGUUCAGGUUCGAGAUUUUAAAGAGUUUAUGGUUUCUGGUUUUAUUUUAUUUGCAGAGACAUGUUGCUAAAUAUAGCUACAUGGCUGCGGAUGGGGGUAUUUAAUACUUUUAUGGGUUUUAGAUGAGUUUUCGAUGAUACCUGAAAACUUUUGAUGGGUUGAUCGGUCUAUCAGUUAGAGAUCUUCCUGGUUAGCUGAUGGAUUGCUCGAAAUUAUUGUUUUUGUUGCUGCUUGUUGGAAUAGGAGACUGGUACAUGGUUGAGAGAGAUUUUGGUUUCUGGAACAAAUUUUCCGCCUGUAUUGUAGCUGAGCGUGGGGGCGCGUCCGAACUCUGAUUGAUGCGGGGUUAGCGGCGUUGGCUUCGUCUCGUCAAAAGCUUUAAUUUGGUAUCUGGCUCGUCGUCUGGAUCCACCGGAGUUGAGGGAUAGAGCUGUUUGAAGUUUGUCGGGAAUUAGGGUUUUUACUGCUCGGAUUUAUUUCUGGUUUUUAGGGUUAGGGUUUAUGAGAGCAACGUCGUGCUGAUAACGUGUUGUAAAUGAAGUGUUGGGGAAAUACUUCUGUUAUCAUUACUGUCGACCAGAAGGUCCAUAUAUAUACAAGGUAUUAGACCGUCAUAAGGUCAUGUUUAUCCUAACAAGAUAAUGAUAAGGAUAAACACUACGUUACAGAUAUACAUGGAAUAUAUACUAGAUAAACACAGUCUCUGGUUGUCUUUAUCAUGUCCCGGAUUGGGCAUGCUGUACGGGCUCGUCCAUGGUCGAUCAUCAUUUGGUUCAUAACGGAAGCUGAAUUUUCUAUGUAUAGAUUUUCUACACUGUUAACUAGAAACUCGAAACGUCUGGUAAAGAAUCUUCAAUACGUUUUAAUGGUGUCCAUACUACUUUUUGUUUGAAUAAUAGAGAAUAAACAUUUGUUUGAUGUAAAAAGAUUAAAAAAAAAACAUUUCGCUUAAUCUUCAAAGUUCAAACUAUAAAAUCACCUUAUCCCUAAAAUGUAAAGCACCUCCUCCAUUUAUAAAACAUCAGUAAAUACUUGCAAUCAAGGAAACAAUCCAUUUAGUUUUAAUAGUUCAUCCGAAGAUAAUAACAUAUCUCAAAGAUGUGCUGUUGAUGGAGAGAAUGAAACUAAUACUAGCUGUUGAAACUGUAAGUACAGAUUUAUCAUAAACUAUACUGUUAUCCUUCAGUUUUCUAUAGUAGACUUGUAGUGUUUUGGAGUCAAACCAAAAAACGCAGGUCUGGAGUCAAACGAGAAAACGCCGGUCUUACGGGCACUUAAGUUAUCUUUUUUCUUUUCUUCCCUAACACCUUCCUUUUACUAAUUUUCAACUGAUGAUCUAACCAAAUAGAGAGAAGAACAUUUUCAAACCAGAAAAGCUAUGAUAAGUUUUUUUAAAAUGUAGCAUAAACAUGAAACUUGUCAACUGCACUGGAGAAGACGAGAAACAUAUCAUAUAAAAGUAAAUGAGAAAAGAAAAACAGAAAGAUGGGUCUCUGAGUUUAUGAGGGAGGAGGAAUGGAAUUGAUCUGUUUCUUCUUCCACUAUUGUUCUUCAAACUCGUGCAUGUGAUCUAGAAGAUAGUUAGCUGCAAGUUCUUCAUUCUUGUUGCACGCAAAGAACACCUCCAAGACCAUCGCACGAUCAAACCCCAUCGCUUCCAGCUGUGUACCCAGACAAACAAUAUCAAAAUCAAAUUUUCAAUACAAGACAGAAGAAGAAAAUCAGAUUUGAACACAAACGACUAGAAGAUGAAGAGCCUCCAUUGAAAUUGCCUACAAAUUCAAACAAAAGAGAGGAACAAACCCGUUCAAUGGCUUCACGCUCUUCAGGUGUGACGGUAACAGCUUGUGGCAUGGCUGCUUCCAACUGUUCCAUGGCGUUCCUGCAGGUUGUAUUUGUAAAAGUAAAUGAAAAAUCAGUCUUCGGGACAAACAAAUAAAUGAAAAUGUAUGUGAGAAUAAACUCACUCUUCUCCCUCGACCGGUUCAUUUAUCAAGCGUAGGAAGUCGGCCUGGUGCUCUUGAAUUAGACGCACAAGCUGCGGGUUUUGUUUACCGAGCUCCUGAAGCAUAGGCUGCAUAACAAAACGAUGUGAGCGGAAUAUGAUUGUGUGAUUAAAGCCUAUCAGGAACUGAACAGGAAUAGAUUAAAGUGUACCUGUAAAAUUUGUGGGUUCGCUUGUACCAUAGCUCGCAGGGCUUGGAACUGUAGCAUUGGUAAACAAAUUGUCAUUAUCAUAAGAGGAACGGAUUGAGGACUCACUUUACUCAAAACGGAGAGGAAUGUGAAGAUACCUGUUGACUGUUACGCAGGAAAUCAAGAUUACCAGCUCCAGCACCAGCGUCUGCUGCGGGCAUGCCCUGAGUGAAGACAGAUAAGAGUGAACUCAUAUAACAAAUCCAAACAAAUGGAAAAUAUAUUAAAAUAGGUUAAUUAUAUGCUACUGUGAGACUUAAAAAAAAACUCUACCUGAGGGAACAGGUCUAAUGGAUUUGCGUUUGGACCACCAGUUGCAGAAACUGGAGCAGCUUCUUGUGCUAGAGGAUUUGCUGCCUGUCCACCAGUAGCUGGGGCUUGAGGGGCUGGCGGGAUUUCAGCUUGAGAAGGGAUUCCCUGAAGUGUAUCAAAACCAAACAUCAACAGAUGGAUCAGAGGAUACUGUACUUAGGACAAACGAAAAGGUAAGUGAAAAAUAAUAAAGUGGAAUGAAGCAUACAGAGUAGAGAUAUUCAACAGCCCUUUCAGGGUUGUUAAAGGCGGCUCUCAGGGCUCGGACAACAGUGUCACGGUCCCAACUACCUCCACCCAUGUCAAGAAUUUGCUGGACAGUGGACUCCAGAGUAUUCCCAGCAACAAGGUUUGACGCUGCUUGACCAUACACAUCUGUUUGCGUCCUGUUCAAUUCCCCAGAAAAUAAAAGGAAACACAAGAUAUUUGAUAACCAAACAAUGGAAGACUAAAUACGAAAAAGAAUAUUUAGCAGUUAUGAUAUAAGUGCUUACGAAGCAGCAGCAGCACUAGGUGCUGCAACGGUUGCAGCUACACUUGUAGGCUCUGGACUGCAAAACGCAAGCAAUAAUACAAAGCGGCGCAUAUAGAGGGAUUCAUCAACAGAUUGGGUUAAACCAAAGCGAGAGGAAGGCAUGGAACUUACACUGAGACAGUUGGAGCAGCCACCUGUGGUGUAGCUACUGUCUGUGCAGGCUGAGCCUAAAAGAGCAAAGCAAUUCAAUUCAAUUAGCCGGAACAGAUUUUCUUUUUCACUUGCAAUUAGAGAGUCUUGAACACAAAAGUAAACCAUAGCCAAAUACAUAAAAAGAACUUUAUUAACCUGAGGUGCUGGUGCAGGCGCAGAGGCAGUUGAUGCCCCGCUUGAAGAAACCUUGGCCUAAGUCAAAAAAAAAAAAAAACAAUCGUACAACGAGUUAUCAUCCAGAAACUACUAGAACUACCAAAAACAUUAAAAAAAAAAAAAAUGAAAAAAGAUCAGACCUUAGACAACAUGAUGACAAUGAAACUGUUCUCGACAACGUUGUUCUCUUCCAAUGUAGUCUCAUCCUUGAGAACUUUUCCUUGGUGGAUUAGCAUCUGCUGAGCCGCCGGGUAUUGCGCACCUUGAUGAGUUUCUAUUCUUCUCUUAGUAUCAGAGAUCUGUCACAACCCCAAUUGUUAACCAAACGUACAUAUUGAGUCUUAUAUUGUAUGAAUCUAUAAAAACUUAUAAAGAAAAGAAACCCAGAAGGAUCCUAACUCUAAGUAAACUUUAGAGCAAACUUAGAUUCAAGUAAGAUCACGAAGACAAAGAUACUAUACACACUCAAGCCAUUAGUAUCAUGACUCACAAAGAAACCCUAAUUUUGAAUUCAAACGGAACCACGAAUCGCCACAAACGAAUUCUCAUCCCGAAACAACAGCUGAAUUUUAAAUCAGAGUCGUGAGAUUCACUAUUCCAAACCCAGUUCCACCAAGAUAAGAAUCAGACCCUCAUGAUUACAGGAACCCAAUCAGACCUAAUACCUAAUAAACAGUUAACGCGAGAGAGAUUCUCGAAUUGAGGAAUUAGGGUUACCGUAUCAGCCGGAUUCACUUCGAUCUCGAAGUUGGUCCCCUUGAGAGUCUUGACGAAGAUCUUCAUCGUUUGUUUAGGAGAAAACUUGAGAGAAGAGAGAAGCAAAAUUUAGAGAGAGACCGCUUUUGGGGCUCUCGAGUCGGCUUAUAUAUAUCCAACUAUUAACAAUUGUAAUUACUGAUCGCCUGCUCGCAAGCCUAUACUAGCUUUGGUGUGCAAAGAUCGUGUGGAGACUAAGAAACAGUCAUGAUUUCUGAUCCGUUGGAUUGUUAAGUGAGUAUGGAAUUAAGUGUAUGUGCGUACAGAUGAUUAUAGUCUCCUCAUAGAAUCAACUGAGUUACUGCUUGGGUUUGGGAUUUUUAGAUAUUGGCAUGCGAAAUUUACUCCGCAAAGUAAAUCGUAGGAAACAAAAUUCUUAUAAUAGCCUUAAAUAUUUUAUCAUUAAAUAACUUUUAUAAAAAAUAAUUAAAUUUAAACACACAUAUGUCUUUAAGAUUUAUUGGUCUGAAAUUUAGGUUUACUUUUUUUGGCUUGGAGUUUUUUUGGCUUGGAGUUUCCUUAAAACAUAAAUCAACUAUUGUUAAAAAAUAUAUAGAGAUACAAUACUAAAAAUAAAAUAAUUAAAUCUUGAGUAUAUCCAGAAUACCAUAUAAUAUAUUUUUAUGAUAACAUUUGUAUAUAAUAUUUAUAACACUUUUUGGAUUCCAAUAUACAAAUUAAUUUCUAAAGUGGGUAGUGUAGAUCCUAAAAUCUACACUGAGUAUUUUGUAAUGAUUGAAAGUUUAAUCUGGGGAAGAAAAUAUCACGUGGGCAACGAUAUUUUUAGAACACAACGAUGUAAUCAGAUUCCAGUAGGCAAAGAUGAAUUUUAUUGAUUAACAAGAUCGAAUACAACAAGAGAAAUGUGAUCCGACGUUACAAACGAGGUCGAUAAGAGAAAAGACUUAAAGCAAUGUGAAAUGAGGCCGAUGAGUGUAUAUAGCUCUCUCUAGGGUUUUCUCUGUGUCUUUCUUUGUGCCCAUCGAUCCCUUCUUAUAGUGGAUUGGUCUCUGAUUUCUCUUAACUUCUCCGCGAUCUCCGGACUUCGAUACUAGUCUUGUCAGAGGAGCUCUAUCUGAGUUGGGCUUUGCCUUCUCAACGGGCCUCGUGAUAAUUUCCGAUCUGAUUCGAUUCGGCUUCCAUCGCUUCUCUUCUUAGCCUUUCCUUUGCUCGGCCUUUCUAGGCCCAUUGCCAAGUUAGGACGAACUGAUUUUGGGUCCAACAUGUAGGAUGCUAUUUUUAACAAGGAAAUUUAAUGGGUAAAAUCACAUUUUUAAAAAAAUGUAUCACAUAUUACUUCACCUCAAGAGUACACUAUUUAAGAUCUUUGAGAUGAUGUAACUCAAUAGGGUCGAGGAGCUACUUCCCCAUGAGAGCUAUCUUAUAGCACCAAACCGAAUUUGAAAACCGAAUUUGAAAUCUCGAAUCUUGUACAAUAAUCCCAACAAAACUAAACCAAGACAAAAUAAUACCCGAUAAAACAUAUAUCUGGAUCAGAACUGUAACCUGACCCGAUAUUUGAAUUUAAAAGACCCGCAAAGAAGAAGAUCUUUGUUUUCGCCUUCAAUAAAUGCUCCAGAUGUACAUAUUCCUCCAGAGCCAUCACAACCCGGAAAUAAAAAGAUAACCAAAGCAGAUAAGAAAACGAAGAAAUUGGUAAAUGAAUCUCCAGGGAAGAAACAACCAAAGAACAAGAAACAUGUCAUGCACUGUGGAAUUUGUGGAAUUGAUUAUCACAACUCUAGAUCUCACACGAAGAAUCAGAUUUGUGUUAAGAAAAAAUUGUAUUUACAUUGAAUAAUCAAGUUCUUUUGCAGGCUUCUUAAGGUCCUCCUCCUCAUGUUUCUUCUUCAGCUUCUCAAGGUCCUCUUCCUCAAGUUUCUUCCCCAGCCUCUCAAAAAGCUUCUGGGGUUGUCACUCCAGCUGAUUCUGGAUGUCAUGUUAUUUUCGGCUAUGCUGACAUGUGUUAAUGGCCGUGUCUUAUGCAGCCUCGGCUUUUGUUAGACGGCCAUUUUCUAGUCUUUUGUUGGAUGAUCAUGUUUUCUACGCUUUUGUUGUGAUUUUUUCUAGACUUAUUUGUCGGCUUUUGUUGGAUGGUGGUUUGUAUGUUAACAUACACUAGACUUUGAUCCGCGCGGAUGCUUGUUUUAUUUUUAUAAAUCAAAUAUAAUUGAUUAUCUUUUUCAAAUGUAUUUAUACGAUGCUAGUAUCCAUUCGGAUUCGUGAACUAUUUGGGUUCGGUUCAGAUCUAUUCAGAUUUCGAGUUUUUGAGUUUGAAGAUUUCAACCAUGUAUUUAUAAAUUUUGGUUCAGGUUCGGUCCGGAUCUUCACGGGCUCGGUUCAGAUUCAGAUAACCCGUUUAAAUUAUUUUUUAAAAUUUUAAAAUUCAUAUAGACUUUAAUUUUCUCAAAAUCUAAAAAAAAUUAAUAUAUAAAAUAUCAUAAGGCCUUUAAUCACACACAUUAUGCUUGGAUAUUCCUAGUAUGUGCAGUUAAAUCGUAUCUAUAGGAAAUUUUAUCCAAAAAGAAAUUUAAAAAUAAUGGUGAGUCGCGUAGAAGAUACUAUGAAAAAAUUAUUGAAUAAAGAUUGUUGAUAGGAAUAUUCGUAUAUAUGAUUUACACUUUGUUAAUUGCACACCUGAAAAUAGGAAUUAUGUUUUGAAUGUCCUUGAUUGCAUGUAUCUAUAAAUCGGUUUCACAUUUUGUUUCAGAAUGUACUUUGACAAACCGGAUUUUUUUUCUUAUGAUAAGUCAUAUUUUAAUCUAUACAAACCGAAAGGACAUAUGAUUUUCUGAGUUAAAAAUUAAAGUAUUAACAUGAUAAAGACAUCCUUGUGAGGACGAUGGUAAGUAAACGGCAUGAAAACAUUUUAAUCAAAGGACAAUAAGGUGUUCUCGUUUUGAAUUGCAUUUUAGCUGACUGAAUAUUUGAUAAUUUUAUUGUUUAGGUUGAACAUACAUAUAUGCAAUGUUCAAGAAAUAGCUAAACGGGCGCAACGCAUGCCUAGCUCCAAAUCAAUUAAUCGCAUAUAGGUAUAUAUAUUAGUUAUGUGCUUGUUUAGUGUUGUUGUGACAUAGCAUAGUGAUUAGAAGUGUUUGUUAAAUACAUACAUAUCCGGGUUCAAGGUGAGUAUGCGCUUAUUUUGUCAAUUUUUUUUAAAAAAAUAGGUUAAAUGAUGUAUGAAAUGACAAAAUUAAUCUUAUCAUCAAUCCGUCACGGAUAUAGUCCGAUUUGCAUGCGAUUAGCCGGCUGUCUAACAUGUGUUUUCGAACAGGUUGGAGCAGUCAACGGCAUGAAGCAUUGAUUAGAUAUGUGGAGAUUUUCCAAAUUUUGUAAAAAAAAAUUACACGAUAGGUUAAAGUCAUUAAUGAUGAUCGAUUAAAUAAGUAAAUUAAAUUAAAGUGGUUUGAUAAUUUAAUACGAAUGGUUUAAGUCAGUGGCAUGAAAUAUGGUAAUUAGUAUGGAAAAUUCAGGAUUAAGUACAAAAUAUACUUUAUUUUUAAUAGUUUAAAUUUUGUUAAAACAAACAUAAUUUAUCUUGGAAUGAAUUUGUAAAAACACUUGCAUUUUCAAAUCAAAUUUCAUGUGGAUAUUUUGUCCACCCGCACUUACAAAAUUCGAAACCCGAUCCGAUCAUUUUGGUUCUAAUCGACACACUCCCAACCCAAAAACUAAACCAAAAGAUGCCGAAGAAGAAUCUUUCCGGCGAUGGCACCGCCGCUCCCAUCGACGCCUGGUGGUGGCUAUCACACAAAGGAACGACCACCUCUUUCCUCUGCAUCUCCCUCUUCGCAUUACUGAUCCGAUCCGCCGUCUCGAUGUUCCCCUACUCCGGCGCCGGAACUCCACCCAAGUUCGGAGACUUCGAAGCUCAGAGGCACUGGAUGGAGAUAACCACAAACCUCCCAGCCACCGAUUGGUACAGAAACGGCACUCAGAACGAUCUCACUUACUGGGGACUCGAUUACCCUCCUUUAACUGCUUACCAGAGUUACAUCCACGGCAUCCUCCUCCGAUUCUUCAAUCCCGAGUCCGUUUCUCUUUUCAGCUCCCGUGGCCACGAAUCUUACAUUGGGUAAUGAUGAUCUGCAUAUCAAAUCAUGCUUGAUCUGAUAAAAGGUUGAAACUUUUGUGCAGAAAGUCUUAUAAUGAUGAUCUACAGAUCAACUCAUGCUUCAUCUGAUGCCAUAAAGUCUCCUUCUUUUGUUGAUUGUUGUGUGUUUUAGAGUUAAAUCUGGUUUCUUUUGUGCAGAAAGUUAUUGAUGAGGUGGACGGUUUUGUCGUCUGAUGCUCUCAUAUUCUUCCCAUCUGCUCUCUUUUUCGUGUUGGUGUACCAUAGGAACCGUGCCAAGAGCCAAGUGGCUUGGCAUAUUGCGAUGAUUCUGUUGAACCCUUGUUUAAUUCUCAUUGAUCAUGGUCAUUUUCAGGUUUUUUUUUUUUAAUGACUUUUCAGGUUUUGUAUGAAGUGUUGUCUCUGUUUUGAUUCUCAUUAGUUUGUUUGUUUGUUUGUUUGUUUUUAGUACAAUUGUAUCAGUUUGGGACUUACAGUGGGUGCUAUUGCUGCCGUACUCUGUGGGAGCGAGGUUCUUACUUGUGUUUUGUUCACUCUUGCUCUUAGCCAUAAACAGGUAACGUUUGGGUACUCUAGUUGAAUGUUGGUAUAGCGUUGCCCUGUUUUACAAAGACGUGAUCUCACUUGUAAUGGCUUUUAUGAAUCUUAUAGACCAAUGACGUGAUAGUUCAGUUACGUUGCAAACUGCUGUUUUGUUCUUUGUCAAUCUUCUUGUUGUUGGCUUGUUUAUUUCUUGAGAAUCUGUUGAAGCUUUACCAUCUCUCUGAUUUUUUUUUUUUGACUUCUUAGCUUGCAUGGCGUGUUUGAUUAUCUUUGUGUUGUGUAAUGAUGGAGACAUGGUGUUGAAUUAAGAUGGUGAUGAUGUUUGAGUAUAAAUGUGUGAUAUAUGAUGUCAAAGUCUGUAAUAGUUUUAAGGGAGUAGUGUAGUUUGCCCAUACAUCUUUGCAUGUUUCUAUACAUACAGUUUUGUUAGUCUAAGGACGGUUCUUGAUACUUUGAUUUAACAAUCAUCUGAUCAUUGGAUAUGUUUCUUUGUUUAUGUCUGCAGAUGAGUGCAUACUUUGCUCCUGCCUUUUUCAGCCAUCUACUUGGUAAAUGCCUAAGACGGAAAAAUCCUAUACUUUCUUUGCUGAAGCUUGGAAUUGCAGUCAUUGUGACAUUCGUUAUUGUUUGGUGGCCGUAUUUGCAUUCUGUAGACGACUUUUUAAUGGUAAAUACACAUUUGAUCAUUUUCAAACUGUGAAAUUGUACUUCUUGCUUCCUCCUCUGAUGUAAACUGCACAUAGCUGAUUGGUGAAUCAAAAUGCUGAUGACGCAGGUUCUCUCCCGUCUUGCUCCAUUUGAGAGGGGAAUAUACGAGGAUUACGUUGCAAAUUUCUGGUGCACCACUUCCAUUCUCAUAAAAUGGAAAAAACUAUUCACAACACCUUCUCUCAAGUCUAUAAGCUUAGCCGCAACUGUAUUAGCGUCUCUCCCUUCAAUGGUUCAUCAAAUCUUUUCACCAAGCAACGAAGGUUUCCUCUAUGGCUUGCUCAAUAGUUCAAUGGCUUUCUACUUGUUUUCUUUCCAAGGUAUAUAUAUACAUUUCAUCUUCAAUCUCCACCCCACAACCUUUUAGUAUCUAACAUUCUUCUUUUGAAUCUGCAGUGCAUGAGAAAUCAAUCCUGAUGCCUUUUCUAGCCGCAACACUGCUAGCUCUCAAAAUCCCUGACCAUUUCAAUCAUUUAACCUAUUACGCUCUCUUCUCGAUGUUCCCUCUUCUCUGCCGUGACAAUCUCUUGCUUCCUUACUUAACCUUACAUUUGCUCUUUACCCUCAUCUAUCAUUCCCAGUUACCGAAAACUAAAGCUUCAUCGUUCUCCUUUACAAGCUUCCCUGGUUAUGUUUUCUUACUUAGAACCCACUUCUUCAUCUCCCUAGUUCUCCAUGUCGUUUACCUGACCAUUCAACCUCCUCAAAAGUACCCUUUCCUAUUCGAAGCACUGAUCAUGAUUCUAUGCUUCUCAUUUUUUGUUAUGUUUGCCUUUUACAUAAACUAUACGCAGUGGAAUUUCUCGAGUCGUUUCAGGUCUGCGGAUAAAGAAAAGAAACAAAUCUGAAGAUUAGAAGACAAAACUCUUCGAGUCAGGUUGUCUAACAAAUCGGUGGUUUAGUCAUCAGACUUUUGUAAUGCGCAUAAUCUGUAGCAUACGGUAGAUUAUAUAUAUUGAGGUAAAGAUUGAGUCUUUUAUGAAAAGAAAUAAACUUUUUUAUAAGUUUAUAAGUUUUGUAUUUUUUUUUCCUAGCAAACAGAUUAAUAUGUUCAUGGUGUCUCCUUAAUGACGGCCAGGAUCGAACUUAAUAUAUCAUCAAUCAAAUAAUGAGCGUACAAAAUUACAUAAAAUGUGGACACUUUUAAUCUACGGCCAGGAUGAAACUUUUCGUAUAGAAAUGUGGUUUGAAUAGUGGAUUUUAAAUUUAAAAAGUAGUGAUUACCAUUUUAGUUAUACAUUCAAAGUACCGGGGGCAUUGCCUCCGUGCAAGCGCGGAGUUGUGGACAAAGUUUUUGUUUCAUCUCAAUAUUUUCUAGGGUUAUUGUAGUUGUGAAUUUUGCGUUUUGAGUUGUUUUUCAAAUUUUUUUAUCGUUAUAGGGUUGGAGUUGUGAUUAUGAAUUGUGUAUGCAUUGUUCUCCACUUAUGAAGUACUAAACUGUGUUAGUAAUGUGAUUGAUAUAGUUCGUGAUGUUGUUUGUUGUGUCACCGAGACUUAUUGUUUGUUUGUCUUUUUAAUUUGUUUCUUGUAUUAUUAAGAGUACAUAAAUUAUAUUAAAGUUGUUGAGAGUACCUUUCUUUCUGGAUAUUUUUUCUCCAAUUUAGUUUGUAAGUUUUGUGUAUUAAGUAAUAAUUUUUAUUAUCCUUAUUAUGUUUGUUAUAUGUUUCUUUUUUAUUUUUAAACUUGUUGCUCUUACCGGACAUUUAAAACAAAUACAUGAAGACUUGUAGAAAUAACUAUAAAAUGAGUGACAGUUCUGAGUAUUUGGGCAUUAAUGAGUUUUAAACGAAUUUAUGUAUUUCUCAUAAGAAGACAAUAACAUUGACCUGUUGACAUUGGACAUGUAAGCUGUUUUUAUAAGACAAGAGGAGUGAGCAGGUGGAGAUGUUGUUGCCGCCUUUGUGUCUGUCGGGAUUUUAUCUUGUAUCUUCUGGUUUGGUUGUGUUUGUUUCUCUUUUAUUUGAUGGGUAAUAUGUAAACAAAAAUCAUUGUUAGUUGUAUUUAUCAGAGUUCGUAAUUUACUCUGCUUUUUUGUUUAGGUAAUUUCACUGAUCUUGGUUGUCGUCUUCGUCUUCUUCUUUGCGAAAGUAAGUUUGUAAAUUGUUAAAUAGUUGGCCGUGUAGUUUGUAUUUGUUUAGCUGACUCGAUGUAUGUGUCGUUGAGUUUUAGUUGAGGUGAUUGUUUUGGUAUAUUUGUUUUGAAGUUUAUUUCUAAGAUUAGACAAAAAAGAGAGGUGAUCAUUAAUGAUUUGUCUUUUUUGGAAUUCUAAUUUUUGGUGUUUUGAUUGUUUGGGAUGUUGUGGUUUCUUUUAAGCUGUAAAAUAAAUGUUUGUGUAAAAUUAAUUUGAUAAGUAAGGGAGAUAAAUAGACGACCACAUACUUUGGGUAUGAAAUAUUUUUGAUUAUUGAUAUUAGCACAAUAUAGAUAAUAAUAUAAAGGGAAUUGUGUGUUGAUUGUUUCUUACGGAUCAAUGAGAAGACGGAUAACGACUCGGGUUGUUUCUUUGAUAAGGCCAGAGUCCUGGAUAGAACGGAUUUGUCCAACCACAUCUGCGAGUUUAAAUAUCAGUUAUGAUAUCAAAACAUAAUAUAAACCCAGAUGCAAUAUGAUAAUAUACCUGGGAGUUCUAGGUUUGUGUUCGCAAUCACUUGAAAAUUGUCAAACAAUCUAAUUAUGAGUGGAGAUUGAUCUUAGGAGCAUCUGUGAUGACUUCAUCGAUAAUAGUUGGUGAGAUGAAACGAAUGAGGAAGGAAUGAUCAGUUAUCUUGUACAUGCUUGAGCACCUAAUCAACCUCAAAACGAUUGACUUACACAAUGGGACCGGCUUUCAAAGAUGGCUUGUAAUGAUUAGCACGUCCGGCGGUAAUAAACUCAUGAAUCACAGAAUCUGCAAUUAAUAUUAUUCAACAAAGAAUCAGGAAAUCAAUUAAAAAUAAUCUAUAUUAUUUUCCUUCCCUAGGCCCGGCCCACAGAGAAAGCCGAAGAAACAAGAGUUUCCGAUCUUCAUAAAUAUAUAUUAGUUUCGGCCAUCAAUGUACAAAGUAUCCUUUAGUUUAGUGGUAUAAAUGUUUGUGUUUUUAUUUUAAUAACCGGGGUUCGAACCAUAGACUUGACACUUUUUAAAAGUGGAACCCACAAAAUACUGACGUGGCACGCUUAUAAGAGAAAAAAAAAUCAAUCAUUAUAAUAUAGAUUUGCAGCAGUUUGUGAGAAAUAUGUCAGAGCAUCGGCAGUGUGCUUACACCGUUUCUUAUGCAUUAAAUAAUACAAAUUAAUUUGAAAGAUUCUAACAUCGGCAGUGUGCGUAUGUUACACCGUUUCUUAUGCAUUAAAUAAUACAAAUUAAUUAGAAAGAGGAAAGAAAAAGAAGUAAAAGAAGAAAGAGGUUGUCACUAGCUUUUUCCCACAGAGACGUUAAACAUUUCUUCAUAGACGAUUUAACAUGUGUCAAUAUAUUAUUUGAUUAAUUUUGUUUGCAGUGUUAAAAUUAAUAAGACAAUUAAGCUAUAUACAUAAUAUCAAUAUUAUAUUUGGGAAGAAACUUAUAUGGUCUGGUGACCAAUGAUGAUGCUCUUAGAAAUGUAUGUCUCGCACCAAAAGUGGGGUUAGAUGUAAGGAAGUAAAUAAUACAGUAAUCCCUCUGUUUUUUAAAGAUGGAUGUUUUAGAGAAAUAUUUUAUUUCCAAAAGAUGUAUUUUUCAUGUUUUUAAAACAUAUUUUGUCAACUAAUAAUGAAAAAUUAUGUGUUUCAAAAAUAUUAAUUACAUUUCUUUUAAUCCUAUUGGUUUAAAAAUAUAAGAAAUAUAAAGUUACAAAAAACUAUGCAUUAAUAACUAAGUUUUAAUAUGGUUUCUUAAUAAGUGUAAAAAUCCUAGAACAUUCAUCUUUAAAAAACAGAGGGAGUAGUAUAUUUUAUUGGUAAAUGAGUCUUGUAUUCAUUGCCAAAUAAUUUUUAUUAUUGAGUUGUUAACCAUGAUUCCUACGAAGUUGAUCCGAUUAAAGUCUCAAAUUUUCAGUGUUUCGUCUUGCCUUGGUAUUUCCGGGAUAACGAGCCGCUCCCGUUUCCCUAAAUGGAGUUGACGUAGACAACAACCAUAAGCUUCUCCAUUGGAUUGUAAGUUUUAGUUGAUAAUGAGUUAAACGAUUGAUGCAAUCAUGUUCAAAUUAUCCUUUCAUGUCUAUUAAUCUUCAAAUGACUGGAACUCAUUCUCCAAAGAUUGUGUUUUCUCCUUUCAUGUGUUUUUCAAUAGUUUUUUGUUUGUUGCUAAAAGUGUUUUCAAUAGUUGCUAGUAAGUUUUUUCUUCACUAGAAAAAGAAGUAACAACCUUUUUUCACUAAAUUGUAAAUACUCAUUGAUGAAAAUGAAAUUACAAGUUGUUUAAGUCUCAAAAACAUGGAAAAAGAUUUAAAUAACUAAACAUUAGGAUUUUACAUUGUAAACAUUUAAAUCCUAAGCUUUCUGGUCAACAAUCACAAAAGCGGAUAGGAAAACCGACAUCAUUUUGCAUGAAUCAUAUGCCCGACGAUGCUUUAAAGUACGGACCUUGGUUUCCGGACAACAUACGAGACUUUCGGCACGAACCCAGCGCAGGUCGACGACACAUCAUGAUCCGCACCCAAUGAAUUCCUAGAAGUAACAACUUGAACACUAAUCAGUUUGGUGCGUUUACGCCACGACGUAAGCCUAUUAUCUGAUAGUUUAUGCUUGUUUAUAGACGUGACAUUGAAAGCUAGGCAUAUCUAAUAUUUUGUAAACUUACUUCCGCAAGCCCAUUGUUUAUUUCAUCGUCGACUUUUGUGAUAAAUGGUAAAUCAAAGAACAAGAUACCUACGGAAAAUCAAAGAACGAGUCUAUAUUGACAAUCUUUCGUUGUUUAACUGAAAAGUCUAUUGGUUGCUCAAAAAAGAAAAAAAAAACUAAAAAGUCUAUUGACAAGCUUAUUCCAAUAUUAAAUCUUUUUCUUUUAGCAACGCUUAUUUCAAUAUUAAAUCAUGUUUUAUUUCUUUAAACAGAUUUCAUAUGAGAGAUCUCAGUGGCUAGUCUUGCUGAGUAUUAUAUUAUAGCUCUUUUGCUUCUCAGGUAUACUUCCCAGAUUCGCAAUCUUUUCCCAAUACAUAAAUAAUUAUCUGAGUAGCUCCAAUGCCUUGGCUUUUCUUAUUUGCGGCAAGAUCUUCUUUCUAAUAGAGAAAGUAUAUUUUUAUAUGCACGCAUGGUUUCCUGAUUUCAUCUACAAAAGAAAACUAGUAUAUUCAUAUAGUAACAAGAUAAUUCUUGAUUUACAAAGAUUUGGUUUACUAGAUUGGCUAAGACAUUGGUGUUAUCAUGGUAUAGACACUGUUUAUUUUUAAUUUCAAAUGAUCAACACUGAGCAGUGUGUAUCACGAUUGAUACAUUUCUAACAAUCUUAUAUGACAGAUGAAAAUUGAUAGAAUAUUAUGUCAGAUAUCACAUCAAAUUGUACAAAUAUCAGAUCGUACGUUCAGAGAAUAUAAAUUUACUAGGUGAUAAGCCGCGCGCAUGCGCGGAAUGAGUUUUUAUAAUAAUGUUUAUUUAUUAAAUAGUUUUAACAUUUUGCAAUACUACAAUUUUUAUCGAUUAUAUAAUAACGAAUACAAAUGUUGGUCUAUUAAAUAUAUCAUCGUUGUUGAAUAGUGAACGUAUUACAUCUCAUUUUAAUUAUUUUUAAGACUUCAUAUGCACAAAAAAAAUUAAGUUUUGUGGCUGACACAAAUCUCCAAAACCAAAUAGGCAACAUCGAUUAUAUAAUGACGAAAGGGGAUUAGGUUUUCUGCUCUAGAUUUGUUUACUAUUGACUCUCCAUAAUUGAUUUUAUUUUCUACCUUUAUAAAAUUGUGUUGUCGUUCCCGUCUUUGUUUCAUUGAUAUGAGUUAAGUUUUUUUUAACUUUUUCUAUGAAUUCGGUGAAUUACAUAAGUGUCAAUUAAAAAUAAUAGACAUAUGUAAAAAUUAGUUUCACUCCAGAUACAUAUCUAAGAAUCAAAAUUUUGAAAAAAAUAACCGAAAAACUAUAUUAAUAUAUUAGUGUUCAAAUCUAAUAUAUCAAACUGUUAUAGAAUAUAUGUGCAGACUCGAAAUAUAAAUGUCUGUCAAGUAUAUAUUUAUCAGCUCGGUCUAAAAAUCAUCUAAUUCAAGAACAACAAAACAAAUUACUUAUUUGAUCAAUUCAGGUAAUAUCUGAAUUCGAACGGGUAAUAUUCGAACCCGAAUAAAUAUCCAAAAAUAACCAAACAUAUGUAUACUUAACCCUAUAUUUAUAGUUUACUUCUCUCAUUUUAUUCAAAAUAUUUAUAUUAAUAAUGAUUAUUUCUCAAAAUUAGAUAAUAUACAUAUAAUUAUGGACAAAAUCAUUUUCUACUCACUUAAAAUACAUAUCAAACUCUUGUUUCUUGCAUUAACAAAAGUUGCAUCUAAAUUUUCAAAACAACAACAAAAUUUGUGUCUUUCUAAUCUAUUAAUAGUUUAGUCUUUUAAAAAUUAGAAAACCAGUUAAGUUAAAAUAUAGUUUAAAUAUAAAAAACUUAAACAAUGAAUAAUUUAUUUAUUUUUUUCAAAAUUUAAAUAUCUGAACCCAACCCAAAAUAUCUGAACCCGAACAUAAAAUACCCGAAUCCGACUCGAAAUAUAAAAAUACCCGAAUGGGUUCUAUAACUUUAAACUGAAAUACCGGAUACGAACCCGAACUUGUAUCCGAACACCUACCCCUACGAUAUAUGAUUAUUUGUAUUUUGGUUGAACAAAAAAAGUUAAACCAUUGAUCACAAAAGUUUCAAUGUAGGACUUUUACCAUUUUUCGUAAUUUAUAGUCGUUUUAAAAAAUUCAAAAUAUAAAAUAUAAGAAAAAAUCUAAAUUUUUUAUUAUAUGAUAAAUGUGAUUGCUUAACUUUUUUAAUAGUAUAAAAUUAAACAAAAAAGAGAGAUGUUAGAAAAAUUGUUAUCAAAUAUGUAUUAUUCAUAAUCAUUAAUUUUCAUAUACUCCCUCCGUUCCUAAAAGAUGUAUGUUAUGGAACAUCGAUUAUAUAAUGACGAAAGGGGAUUAGGUUUUCUGCUCUAGAUUUGUUUACUAUUGACUCUCCAUAAUUGAUUUUAUUUUCUACCUUUAUAAAAUUGUGUUGUCGUUCCCGUCUUUGUUUCAUUGAUAUGAGUUAAGUUUUUUUUAACUUUUUCUAUGAAUUCGGUGAAUUACAUAAGUGUCAAUUAAAAAUAAUAGACAUAUGUAAAAAUUAGUUUCACUCCAGAUACAUAUCUAAGAAUCAAAAUUUUGAAAAAAAUAACCGAAAAACUAUAUUAAUAUAAUGCAUAUUUAAUGAAUUUUCUUAAUAUAUGUGAAAAGUCUACAAUAUGCAUCUUUUAAACACAGAAGGAGUGUCUGUCAAGUAUAUAUUUAUCAGCUCGGUCUAAAAAUCAUCUAAUUCAAGAACAACAAAACAAAUUACUUAUUUGAUCAAUUCAGGUAAUAUCUGAAUUCGAACGGGUAAUAUUCGAACCCGAAUAAAUAUCCAAAAAUAACCAAACAUAUUGAUGACACGUGGCUACGAAAAUAUGUUGUAAUGCUCCAGGAUUAAUAUAUAGGGGAUUUUCUUAGAAAAUUUAAAUCUUAUAGAAGCAAUCCAAAAAAUGGUAAUAAAAAUAUAUUUACAAGCCAACUCAGACAAAAUUACGCAAUUCGAAAAUUUCCUAAAGUAGCUUCGUUCAACUCAUCAUCCCGGCACAUUCUGCUAGCUCGCAUUUAAGGAGUUGAGUUUCGUUUUGCUAUUUCACCAUUAAUGAAAACUAGGUGUUUGCCCGCAAUUUUGCGAGUAAUUAUAUUAUAUGGAGAAAUAUAUGUUAUGUUUACAUAGUUAUAAUUUUUGAAUAAUAAUUAAAAUUUUAAAAUUUUAAUGUUUAAUUUCAAAUAGUUAGAUAAUCAAAAAAUUUAGUAUAUAUUUUUAGAAGAUCUGUGAGAUUUAAAAUUGUUUAACAACGUAAACCUUAGUCAUUACAAAUAUUUCUCUUACAGAAAAGUAAUAUAAUAAUUAAUUCAGAUAAUUGGUUGUAGAAUUACUUUAUAUUUUAUUUUAACACGUGAAAAAUCGGAAAUACUCUAGCUUUUAAGAAAUAAAAAGAAAGGUUUUUUUGGUGUAAGACCAAUACAAUUAUCGAAUGUUUUUAUCAUGAAGAUACGUUUUUGUGUGGACUUUAGAAAACAUAAAAAGUUCUAAUAAUUAUUCACCUAAAAAUCUAAUUUUAUAUAAGGAUAUAUAACCAUUAAAUUUCUUUCAAUAAAAAAAUAUUAAAGUAUUUUAUUUAAUUAUAUAUAAAUAAUUGAUAAAGAAAAAGAAAUUGAUAAAACAUAUAUAUUAUUUCUCAAAUUCUACAAUUAGUUACCAUAAAUCAUUAUUUGUAAUAUUACUUGUGUUAUUUGGUAAUUUAUAUUAAUUAGUUCUAUAGUUACCUUUUAUUUUUAGAUUUGAUUAAAAUAAAUAACUAAUAAACAUCAACAACCAAUCAAAUUAUAACUAUUUUUUAAAACUUAACUUAUUAACAAUACAUAAGAAAAAUCGCUUAAGUGACUUUUCAAUUAAUAUAUAGUAUAACUAGGUGUUUUCCUGCACCAUGUGCAGUAAGAAAUUUUUUAAAUCUAACUUAUAUUUAAAAAUAAAUUUUAUUAAAUAUUAUACAUUUUACUAUUUCCUUACUAAUAUUUAAUAUAGAUUUGAAUAUAUUAAAAGGGAUCUUCUCCUAUAACAAGGUAAUCUUUGCUUCUCUCGUCUAUCCACAAUAUCGUAUCGUAAGAUCCGCACGAUAUAGGUAGAUUGAUCCUCUCGAGGGUUAAAAGAUUUAAAAUGUAAAGACGUUCAUGAGGUAAAGUCGCCAUCAAAAGCCAGCUUCUACAAGUCGCCAUACAAUGAAUAUUAUUUGAAAAGUAGUCGCCAGUUUUGUAGAGCUUUUCUUCUCUAUCUUCAGGAUUGAACAAGAGACAGUAACUUUUUUCCUCGGGGAGUAAAAUCAUCCAAGGGAUCUUAUUGUUUGGCUUAGACUGUCUCGAACCAGUUUGCCAAGAUGAGCAAACCGAUUUAGCUCUUUCGAAAUCGGUAAAGCUAAGGCGUUCAAAAAUCAGUUGCAUCAGAUCUAGAGGAAGCUCGGACCAGCAACGAGGAGGAGAUUGGGCUAAGGCUAACAACGGUGGUGAAGCCAUCUCACGAAAAUGCCUUUAGUUUGGGAGAAAAUAUUAGAUUUUUAGUUUUCACUCUAUCAGAGCGGUUCGAUGUCGCGGGAAGAAGCUGGUCGCGGCCGUGUGUCGACGAAACUAUCCAAGGGGAUUUCGCAAGCAACGGCCGCAGCAUAUGGAGGCUGCGAAGUGAAACGUUAAACCGCGGGUGUAUUUCGCGGGUGAAGGCAGGCCGCGGCCGUGUAACGUUGAAUCCGACCAGUGCAUUUCGGGGGUGCAGGCCGCAUGAAGAGUUGGUCGCGGUGGAAGAUCAACAAUCGCAGGCUCAUGUCGGGGGCUAGAGAUGGUUGCGGCCGUGGUCCGAGACUAAGCAUUUUACUAUUUUAUCCUUGUGUUUCUAUGCCAUUAUAAUAAACCUAAUCUGAGGGAAUUAUCUUGUUAUCUAUCUAAUCAAAAGUCACUUUUGGGUGAAAGAUCUAAUUUUGAUCAUAUUCUUUUUUUUGUUUUUUUGAUUGUUUUGAUCAUUAAUCAUGUUUAGACUUAGAUCAACUAAUGAUUUAGUAUCUACCAUAAUAAUGAGUGAGUAGUCAUAUUUGGAUUCAUGGGUUAGGAUGAUAUGUUUAGAGUGUUUAGAGUGGAUUAAUAUGUUUCCUUGCUUGAUUAAGUGAUCUUAAUGCUAAUCUAGAGUUGGCCAUUUCAGAUUAGAAACCUAGACAUUUCAUUGCCUGAAAGGUGUUCGAUGAAAUGUCUGAGCCAACUCAACAUGCUCUUAACUUACCCUACCAAAGACAUUUGAUGUUAGGGGAGUUUUGAUAGUUGUAUGAUCUGUUCUUAAUGAUUGCUUGACUGACACAAACCAAAGAUAUUUGAUGUUUGAUCAAUGAGAGUAAAUGAGCAUUUAUCUCGAUAAAGAACUUGCUUAGAAUUGUUAUCUAGACUUAGGGAAAUGUGUUGAUUGAAACCUUGCCUUUUUAGAUUGAAUCUUAAUCAUUUGACAUCAAAUUCCUAUACCCAUGUGUCCUCCUUUAUCUAUUUGAUUGAAAGUUGCUAGUUAGUAGUGUUAGAACCUUGUUAGCUUGAUUGAAUCACCUUAUCACUUGAUUGCAGUUAGAUUAAGUUUGAACCUGCAUUCUCUUUGCAUCAAAAUACUUAGAAAUAGAUUGACAGCUUAAUUACUAUAAUGAUUUGAUUAUUGGACCUUUGAAAAGUCCAUUUCAUUGCAUUCAUGGGUGAGAACUACCAAGAAGAUGAUUGGAGUGAACUGAAAGCACCAAAAGUGAAGCUAAACCUCUCCCCCUUGGUGUAAGGUAUGCAUUUCUUGGACCUAAUUAGACAUAUCCUGUCAUUGUGAGUAGUGAACUGAAUGAAAAUGAAUUGUCUAAAUUUUUGAAUGAACUUAAAAAGUAUAGAAAGGCAAUAGGCUACUCACUAGAUGAUAUUAAAGGGAUAUCACCUUCUUUAUGCAUGCAUAGGAUACAUCUAGAGGAUGAAUCUAUGACUUCUAUAGAACAUCAAAGAAGAUUCAACCCCAACUUAAAAGAUGUUGUUAAGAAAGAGAUUCUAAAACUCCUUGAUGCAGGUGUAAUCUAUUCUAUUUCAGAUAGCAAAUGAGUGUCUUCUGUGCAUAUUAUCCCAAAGAAGGGUGGAAUAACUGUGGUUAAAGAUGAUAAGAAUGAACUAGUUACAACAAGAACAAUAACGGGACUUUUGCAUAUUGUUCUUGAUAUGGCUGGCAAAUCCCUAAAGUAUGUCCAUUUGUUUACUUAUAUUUACAUUAUAUGGCUGGCAAAUCCCUAAAAUAAAAUCGAAUCUAAUUUAAACCAAACUUAACGAAUUCAAUUGUUUUUAAUGGAUUUGUUUAUGGAUUUAUGCAACACGGUUCCAAAUCAAUUACGGUGACAAUGAUCUUGCCAACAAAGGUGGUGUCACCGAUGAUGAUUCUCGCGUUCAAGGAGAUGGUUUUAUCUUGGUUGCGUGUCUCGAGAGGGUUGCUGAAGAAGGCGUCCGAGCUUGGGCUAGCCCUAAGGGUGACCGCCAGUUCCAUCUAGGUUGUUCAGGUUUUGUGUCUAUUGAAAUCGAUUGAAAUUUUCUCCUGAUUGUCUGAAAAUCAUAUAAUUUCAAUUUGAAUCAUCUAGAUCUAACAUUGGUUUGAUUUGAUUUUUUGAAUUAUUGUCCCGUUACAUUCUGGCUUGUGUAAUGGGACUCUAACGAGAAGGACAAUAACGAAACACUAUGCUCACUGAAUUUUGCUACCAGAGUUGGAGGGAUAGAGUUGGGGCGGCGCAAAGAAGCACCUAGACAAUACUGAAAUCUUGAUAUAUGAGAAAAUGGUAAUCUAGAUUCAAGUUUACAUUUCCACAUAUGCGUAUAUUGAAUCAUUAAGUGUUUAUUUGGGUUGUGUUAAUUUUUGUAGGUUGAAAAAUGGAAGAAAGAUAUUAAAGAAAAAGACGAAAAUAUAAGAAAAAUUAAGGAGACCAAUCGACCAUGUUAGGUUUACAAGCAAAGAUCAAGGAACAAAACACCAAGAACAAAACCCUUCAAGAAAAUGUAAAUAUAUUUACCAUAACCACAAGAGGAACAUACGUUAGCUACAUCUUUUCUGAAACCAUCACAUAUCACUUUAUUUGAUAGGUUGAGGAACUUGAAUCGCAUCUGCUGGUAGAGAGGAAGCUGGCUUAAGAACAUGUAGUCACCAAGUUUGAUGAAAAGCCACCGAACAACAGAAGGGGGAUGAAAGCAACACAUCAAAGAAACUUACCACUUGCAAACAUACUGUUGGGAAGUUACAAGAGCUCCAGUGAAACCUCAGCUUCGAAACAAAAUGAAAACCAGUUUACUAUAUGUUUAUUAACAAGAUAACUAGGUGAUAACCCGCGCGCAUGCGCAGAAUGAGUUUUUAUAAUAAUGUUUAUUUAUUAAAUAGUUUUAACAUUUUGCAAUACUACAAUUUUUAUCGAUUAUAUAAUAACGAAUACAAAUGUUGGUCUAUUAAAUAUAUCAUCGUUGUUGAAUAGUGAACGUAUUACAUCUCAUUUUAAUUAUUUUUAAGACUUCAUAUGCACAAAAAAAAUUAAGUUUUGUGGCUGACACAAAUCUCCAAAACCAAAUAGGCAACAUCGAUUAUAUAAUGACGAAAGGGGAUUAGGUUUUCUGCUCUAGAUUUGUUUACUAUUGACUCUCCAUAAUUGAUUUUAUUUUCUACCUUUAUAAAAUUGUGUUGUCGUUCCCGUCUUUGUUUCAUUGAUAUGAGUUAAGUUUUUUUUAACUUUUUCUAUGAAUUCGGUGAAUUACAUAAGUGUCAAUUAAAAAUAAUAGACAUAUGUAAAAAUUAGUUUCACUCCAGAUACAUAUCUAAGAAUCAAAAUUUUGAAAAAAAUAACCGAAAAACUAUAUUAAUAUAUUAGUGUUCAAAUCUAAUAUAUCAAACUGUUAUAGAAUAUAUGUGCAGACUCGAAAUAUAAAUGUCUGUCAAGUAUAUAUUUAUCAGCUCGGUCUAAAAAUCAUCUAAUUCAAGAACAACAAAACAAAUUACUUAUUUGAUCAAUUCAGGUAAUAUCUGAAUUCGAACGGGUAAUAUUCGAACCCGAAUAAAUAUCCAAAAAUAACCAAACAUAUGUAUACUUAACCCUAUAUUUAUAGUUUACUUCUCUCAUUUUAUUCAAAAUAUUUAUAUUAAUAAUGAUUAUUUCUCAAAAUUAGAUAAUAUACAUAUAAUUAUGGACAAAAUCAUUUUCUACUCACUUAAAAUACAUAUCAAACUCUUGUUUCUUGCAUUAACAAAAGUUGCAUCUAAAUUUUCAAAACAACAACAAAAUUUGUGUCUUUCUAAUCUAUUAAUAGUUUAGUCUUUUAAAAAUUAGAAAACCAGUUAAGUUAAAAUAUAGUUUAAAUAUAAAAAACUUAAACAAUGAAUAAUUUAUUUAUUUUUUUCAAAAUUUAAAUAUCUGAACCCAACCCAAAAUAUCUGAACCCGAACAUAAAAUACCCGAAUCCGACUCGAAAUAUAAAAAUACCCGAAUGGGUUCUAUAACUUUAAACUGAAAUACCGGAUACGAACCCGAACUUGUAUCCGAACACCUACCCCUACGAUAUAUGAUUAUUUGUAUUUUGGUUGAACAAAAAAAGUUAAACCAUUGAUCACAAAAGUUUCAAUGUAGGACUUUUACCAUUUUUCGUAAUUUAUAGUCGUUUUAAAAAAUUCAAAAUAUAAAAUAUAAGAAAAAAUCUAAAUUUUUUAUUAUAUGAUAAAUGUGAUUGCUUAACUUUUUUAAUAGUAUAAAAUUAAACAAAAAAGAGAGAUGUUAGAAAAAUUGUUAUCAAAUAUGUAUUAUUCAUAAUCAUUAAUUUUCAUAUACUCCCUCCGUUCCUAAAAGAUGUAUGUUAUGGAAAAAAAAUUGUUUCAAAAAGAUACAUUUUUUAUUUUUUCAAUGUAUGAUUUUAAUGAAAAAUUGUAAGUUUCAAAAAAAUUAAUGGUGUUUAUUGAAUUUCUAUUGGCUAAAAUUAUGAAAAAUUGUUAUUCACAAAAAAUAAUGCAUAUUUAAUGAAUUUUCUUAAUAUAUGUGAAAAGUCUACAAUAUGCAUCUUUUAAACACAGAAGGAGUAUAUGUUAACCAUAUUAGGUAAUUCCGUAGCUUUUAUUUAAGGAAAGAAAAAAUAUUAUUUUGUACACUACUAAUUAAUUUGAUAGUUAGUUUAAUAAAAACCAUAGUAUAUGUUUAUAUGGAUCAACUUAUUUUUCUAACAAUUUUAAGAAUCAUUCUCGUGAUGACACGUGGCUACGAAAAUAUGUUGUAAUGCUCCAGGAUUAAUAUAUAGGGGAUUUUCUUAGAAAAUUUAAAUCUUAUAGAAGCAAUCCAAAAAAUGGUAAUAAAAAUAUAUUUACAAGCCAACUCAGACAAAAUUACGCAAUUCGAAAAUUUCCUAAAGUAGCUUCGUUCAACUCAUCAUCCCGGCACAUUCUGCUAGCUCGCAUUUAAGGAGUUGAGUUUCGUUUUGCUAUUUCACCAUUAAUGAAAACUAGGUGUUUGCCCGCAAUUUUGCGAGUAAUUAUAUUAUAUGGAGAAAUAUAUGUUAUGUUUACAUAGUUAUAAUUUUUGAAUAAUAAUUAAAAUUUUAAAAUUUUAAUGUUUAAUUUCAAAUAGUUAGAUAAUCAAAAAAUUUAGUAUAUAUUUUUAGAAGAUCUGUGAGAUUUAAAAUUGUUUAACAACGUAAACCUUAGUCAUUACAAAUAUUUCUCUUACAGAAAAGUAAUAUAAUAAUUAAUUCAGAUAAUUGGUUGUAGAAUUACUUUAUAUUUUAUUUUAACACGUGAAAAAUCGGAAAUACUCUAGCUUUUAAGAAAUAAAAAGAAAGGUUUUUUUGGUGUAAGACCAAUACAAUUAUCGAAUGUUUUUAUCAUGAAGAUACGUUUUUGUGUGGACUUUAGAAAACAUAAAAAGUUCUAAUAAUUAUUCACCUAAAAAUCUAAUUUUAUAUAAGGAUAUAUAACCAUUAAAUUUCUUUCAAUAAAAAAAUAUUAAAGUAUUUUAUUUAAUUAUAUAUAAAUAAUUGAUAAAGAAAAAGAAAUUGAUAAAACAUAUAUAUUAUUUCUCAAAUUCUACAAUUAGUUACCAUAAAUCAUUAUUUGUAAUAUUACUUGUGUUAUUUGGUAAUUUAUAUUAAUUAGUUCUAUAGUUACCUUUUAUUUUUAGAUUUGAUUAAAAUAAAUAACUAAUAAACAUCAACAACCAAUCAAAUUAUAACUAUUUUUUAAAACUUAACUUAUUAACAAUACAUAAGAAAAAUCGCUUAAGUGACUUUUCAAUUAAUAUAUAGUAUAACUAGGUGUUUUCCUGCACCAUGUGCAGUAAGAAAUUUUUUAAAUCUAACUUAUAUUUAAAAAUAAAUUUUAUUAAAUAUUAUACAUUUUACUAUUUCCUUACUAAUAUUUAAUAUAGAUUUGAAUAUAUUAAAUCAAUUUGUAUAAAACUAAUAAAAAUGAUAUAAAAUUGUAUAAUUAUCAAAAAUUUAGCCUAAACAAUAUUUAUAAAAUUUGUAGGUAUAUAAAAAACUAAUGAUCUUACGAUUAGAUAUUUAAAUUUUUAAAAAAUUGUAGAAAUUUUUGAAAGAUUUAGUAAUACAAAUUGUAUAAUUAUGAAAAAUAAUAAUAUUUCGAAAUUUGAAAUAUUAUAUAUGAAUAUAUUUAUUUUAUAGAUGUUGUAUGAGCUGUUACCUUAUUUAAAAAAAGUUUUCGAAAAAGAAAUAUCAAUAUUAAAUGUAAUAUAUGAAUCAUUACCAUAUUAUAAUAAGUUUGGCAAAAAUAUAAAUCAACAUUAAAUGAAAUUAUACAUGUCAUAUUUUUCCAGAAGCCAUGUCAUCAAUUUCAAUAGCCAUGUCAUAUUUGUUUCGUGAAAUUAAUUGUAGAGAGGACAUGAGGCAAAAUCACUUCGCAAAUAUAGUCUAGGGGAUGUCAUAUUUUUCCAGAAACCAUGUCAUCAAUUUCAUUAGCCAUGUCAUAUUUGUUUCGUGAAAUUGAUCGUAGAGAGGACAUGUGGCAAAAUCACUUCGCAAAUAUAGUCUAGGAGAUUUAUCUCUUUAAAACCAAGGAUAAAUUUGGUUAAUGUAAACAUGAAAAUAUGUAUUAGGAAAAUGACAGUCUAUGUAAUUUCUCUCAUAAUUUUGUCAAAUCACAAAUCACACUUUCUCACUCAUUUUCUAUUUAGUGUUUAACAUGAAAUUUAAAUGAGUUAAACAAACAAUUUCUUCUUUUAAAACAAUCUUAUUUUAAUUAAAUCUGAUUAGCUAAUAAGAAAAAAUAAUUUUAAAAAUUUUUAAUAACAAAAUGUUGUUAUUUUAGGCAUACAUACUUAAUAUUAAUGUGAGAUCCAAUAUUAUAUCCAAAUAAAAUAUUUUUUAUUUCUAUAAAAUUGGUUAAAAUUUUAUUAUUGUAUAUUUUAUUAUUGUACAUUUUAAAAGUUUAUUAUACCGCAAAGUAUACAUCUCAUUAUUUUUAAAUAAUUUAUCUUACUUGUAAUUUACAUUAUAUUUUCUAUCUUUGACUUUAAUAAUUGUAGAACAUGUCAUUUUAUUGAUCUUUCUUACUCAAUUUAUCACAAUGUUUUAAAAACACAUAAAACUAAUUAAUUCACAUUUAUAGUAACACAAAAAUACAAGCAUCUCGACAAAUAGAUAAAAUUAAAUACAUAAGAGUAUAAAAGAACCAAGAACACAACAAACAUAUUUUAUUAUCCUUCCCUCUUUUUUUUUUGAUUUAUGUCUUCUUUAUUUUCUUACUAUUCAAAACAAGCAUGGUAAUUUUAUUAUAAUCAAAGCUAUAUGAAUUAUAUUAAUUGAGUAAUAACUCUAGGAAAAACAUGUGUAGAAUACUAUGAUUAAUUUAAUUUUAAAUAACUUACUAUAUAAUAAUUUUAGAUAAAUUACCAUAUAAUAUAAUUUUAAGUAACCUACCAUAUAAUAAUUUUAGUUAAUAUGUUUAUAUUAAUGGAUGAAUUAAAUAACAUUUCUUGAUUAAUAUAAUUUUAAAUGACUUACCAUAAAUUUUUAUGUUUAAAAUAUAAAAAUAUUUUAAUCAUUUCAAAAAGUGAUAACUUAUCUAUGAUAUCACAUUGUCAUUGGAAAAUGAUGAGAUUUUUUAAAAAGUUAUAUAUUUGAAUGUUUUGCAUUCAUUUGAAACAUUUUAAAAUAUAUAUAUAAUUAAUUUAUUAGGUUUACAUUAAUUAGUUUACUAGAAUCUAUGAUUUAUUGUAUUCACUACUAAUAUAAAUAUAUUAAAAACCAUUUUUAUAAUUGUUUAUGUAGUAUCAUAUGUAUUUAAAUGUAUAUUAUCAAUUUAUAUAAUGUAAUCUAUGAUAUUUAAUUUUUCUAUAAAUAAAUUAUAUUAAUUCAUCUAUAUUUAAGAUGUUUAAUUGUAUGUUUGGAAACAUAUAUUAGAUUAGGUAAUUCUAGGAUUAGUUUCUUUUAAAGAAUUUAAUUAAAUAAAUUAAAAAUUAAAAAUCAUCAACCAAUCAAAUUAUAACAAUUAAUUGAAAAACUCUUUUAUGAGCGACACGUCAGCGGAAGUGAUUUUUCAAUUAAUAUAUAUGAUGAUUGUAUCUCAACACUUUUGAACAAAAGAAAUAUAUGGUUUCUGGACAAACCCGUUCCAUCAUUAUAAAUACAUCAUCUUCCUUCUAUUUCUCAGUCAUCUUAAGAUCUUUUUCUCUUCGAAUCUCUGAAGAAAUAAAAAUAAAAAGAAAACCAAAAAUGUUGCUUACAUUAUUAAAAUCUCUCCUCGUGAUAUUCAUGACCUCGAUACUGAGAGUUCUAUACGACACCAUAUCAUGCUACUGGCUAACACCUAGGCGAAUCAAGAAGAUCAUGGCAGGGCAAGGGGUAACCGGUCCUAAACCACGUCCACUAACCGGAAACAUCCUUGAAAUCUCGGCUAUGGUGUCGCAAUCCGUUUCUAAAGAUUGUGAUUCUGUUCACCAUGACAUCGUAGGCCGCCUUCUUCCGCAUUACGUCACCUGGUCCAAACAAUACGGUAUGCCCCAGAAUGUUAACACAAAAUUGUUUUUGGUUGUGUGGUAAACAUAGGUUUUGUUACAAAGUUGUUCUUAGAUAAAAACUGAAUUCUCUUUGCGAUAUCAAAAUGACGGAAAUAUCCUUUAGUAGGUUUGUUCUUGAUUAAUCGUUGAUAUAUUUUUUUUGUAAUGUUCUUGUAUAUUGUUUUGGUGAACCAGGGAAAAGAUUUAUAGUGUGGAACGGGACGGAUCCUCGGCUUUGCUUAACGGAAACAGAAUUGAUAAAAGAGUUGCUGAUGAAGCAUAACGGUGUAAGCGGAAGAUCGUGGCUACAGCAACAAGGGACCAAAAGUUUUAUUGGUCGUGGUCUCCUUAUGGCUAAUGGCCAAGAUUGGCACCACCAACGCCACCUUGCUGCGCCGGCAUUUAACGGGGAAAGGCUCAAGGCACGUAACAAAUUAAACCUCAUGCAAAAGUAACAUAGUGUUAAAUGACCAAAACACCCUUGUGAUAUAUGCAGGGCUACGCAAGGCACAUGGUUGAGUGUACGACUAGGCUAGUGGAGAGGCUGAGGAAAGAAGUUGGGAAAGGAGGAGGUGAGGUGGAGAUAGGGGAGGAGAUGCACCAGCUCACGGCGGAUAUUAUAUCGAGGACGGAGUUCGGAAGUAGCUUUGAGAAAGGCAAAGAGCUUUUCAACCACCUCACCGUCCUCCAACGCCGUUGCGCUCAAGCCACCCGCCACCUCUGUUUUCCCGGUAGCCGGUGAGUUUUCUUCCUCGACGAGUAAUAAAAAUGUCUAGAUUUUGAAAGUGAACGGCAAACGGUUUAUUAAUCUAUUAGUAUUACCAAAAACGUAUAUACCAUUAAAAUAAGCAAAAUAGUUAUAUAUAUAUAUUUUAAAUAAGCAAAAUAGUUAUAUUACAAAAUGGUACCAUUGUCUUUGAAAAUGAUUGAAGACAUUAUUUAAGUAAAAUAUAUUUAAUAAACAAGCAAAAUCUUUUUUUUUAAUUAUCUUAUAGCCAUAUAUAUAUUAUCUUAUAGCCACAUAUAUAUAUAUGUAUGUACACAUAUAUGGUAAACCUUUUUUGAAGUUGCUGAUAAAUUUUUUGUCUAGUCCCCCUCAUCUACUGUACCAUACGGUGCUUAUAGAUUUCGAAAAUUAGUGUGUGUUUUGGUGUGUCAUUGCCGGGUUUCAAGCAAUAUGUUUUUCUCUGUCUAGCACAAGCAUCACUCUUUACUCUGUAUCAUGUUUUCAAAUGUAUAUUGCUUUUUCGUAGACCUUAAGCACAGUUAAACGUUGACUUAACAUGAAAUAUUCGUAUCUAUCUAGGUUUCUUCCGAGCAAAUACAACAGAGAAAUAAAGUCUCUGAAAAAGGAAGUGGAACGUUUGUUGAUAGAGAUCAUACAAAGCAGGCGAGACUGUGCUGAGAUGGGCCGGAGCAGUACUCACGGCGAUGACCUUCUUGGCCUUCUCUUGAACGAAAUGGAUAGUCACAAGAACAAAAAUAACGAUAACAAUAAUCUUCAGUUGAUAAUGGAUGAAUGCAAGACGUUCUUCUUUGCUGGUCACGAAACUACCGCACUCCUUCUCACAUGGACAAUGAUGCUCCUUGCCGAUAACCCCACGUGGCAGGAAAAGGUUCGUGAUGAGAUUAGAGAGGUAUGUGGCUGCGACGGUCUUCCCUCGGUUGAUCAACUAUCCAAACUUACCUCGGUACGUACGUUCACCGUUAGACACAUGAUAUACCACUCAUAAGUUCUAAAAUCCUCUCUUACAAAGUUAUAGACUUUUGUUUAGAUUUAUCGAGUCAACACAUGAAUUAAGUUAUUCCUAGGUUUGAAUGGUAGCUAGCAUCGAACGUGACAUACUAGUGAGCCCCCGGUCUCGAUUGUUUUUGUUUACUAGUCACGAGUUCUAGUUCCUAGUAGCGCCAAUAAAAGGAAAAACACUGAUUCAUAAAACGAUUAAAUUCCUUAAAUUUAUCCAAAAAUAUUAUUUAUAUAGCGAUAUUUCCGAUUCAGAAAUAGAACGUUAAGUUAAAUUAGUUUCUAGUGACCACUUAUCUAUGUUUCAAAACUAAUCAUUUUCUAACACAUUGUUUAAUUAGAUUUCAAGGACUCGAAGGCCACUAACUAUAUAUAUAUAUAUAAAGAUGAUAUUUGUUGUUUGCUCCAAAUGAUAAAGUAUAAAACGAUAUCUUGUUUCAACUAAUUAUUAUAUUUGAAGUAGUAUAGAAUUACCUUUUUGAUGAAUGGGUGCGUGUGGGGUAUUAACAUUCAACACAGUAUAGGCAAUGCCACUAACUUCGUAGUGCAUCUUCCAUAACUAAGCUUAUAACAUAGGCAUCAAGUCGACACAAAUAACCCUAUUGACUAUCUUUUAAUUUCGUCUUCAUGCUUAUUAUCUUCAAUACUAAACUAAAACUCAAACAAUAGAAUGUCUAGGUUUGUUGAUUCUGAUGGUAUAUUUAUUUUGGAAUCAUCGGUUACAUGUUUAUACUAAGUACUUAAUUAAGAUCGUACUUCUUAGAAGUAGUUAUAAUAACUAGAUAUGAUUAACAUUAAUUAAAGCUAGAUUUGAAAUUCGUUAAGAUAGAGAGACUGGUACACAUUUUUUUCAGGAAUAAAUAAAUGGUUAAAUGAUACAUUUCAGUAGUUUAAUCAUUAGCACUAAGACAUGCUUUGCAUAAAAUAUUAUACAACAAAUCUAUCUAAAACAUGUAUUAACUAAUGAUUAGAUUUUGACAGCUUCAUUGAUACUCUUCUUUUCUUUCCAAAGGAAAAGUCAAUUCUCAAACUAAAAGAUGUUUGAGAAAGAGUCAAGAAGCACUUCGCAUGAUCGCAAGAUAUGAUUCUUAUAUAAAUUAAUAGAAUAUACUGCUAAUAUUUUGUCUUUUUCUUCUCUUUUAACAGUUAAACAAAGUGAUAAACGAGUCAUUAAGACUUUACCCUCCAGCUACUCUUCUACCAAGGAUGGCAUUUGAAGAUAUAAAACUAGGUGAUCUAAUAAUUCCCAAAGGUUUAUCAAUAUGGAUACCCGUCCUCGCAAUCCAUCACAGCGAAGAAUUAUGGGGUAAAGACGCAAAUGAAUUCAACCCUGAACGCUUUGGAGGCAAACCAUUUGCGCCUGGCCGCCACUUCAUCCCAUUUGCAGCUGGUCCUCGAAACUGCAUCGGACAAUCAUUUGCGAUGAUGGAAGCAAAAAUAAUAUUAGCAACGCUAAUUUCAAAGUUUAACUUCGCAAUAUCAAAGAACUAUAGACAUGCGCCAAUAGUUGUGCUUACUAUAAAACCUAAGUAUGGAGUUCAAGUGAUAUUGAAGCCAUUUGACUCAUGAAGCUUUAAGAUUAAAAGAGUCAUUUGAAAUGCUUUGAUCAUACACUUGGGAAAAUAUUUUGGGGGUUGUUAACUUUUGAGUAACAUGAGGGAUUUUGAUUUGAAUAAAUAUCGUACGAGUAUGAGAGAAAACUAUGUUAAAGCUUUAGCAAAAAAAAAAUUAUGUUAAUCUUUUCCUCAAAUUUAUUUUUUUAUUUUGUGUUUAUCCGUUUUACAAGCGACAUUGCUCAAAAGUGGACAAAAAUUACCUACAAACUGCAUAUUUGUUUUUUAUUUUUCUCAUGUGUUCAGAAUAUAACAUUUGUCUCUCAGAGCUCUCAAAAGAAAUUAUUUAGCAAACAUUUAAAAAUGAUUUACUGUAGAAAUUAAUAGGGAUAGCAUUCCAGCAUUAAAAAAAUUCGGUAAGCCAGACAUAUAGCAGACUAAGGUCGAAAAGGAGAUUUGGAACUGAUAUAUGUUAGAAUAUUACCGGUAAGUGGUAACGAACGCUUCUAUAUUUUGAUGUUUUUGUUUAUUCAGUAAAGACUAAUUAUACAAAUCUUAGUAAUAAAUUAUACACAGAAAGAGACACAAAAGGCUGCGACGGUUGUCUUUGUGUAAGGUCAUAUUAUGUUCUUUCAGACUGCAGAUUGUAUCGAUAACUUUUUGGCAUAUGGCCAAAAGCAAUCGUCCAUCGAUCACCUUUAUUUGCUUUAAAAGUGAAGUUUGAAUUGAAUAUUAAUAAAAGUCAUUAUGUUAUAUUGAGAUGGGUUUAAUCUAGAUAAGCCUUAAAAUAAUAAACAAACAUAAACAACAAAUAUAAUAAACAAAGAAACAAAAAGAAUGAUUAGGACAACGCGGCUUUAUAGUCUAGCGGUUAGGAAAUUUUAGUUUAAAUAAAACAAAAGACAAAAGAAUGAUUAGGGAUGGGGGAAAGAGAGUUCAUCUUUUAUUUUGUUGGUUAAGUUUGGUGGCGGCCAUUGCACUUACAAUGACUAAGGUUGAUUCUUGCUUCUUUAUCUUAGUUUUUUAUUGAUAUAAUGUGGUAGAAGUAACCCUUGAAAAUGAUUCAAAAUAACAAACAAAUUGCAACUUGUAGGUAUAUUUGUGCGUUAUGGGUUAUUUAGAUUGAUAGUCAAAUUUUUAUAUAUUAAAACAUAAGUCACAACUUUGAUUAUGUGAUUUUUUUUUAAAAUGGAUAUAUUCUUAGAAAGUCAUGUUUCAUUUAAUCUUUAAUCUUAUCAUUUAAAUUUUGGGUCUACCAUAAAUUUUUAAUGGGCUCUCAAUAAUUGAAUUUAAACAAUAAAUGAUCCAUUGGAUUUAUAAAUAAUAUAAAUUAAAUAGAUAUAAUUUAAUGUUGUAAUACUAUACCUCCACAUGUUAAUAAUUUAAAUAUUUGUCGAUGUUUACUUUUAAAAUUAUAAAGAUUUUUUUUAAAUAACAAAAAUCAUAUUAUCUAACAAUGAUUAAUCUUUACUACCUUAAACCAAUGAAAACGAAUUUUAAACUAUAUAGUUUAUUUUAAAAAUUAAACAAAAAGUAAAUGUUUAAUUAGUUACUCGAUAAUAUAAAUCUAUGAAGCGAAAAGUUUAAUUUUUUAAAAACUUUCUAAAUUUGUAAAAUGUUACAAUAUUUUUGAAUAUGACAAUAAAAAAAUAUUUUACUAAUCUUUAUAUAUAUAGUUACGAUUUUAAUAAUAAAAUAAUAAUCCGAAAAUAUAUAUAUAGAAAAAGAUACAAAUACAUGUGAAAGUUUGAAACAAUCUAUUCAGUGAAAAAAAUAUACCGUAAACUUAUUAUGUUUUAAAAAUUGAUAGACACAUAUAUAUUAUAAUAUAUACCAGUUUAGAAUUGAAAACAAAAUGUUUAUAUAAAAAUAAAUGAAAACAAAAAUCCGUGCGGUUGCGCGGAUCGAGAUCUAGUUUGGUUUAUAAUUGAAUAACUUAUUUGGUGAAAUUUAAAAUAAACAAUUUUCCUGUAAAAGCUCCUUUCGGUUAAUUAUAAUAAAAAGAACCUUAUUUAACCAAAUCAGAUGACUCGUACAUGAUUUUACAUCAGAGUUCGAUUUAAGAAAAUAUGAUUUCUGCAAAUUAGUAGAAGCAAGGUUUUUAAAAGAACAACAACACAAUUAGGAAAUUGGCUGAUAGCAACAGCAAGGGAGUCAAAAGAAACUUUGAGAUCACAUUGAUCAAUUUCUAAAGAGUUAUUCUUGGGUUCACCUCUAGGGUGAACCUUCACCAACCAAUAGAAAAUUGUCAUUUUAAAUCUAGUAUCUUUUAAUUAAGAAAACCAAAUAACUUGGCAAAUUAUAUUAUUUUUUCAAAAUAAAAUUUAAAAAUAAAUAAAAAUAAUAUAUAAAAAACGAAUUCAAAUAAGAAAAAAUGUUGUCAACAAAACACUAAACCCUAAACUAUAAUACUAAACUCAAAUCCUAAACCCUAAAUCUUUGGGUAAACUCUAAAUCUUUGGGUAAACCCCUAAACCCUUGGAAAAGCACUAAACAUGUUGUCAACAAAAUACUAAAUCCUAAACUCUAAUCCUAAACCCUAAACCCUUGGAAAAACCUUAAACCCUUGGGUAAACCCUAAACCCUUGGGUAAAUCCUAAACCCUUAGGUAAACCCUAAACCCUUGGAAAAACACUAAACAUUUGGAUAAAUUCUAAAUUAUAAAUCUUAAACACUAAACUCUAAAUUUUAAAAAUAAAUAUUUUUUUUUUAAAUAAUUUUUUUUAGAACUAUUGUUAUUUUUAUUUAUUUAAUUUUUUAUUUUUUAUUUUAAAAGCAUAAUAUAAUUUGGCAAGUUAUUUUGUUUCCUUAAUUAAAAGAUACUAGAUCUAAAAUGACAAUUUUCUAUUGGUAGGUGAACCUAAAGGUGCACCCUAGGAGUGAACCCAAGAAAAAGUCAUUUCUAAACUACGAUUAGGAUCCACGGAUUGAUUGACGGACAUUAUCUUGAUUCUUAUACUUUCUAUUAAUUUUUAAUUAAUAAAAUAUUAUUUUAUAACUAAGUUAAUUAUUUUUGCUAGCUGUUCAACGAAUCGUAUAUUUUUUCAGACUAUUUUGGUGUUCGAGAAAGAGGUGAAUCAAAUCCAUAUGCAUGAUUCAAUUCAGACGACACCAUGGGGGGAGGGGGAGGAGGAAUGGAACAUGAGUCCCAGGGGCGGACGUACGUUGAUGGGUAUGGGCCCCCGACUGAUUAUAUAAUUUUUGUGUUUAACGUUCGUGCUCUUUGGUCAAACAUCUCAGUUGUUUAAGUGUGCUCCGUUUCUAGCUUUUGUGUGAAAGGUUUGAUUUUCCUCGCCAGAAACUUUUAAUAUAACAUUUUGUUUCCUGCCAUAUUAGUUGCUCGCGGUCCCAUCAAAUGAAACGUAAUAUAUUAUCUCUGUGUGUUUAAUUUGUUUUGCAUGAUUUUUUCGCUUCUUGCUCUUUGAAACUAUUUCAUACUUUUAUUCAAUUAUUUUUAUACUAGAGUCGAUAGAGAAUAAAUUUUUAAAACAACCUAAGUAUUUUUUCAUGAACAAAAAGAUGAUUCACAAAAAUAAAAAAUAAUUAUACUUUAAAAUAAAUAUUUAAUUACUAUUUGGCUAAUAUAUAAUACUCCAUCCGUUUCACAAAGAUAUAUUUUCUAGUGUUUUUACACAUAUUAAAAAAACACAUUAAAUCACUGUAUUAAAUGUAUCGUUUUCUGUAAUUUUCAAGUUUCAAUAACUUUUAACCAAUAAUAAUUCAAUAACGUCAAUUAAUUUUAUUGAAGUUUACAAUUUUUUUUGUAGAAAACAUAAAACUUCUAUUUUUAUGAAACAAUUUUUUUUUCUAAAACAUCUAUUUUAAUGAAACAGAAAUAAUAUUAUCUAAAACAUUAAUAUUAAAUUACAUAACAUAUUUAUAAUAUUGUACCCCCAAUUAAAAGAAGGGGUUCUUCAAAAAAUGACUCAAAAUUUCAAGCCAAACACAAAAAUAAUCUAUGUUUUUUUGAAACUUUGUUUUGUCAUAUUCACCCUAGAAGUUCUAGUUAUUCACGAAAAUGCCAUUAUUUUUUUUUUUGAAAAUAACGCUUUUACUUUAUCAUCCUCAUCUUCACCAAAUAUUUACAACUUUGCCAUUGACAUCAAUACCUCAACCACCAUGAACUACCAAAUUGAGAGUGUUAAUGCCCUAAAGUUUCGAUUUUUUCUCAUCAUUUCUCAUUUCCUAUCCACACAAACCACAUAUCUUACACUUUCUCUCAAAAUUUAUCAAAAAAACUGAAGAUUUUGAUUACAAAUUAUGUGAGGUUCAUAAGCUCACGAUUCUUGGUGAUUAACGAGUAGGUAGCUGUUGUGGUUAAGUUCUGGGUGAUUGGAGAAACCACGCAAGUCAUCUCACGAGUUCAAGGAAUGAAAUCGCGAACUACAUUUUAUUUUUCAGAUCUGUUCGAUGAAGAAGGCUUCUUUAGAGUCUUCUUCAUCGAGAAGACUUCUAUAGAAGUCUUCUGGUCAAUGCAUAUGUUAGUUUUGCAAUUGACAUUUUGUGUGCUUUUAAUAGAAGACUUCCGUAGAAGUCUUCUAACUUUCUUUUGUAAACAAAAAAUUUCGAAAUUCCCAGAGAAGACUUCUUUAGAAUAAACAGGUUACUUUUAAAUUUGACCGAAGUUGGUCAGAAAUUUGACUUUUUGUAGUCUUCCUGGAGAAAACUUCUACAGAAGUCUUCUGAAAGUCUUCCCUAAGUCUUCUCAAUGCCGGAAGAUGUCUGUGUGGGUUACUUUUGCAAUUAAAAAAUAAUAGUAAAACAUUUAAUAUCAAUGAGAAGACUUCUAAAAUAACAGUCAUUUGACUAUGUAUGCGGGACUGACCGUUGGUGGCUUUGAAUCCCAUCCGCUCUGCGGCCUUUUUAUAUAUAUAACAAAUGUUCUUUUAGCAUUCUAUGAGUUUUAGUUUAUACUUCUGCCAAGUGUUGAGGGAAAGACACGAGUAGUCACUUCGUAUCUUAACUCUUAAUUUGUCGUUCCGUUCAUUUGCUCUUUUGAGGGUAUUCGAAAACGUUUCGGAGUUUUACGAAGUUUCGUGAGCGUUUUAGAUGUGGACGAUGAGACAUGUUUUAAGAUCUCGUAUCAGUUUCAAUAUCAUGUCUUGAGAUGUUAAUUAACCAGUAGGACUGGGUUUAGGGCAAGACCUAGGUUUACUUUCGGCUCUAAGGCUAUGCGACGACUAAUCAGCUUUCAUUUUGCCCGUUGGCGAUUUCUACAUGAUUCUUUCCGAUUAAAGUCUGCGACUGGGCGCCGGCUUAUAUGACUUGUGUGGGAAGAAUCGAGCACUUUCCAGAGAACAUCUUGUGUGCUGACCAAAAUUUCAGAUUUUCUUGUAUAGCGCGCUAUGGUAUCCUUGCCGGAUGUAAGAGAACCUUUAGUUUUUAUAAAAGGUUUGACUAGUUCUUUUUUAGAGAACGUGUUGGACUUGUCCGUCGGGGCCAGUCGACGGGCAUUUUAUAUUUUAGAGUCACAGAUGGACUGUGUAUUUGGAUAAUAUCUUUCGAGAAAUAUUUGCGACGUCUCGCUUUUUCGAAGAUAUGUCUUUUGCUGUGAGAUGGCUACGAUCCUCGUUUUUAUAGAAGAUGCAUUUUUCCGGUCUUGCUUGACCAUGAGUAUGUGUGAAUUAUGUAGGAAUUAGUUUUCGUCCAAGGACUGCUUGGACGGUAUGCCCUUAUCUUGAGCGUUUCUUAGGCCAACCUUAGAUUACUGUGACUUAUUGCUUGUGAAUCGUGAGAUUGGAAGAAGUUAGAAUUUAUUGAAAAAGUUUCAAAAAUAUCGAGUACAUUCAUGGAUAUUUCGGAUUUUGUGGGAGUAUACGAGUAUACGAGUAUACGUACCCACCCCCCUUCUUUAACGAGGGGGAUAGCUGAACUUGUCGAUAUGACAAGCUGCCUACGUACCUCUUUCGAGGAUCAAACCAUCUCGUAAUUCUGCUUGUUGUUGUGGGUGUUCCUACUCGCUAGAUGGGAUCGUUCCGGUUACUUCAACCGUUGGGGCUUCAGUUGGAUCGACGAUCGUUUCAGGAGUUUGGAUUCUACUGGCAAGGCGAUGGACUUGGGGACUAUGUCGCUAUCUGGAGUCAUUGCCUGGUCGGGUGAUUCUGGAUCACUUUUUAUGGGGCCUCGGAAGCGUUUUGUGCUUUCUUAGCCCGCUUCGGGUUGACCGCUGGGGUGUUCCGAGUUUGUUGCAGGUUAUGCUCGGCCAAGAAGCAGAGCCUAGACUGUUUCUUGCAUCCCCAGAUUACCGCUGUUCCGUUUGGAGUUAGGAACUUGAUGCCAAGGUGGUAAGUCGACGGUACCGCUUUCAUGGCAUUGAUCCAAGGAGUUCCCAUGAUGACAUUGUAGAUGGCCGGGUUAUCGACUACCGCAAAGUCAACGAUUUUCGUCACCUCUUUAUCCAUCACUAGGAGUUUGAUUUAUCCGAGGGUCAUUGACGUUGCACCUGAGAAACCGGUAAGAGGUUUUGGUUAUGGGACGACUUCUUCGAGUUCAAUGUUCAUCCUCCGGAGGAUAUCGCGGAAGAUGACGUUGACUGUGCUUCCCGUGUCGAUAAGGAUCCUUCCCACUUCCAGGUCUCGGAUUACCAGAUCGAUAACCAAUGGGUUGCAGUGAGGUUUGUCGAUUCUGAUAGUUUCCCGCUCUUCGUAGACGACCGUAUCUUUAGGGACGUUGUCGGUUGGGGACCGAGCCAAGCAGCUUGAACUUGUCUCAGCCUUCCGUCCAUAAGCUUUGAUCGACGAUAUCGAAUCGCGAUAGAAUUGCGAUCCCCCGAUGAUCAUGCUCAGCCUUCCGUUUUUCUCGGAUGGACGUCGGCACCUCCGUUCGAGUGAUCGGACUGGUUGCUUAUGUCCAGAUCAAUCCGCUCGAUAUCGCCUCCUUCGUUGCUCCCGGCGGGAGAUGGAAGGUUCUCCGCGGUCGGUUGCGCGCCUGGCGGGACUGUUUCGUCAGGGUUCUGACCUGAAGAAUCCUUGUCUGCCCGUGUGGCCCGAUCGCUCGGAGUCUCGAAAUCGAGUCUUCCGCCGCUGCGGUAUCUUGUGGCCCUGCGCGGGUUUUUACUCUUGGCCUGCGCCGUUAAGGUUUCCACCUAUUUUUCGAGAGAGGCCACGAGCUUUCCUUGUUCGUCCGACUUUUUCUGAGCGGAGGGGAACAUUUCUUUCAUCUGGUCCAGUAUCACGGCGUUCGUAGUGACCGUGGAUACGUUUCCAGCUAGAGUUCUGAAAGCGUUGGCAUUGACGGAAGUCCCGUCGUGCGUUUGCUUGUCUUUGUCAGCGUUAGUCGUCAUACCUGAGUGAGCGUGCGCGGUUGCGUGAGAGAUAGAUCCGUACCCCCCGCAUUCUAGCGCCAAACUGUGGAAACCGGAAUUCACACCGUCGAAAUUUGUUAAUCGGAGGAAACCCAAGCUAACCUAGCCAUCCCUGAAGGUCCAGGUUAUCUGCUGGGCCACGCACAACACAAUCAAUAUGAAAGAGUAUAAAGUAAUAAAUCGUAAAAGAGCGAAAAGAUAACAAAUAGGUCUUAUUUCUAAAUUCGCGUUUGAGCGUGAACAACAGGUAAGAUCCUAGGCCACGAGAGCUGUCGGUACGUUCGCUAGUCUAGCCACCUAAGUUCUAACCUAGUCGAGUCGCAGCUCGAUAAUAAAAAACGGAAAAUGCCUAAAUUGCUCUAAGUAUUAAGUUUGCUCUGAGAAAGCUCCCUCUUGCUCCUCGCCUUAAGCCCUCCUUAUAUACUCUCUUUAGAUCGGUUUGCACCUUUUCCUGGGCCGGAUUCGUCGCGAGAUGGACUUUUCCAUUUUUCGUCACCCUUCAUGAUUAUCUUCGGAAACUUGACAUUUAUCUUUUCCCGCGAAUAAAAAAUAGACCUUCAUAUCAGGUUUGGGCUCAAUCCCGUUAUAAAAUCGUAAGUGGGCCGUUUAUCCGCGGUUCAGGCCGCUUUUGGGCCGUUUUUGGACUUAGACAUUUUUACGAUUUUUCCUAAGAAACAACCGUUGGUUUUUCUGAAAGGAUUCCAAUUCCCCGUAUAGUUAAGGCAACUGGUGUUCAAGCUAACCAUAGCCGUUUUAUACGGCAGGCAGGAAUCUGUUUCGACGACCAAGUUUUUUAUAACUUUUCCCGAAGUCUUUCUUUGAUAAUCCUAAGCGAGACGAGACAUUGGUAUUGCGUCCAAGGGCCCGAGGAUUGUGUUACGGGAACUUAGACGAGGAUGCACGGUUUCGGAACAGGAGGUCGGUCCUCGCCCAUGGGCGAGGUGACCUCAGCGCGGAUCGUCCUCGCCCAUGGGCGAGGUGACCGCGGUGCGGGUCGUCCUCGCCCAUGGAUGAGGUGACCUCGGUGCGGGUCGUGCUGAGAAGGUCCUCGCCCUAGGGCGAGGUUGUCGGUCCGUGCUUACGAUUGAGACCUCAUCCAGACUGAUCCUCUUCUCGACGUUCCUCGGUUCGCAUCCGCGAAAAACUGUCUUUUACUUGAUUAACCGUUUUCCGGGAAUGUCUAAUUUUCAAGGAUCGAUCGAGAGUUGGUUUUUCGGGAACUUUCAUUGAUUCCGCCGUGACCGGUUUUGACCCCAACAAAGACUUCUUUUUAAGUCUUCUGUGAGUCUUCCAGACCCAAAAAUCAAUUAACUAUGCAAAAAAUAUUUUCUUAAACUUAAAAAAAAAACUUAGAAAGUGUUUAAAUCAAGUUAUUAAAUAGUUACUAAACAUAUGUGGGUCAAUUUGAAAAAGAAAAAAAAUGAAGGUAAGAUUUCAGAAUUUAAUCCUUAAGAUACAUACAAUACUAUAGCAUAUGUUACCAAACCUUAAACCAAUGACUCAUGAGCCAAUAUACAUUCACUCAUCUAUGUUGAAAAUAAUUCAAUUUCAGAUGAACUAAAUUUACAUCAUUGAGAAAUGUUUAUUAUUACAUUAUUUCAAUUUUUAACCCAUGAAAAUAUUUUUUUAUAAAAUUUUUAAAUUAUUUUUAAGAUCUAAUCCAUAAGAAAACUUUCUCUGGAAGAUUUCUGAAAGACUUAUGGAAGACUCCUGGAAGACUUAUGGAAGACUUUGAUUUAGACGGGAAACCUAAAUUCUUCCAAAAUUUAGGCGGGAACCAUAAAUUCUACUAAAAUUUAGGCGGGAUGUGUCUGAAGACUUCUUUUUAAGUCUUAUGUGAGUCUUUGAGGCCCUAAAAUCAAUUAACUAUGCAAAAAACACUUUCUUAAACUUAAAAAAAAAAACUUAGAAAGUGUUUAAAUCAAAUUAUUAAAUAGUUACUAAACAUAUAUGGGUCAAUUUGAAAAAAAAAAUGAAGGUAAGAUUUCAGAAUCUAACCCUAAAGAUACAUACAAUACUAUAACAUAUGUUACCAAACCCUAAACAAUUGACUCAUGAGCCAAUAUACAUUCACUCAUCUAUGUUGAAAAUAAUUCAAUUUCAGAUGAACUAAAUUGACAUCAUUGAAAAAUGUUUAUUAUUACAUGAUUUCAAUUUUUUACCCAUCAAAAUAUUUUUUAUAAAAUUAUAAAAUUAUUUUUAAGAUCUACUGAACGAAAAGACUUACAAAGAAGUCGUCAUUGAGAAGAAUUACAAAGAAGUCUUCUCCAACGGAGGGUUAUAAUGGUAAAAUUGAAAACAUGUUUUUUGUUUGUUCAUAAGGGAGCUAUUGUAAUUUCACUAGGUUUUUGGGUUACUUUUGCAUUUGAUUGAAUUUGAGGUACAUUUUUGUAUUCACUUUUGGCAAAUUCUCUUUAAAACAAUUUCUAGAUCCGCCGCUGAACUCGACUCCAUAUUGGGGUGGAAACACUCCACUUCUGGUGGGAAACACUCAACUUCUUAGCCUUCUGCAGUAGAGUUAUUGAUUGAACGAAUGUUUAGGGUAUCUCCGCCAAUCUGAAACAGUGCGCUACCCUUGUAUGCUUACAUCCUUGUCUCCGACCAAAAAUUUUAGGGUGAGUGUUGCCAUCAAACAGCCCACUUAUUAAUCUUUCUUAUAAAUUGAAAGGAUGUUAUAAUUUCGUCUGGUCAAAUGCGAAUAGUGCUGCGCAAAUUUUCUAUUACGCAAUAUAUUCCGAUGCAAGUUCGUUAGACAUUAUUUGAAAAGUAAUUUGCCACAUGUGUUUUGUACAUUCACUUUUACAAAAAAAUAUGACAUAACUACUUAAACUGAUGACAUAGAUUAUGGCUAAAUAUAACAUGAUCAAUUACAUUUAAUGUUGAUCUAUAUUUUUGGUAAACUCUUUAGAAUAUAGUAAUAGCACAUACAUUAUAUUUAAUGUUGAUUUAUAGUUUUGGUAAACUUCUUAGAAAAUGAUAAUAAUUCAUACAUCAUCACUAAAAUAAAUAUAUUGAGAUAUGACAUUACAAAUUUUAAAAUAUUAUUUAAUUUUGUUUUUUAUAAUUAUACAAUUUUUAUUACUAACAUUUUCAAAAAUUUCUACAAUUUUUAAAGAAUUUUUAAGUUUUAAUCGUAAUAUCAUUUGUCUCUUUUAUAUAUCUACAAAUUUUAUAAAUACUUUUUAAUUUUAAUCUUUUAAUAAUCAUACAAAUUUUAUAUCAUUUUUUAUUAAUUUUAUACAAAUUUAUUUAAUAUAUUUAACCAAAAGAAAUAGAUUAAAAAUCUAUCUUAAAUUAUAAUUUAAAAAAAUAUGUAUUUUUUUAUUUUUAAUUAAAUCAAAUUUAUAUUAAAAUAUUGGUAAGCAAAUAAUAAAAUUUGCAAUAUUAAUUAAAAAUAUAGUUUAAAUUAAAAAAAUAUAUAUUAUUGCACAUGGUGCAGAAACACCUAGUACAUUGUUAGACUUCAAGAGAUUCGGUAAAACGAUCUCAUUUAAUUAUUUACUAAACCCUGAUCCGCGCGCCAGCGUGGAUAUGAAUUUUCAGUUUUUAAUUAUUUAUUUUAUUAAAUAAUGUAUUUGUAAUAUUCGUUCAUAUUAUAUUCAUUAAGUAAAUUUUUUUUUUUGCAUCUUAAACUAUCUAUUUUUUUACGAAUGUGUGAUAUCAUAUAAAAAUAAAAAAUGAGUAUAGAGUUAAUUAGAUAAUUUUAAAACAUAAUUUUUUCUUUCGUGUGCGAUAUCAUAUAAAUAAUGAUCCGUCCAGUUAACAAAAAUCAUGAUUAUUUUAAGUGUAAUUUUUUUCAUCCUUUCUCAUUUCCUAUCCACACAAACCACAUAUCUUACACUUUCUCUCAAAAUUUAUCAAAAAAACUGAAGAUUUUGAUUACAAAUUAUGUGAUAAAAAAUAUAAAUAAAAAUUAUAAAUUUAGCAAAUGACAACUGAAUUAUAUUAUGCUAAAAUUUUAUUUCUAACAAUUUAUCAAAUGACAUGACCCUGAUCCGCGCGACAUUCUUUAUGGCAUGUACUCAAUCCUUAAUCAAUUUAUCAUUUAAUUCUUUAUGGCAUGUACUCAAUCCAAUUACUUGUCGUUGUCGAGUGGGAAUGUUAUUUCAAUAGGGGUAUAAUCUUAAAAUACGCUACAUGAUAGACUAUCUAGAAUUUUUUUAAUGUAUAUAUGACAUGCACACGCGUGUUCAUCUAAACUGAAUAGUGAUACUGUGUCUUGUUUGACGAAGUUAAGCAAAGAUCCCCACUAUCAAAAGAGAAAAUCUUUGUGAUCAUAGAAGAUUUGGUGAAAAUAUCAAAAUACUAUUAUUAUUUCUAUACCUUUUUUUUUUUUGCUUAAAAUUAUUUUUCUAUACUUGAUAUGAGAAGUAUCCAAGUUUAGAAAAAAUAGCUAAGCAUAUAAUCGCAGUAUAGCUUAGUAGUUUGUAUAUCUGAACAAGGUAUAUAUUUUUUGUACGCACGGAUUGUGUAUAUUAAUGUUGAUUUUUGAAUGAUUUUUAGAAGAUACGUUAUACAUGACUUAAAGAAAUUCAGAUACCAAACACAAUAAAAAUGUUUUAAUAAGUGAUAUUAUGUAUUAAAUAAAAUAGAAUUAAUAAGCAAAUGGACGUCGAUAAUAUUUAUGCAGACAAAGUAGCAGUUGAUAUGAUAAAGAAGAUGAUGAAAUCAAAUCUAUUGAAAAGUAUAUAUAAAUAAAUGAUUGGCCAAAUAAAAAAAAAAAUAAUACACAAAAUAUCUUAAAAGUAUUCGGACCACUAGUUUAUAUACUAAAAAUGUAAACAACUAGGAUAGAAAUGGAUCGUUGCACCAACGGAAAAUCAAUAUAAAAUUGAUUAUGAAGAGACAUAGUCUCAUGUGCUAGAUGCAACCAUUUUCAAGUUCCUUGUCAAUCUGGCAAUAAAAGAAGAAUUUGAAUUAUACGAUCCACUGAAAAAUGAUAAUCUCUGAAAGAUAAAAUCCAUGAAGGAUUGAUGAUAUCAAAACUAUAUUUUAAGGAACUUUAGCAAUUCAGUCAAAUUUAAACAAAUUCGCUUUCAAGAGAUAUAUUAAGAGUAUUAUAUAUUUUGUAUUUCUUUGGUAUAGAAGUACCACACCUAAAGUGUUAUUUGAAUAAGUUACUAAUCUUUUAUGUGACCGAAAAAUGUGAUUUCAUAUGACAAUAAAGAAAUACAUAACAGAGUGUUCUGUCGGCUGUGCCCUCCUACUCUAUGUCCUACUUUAAACUUCCGGUUUCGUUGUGCAAGCGUAUUCAGACAGUAAUUACCAGAUACUGGUGGGACAAUACCGAAGGCGUGAAGAAGAUGGCGUGGAUCUCGUGGGAUAGAAUGGCGAAACCGAAGUCGGUAGGAGGACUUGGUAUGAGAGACUUUCUCAAGUUCAAUAAAGCCCUGUUAGCCAAGAUAAGCUGGAGGCUUCUCGAUAAGCCUGAUUGCCUUCUGGGGAAGAUCCUCAAGGGCAAGUACUUCCCGGAAAGUCACAUCCUGCUCGUGGAGGAGGCUUCCUCGAUAUCACAUGGAUGGCGGAGUAUACUUAUAGGUCGCAACUUGCUCUUAAAGAAUCUAGGCUGGGCAGUUGGAGAUGGUCUCUCUAUUAAUAUCUGGCAGGACCCCUGGCUCAGCAUGAGCAAACAAGAACGGCCGAUGGGUCCUCCUACGGAGCAAAGCGCUGAGCUAAGGGUGGCUGACUUGAUGAUCGCAGACACAAGGCAAUGGGACAAGGCCAAAAUCCGCCGUUUGCUCCCAGACUAUGAGGAAAGAAUCCUCUGCUUAAGGUCGAGCAUCUCUGGGGCUCCAGAUAAGCUGUUUUGGCUAGGUACUAAAUCAGGAGACUAUACUUCCAAAUCAGGGUAUUUUGCUGCCAUUGAUGGUGAGGAGGCAAUAUAAGAACUGGAAGCAAAUUUCAACUGGAAGAAACAUGUUUGAAACCUACAAUGUGCCCCAAAAGUGAAACAAUUUUCGUGGAGAUUACUCAAGCGAGCAAUACCUGUAGGAGAACGUCUGGUGGAGAGGCAUAUUGAUGCUGACCCAAAAUGCAAGCGCUGUGGUGAAAACGAAUCUAUCACUCAUCUAUUGUUCCAUUGUCAGUUCGCCCACAAGAUUUGGUUCCUAGCUCCUUUGGCUACUGAUGUGGAUCCUAGAGGAAUAAUAGAUUUAAUGGCCACAUGGCCCACACUCUGUUCCUUAACAUGUCUGCCACCGUCUGGUGUAACUAAUGGUACUCUUGUCCCCUGGAUCCUAUGGACAAUACGGAAAGCACGAAACAAACUCAUAUUUGAAGGUUUCUCCGCAUCUCCUGAAGAGACUCUUUCAUCAGCCAUUGGACUAGCCCGCGAAUGGGCUACUUCCUGCAAAACAGAGCCGCUUAAUCUUCCUGGAAGGAGCCACCAGAGACCUACAGCGCCGGAUGGUGCAGUGAUAGUACAGACCGAUGCGGCUUGGAGCGCAAUUAAUAAUGUCGCAGGUUUAGGUUGGGCAAUUGUGGCACCUGCCCCAACGCAAGCUUUCCAGGAACGGGUAGAGUUCGUCAACUCACCUUUAAUGGCAGAGGGCUUAGCCAUGAGAGAAGCGGUUUUUACCUGUCGCAGGUUGGAGCUCAAAGUCUUGCGGGUUGAAUCGGAUUCAGCCCAGCUGGUCAAGUGUGUCACCUCCUCUUUCCAAGUAGCAGAGCUCCAUAGUGUGGUGUCUGAUAUAUUAUAUGUGGUUGAUAUAUUAUAUGUGGUUGAUGAGUUUGAAUCUAUCUCUUUUGCUUGGAAUCCCUAGAGAGAAAAAUAAGUUUGUUGAUGGUCUGGCAAAGAAUGCCUUGUCUGUACUAGAACCAGUGGUAGUUGAGGAUGCUUUUACUGCUCCUAACUAACCUCCUAUCUUUUAAUUAAAUGGGUGUUUCAAAAAACAUAACAAUAACUUUUAUGAAAAACUCAUAUGUAGAUUUUUUAGACGUUUGUAUGUAAAAAUGUUUGGCUUGAAGUCCAAAUAGACCAAGAAACUAUUAUCUAUAUUAAAAAAAGAAUUCUGGACCAGAAUAAAAAUUCUAUAUAUUAUAAUAGAAAUCAAACUAGUUUAUUCUACUAAGCUCAAUUUCGUAAAAUGGUAUAUCUGAAGGGAAUGCAUAUCUUGAAGAUACUGCUUGGAAGAGAAAAAAUAUAAUAAUGUGUAUAGUUGUACUCUUUUUCUUUAUCAUAAUUUUUAUCCCAUUGAAAUUUUCUAAGACAACGUUUUAACGAAGCAACAUAGAACACACAAACGAUAGACACCCCAGAUAAAUAUUAUAUUUCAAAGAAAAAGUGUCUAUCACCAAUCUAAAGUCUUUGAAAUCAAGAGAAUCAGAGAAAAUGAUCAAGUUAUAGGAGGAUCCAUGCAGUGCAGAAGAAUGACGAAAUUUGUGUCGUACAAGUUGUUCAAGUGACAGCUUAGCUGACUUAUUCAAGAUGACGUUACCCACUGCUACGUCGAAGAAGCUAAUUUAUCUUACUGGAAUAUAUUAUCUCAAAGAUCUCUACGCCUGUACAUAUGUACGCGUUCCACUCUUUUUUCCUUAACCAUGAUUUUUUAUUGGUUUUUUUGGUAAAAUUUUUCACGAGGCAACAUCUAGACGUUUUGAAAGCACUUUGGUAUAAUGGACAUCAAGGAAAGAUGUUAUGAACAUUGUGGUGAUGUACAUUAUGGAAAGUUGCAGAUAUACUUAUUUCCCAAACUUUACUUAUUCUUAAAGUUAUACUUUAUCUCCAAACUAUUGUAUUCUUAUAUAAAAACUCAUUAUUUAUGAAUAAUAUGCACCAAUUCCUCUCUCCUCUUUUUGCUUACAACAAUUUUAGACCUACUACAUUUUUUUUGUUUGCAAAAUACUAUUUUUCGUUGGUGUGAAAUAUAUGUUUUAUUCAACUAAGACUCAGUUCUGUUCGUUUGGUUUGUUUAAACCUACUACACUUUCCUAUACUAUAUGUUCUAGUUACACACCAAUUUGAUUUAUAGAACUUUAAGAAAAAAUAUACAAAACUCUAUACUAUCUGACCAUAAACAAAUAAAUAUUGGAUGUAAUUGUAAUCUUGUAUCAUUGCGAUACAAAGCAUACUAUUUUUAUAGUUACCGAUGACAGAGAAGCACAAAAAGCAUUACCAAAAAACGUUAUAUACAGUAUACUAGGUGAUAACCCGCGCCCUGCGCGGAGUAAAUAGAUUUCAAAAUAUUAUCACUUUUAAUUUGUAGACAUAAUAAAAGUUAAAGUUAUAGCAAGAAAUACUAUAUGUUAUAAAGUAAGGGUUAGACGAAAUUUAGUAUGUCAAUCUAAAUUAAGCUGCGGAAUUUUUGUUUAAAAAUUGUAUAUUUGUUUGCAUAAAAUAAAUUAUAAAUAUAAAAUAAAACAAAACAUAAGCAAUAGACAAAUAAAAUAUAAAAGAAACAAUGUCUUGAAUGGUUUCAAAUCGGAAAUAGAGUUAAAGCCAUCCAUUUGAUUGCUUGAGAGAAUGUUUUGAUAUGAGCAAAGUCGAGAAGAAAGGUGUGGUGAGUUUUCUGAAUUAUAGAAGCCGUAUAUUUAUACUAAAAAGGAAUCGCCAUGUGGUCAUAUGGAUUCAAAAUAAUGGCUGUAACUAAAUCGAAUAUUACACAUAACUUGCGUUCCAAUCUUAGUCGAGAAUUAAUUUAAUAUUGUAAAUAGUUAAUGCAAACUUCCUUUUAUCAAUCGCAAUUGAACAAAUUCAAGAAAGUUCACGAUUAUUAAUUGAUUACAAUAAUUUGAACCUUAAUCUACGUUCCUUAUAUACAAAAGUCAAGUCCUCGCAAAUCACGUAUUAUUACCAUCAAUUUACCAAAUUUGUAAUUUAAAAAUAUAUCAAAGUUAUUAGAAGUUUCCUUUUUCCCAAUCAUCAAUCAAUUUCGUCCUUGCAAAUCACGUUUGAAUCAUGGGCAAUUUGCUCCGCCUUUAUUUGCAUUAUGCAAGCUGGCGUUAAAAUCUUAAUUACGAUAGAUCACCUAAGGUAAGUUUUUAUAAUUGUAUGCCAGAAAAUUGUAUUGUACCUUAGUUUCUACAAUCGCAAGGCGGAGAUCAUCUAACAAUUUAAUGAAACGGGGCAAGUAUAUACCAUAUGCAUGGUUCUUCUGUUUCACUAUUUUAAGAAAACAAAGUUUUCCUCUUGAUAUAUUUUUAAGAGAACAAAUAUUUUUUCGCAUUUUUAAGAAAAUCAAUCACUUGAGUACGUAUUGAUCAUCAAAUACUUUUUAUGAUUUUUCAGAAAACAAACUUUGAUUGAUAAUCGCACAUUAACUUUUUCGCAUCUAUAUUCAUUUUGAAUAAAAAAUUAGACCACUACGUAUGUCAGUAAUGUUUUUGUAUUGAAACAGAUUAAUGAAAAAACUUCAGUCAAGGUAAUUAACAUAAUUUUAAAAUCUUUGAUGUAAUACGUAGAACUUCGGUUAAGGUAACUAACGCAAGAAAUAAAUGAUAAGGUUUGAUGUAAUACGUAUCAACGUAUAUAUGUGACAAAUGUAGACAAAACUAAGGUAAUUAUAAUAUUUUGAUUAAUGGCAUGAUGUGUAAUUACUCUAGUUAACAAUGGGGUUUUAAAUAGAAUAGGUGAGGGAGCUUGUGGAGUUGCCACGUAAGAAAUGACACACUUGUAAUAAACACAUGAACUAAAGGUUAUUUAUUUUUAAUGCUCCUCAAAUAAUAAAAAAGGAUAUCUAAAAUUAAUAAUUUUGGGACUGUAAAUAUUUAUUAAUUUGCUAAAUUUUUAGUUUAAAGAACUUUUUUAGAUUUAUUUUAUAAAAUAUUACAAGAAGAAAAAUUGAAUCGGUGAAAUCAUAUACUAAUUAAAUUUUAUAAUUUCGUGUCUUUUAUAAAAUUAUUUAAAAAAAUUUAAGUAUCGAAGUUACAUAUCCUAGAAUAUAAAUACAAUUUAUGUAAUUCUAUAAAAUAAUCCUAAAAUAUUAAAAUGUACAAAAAUCAUAGAUGAAUUUUAUUUUUAAAAACAAACAAUACAACGUCCCCAUGUAUUUACAAUACAAAUUUGUACAAGAACAAUUUUAAUUUAUUAUUUUAAUAGAACCAUAUAUUUAUUUUAUAUUUUUUAAAUUUAUUAUUUUUUGGAUUAUGUCAUAUUAUAUAUUACUAACACCACUGUGGCCUCCUCCCCUCUCUCUCUUUAAAUUCUACUUGUCAUUGUUCUUUUUCAGUUUGUUUGCUUUGUCCUGAUCUAUUUUAUUUCCUUAUUUCAACAUAAAAGCCAGUUAAAAAAAUAUUUUAUAUUAGUUCAACUUAGAAUUAAUUUAUCAUGAAAGUCAUUUAAAAUCUAUUAAUUUAUUAUGUUUAUUAAUUUAUCGAGUAUUAAUUUAUAGAAUAUUUACUACAUCUAUUUAGUUGUUUUUAUGUGGUUUUAAGUUGCCAAUCAGAGACUCGCUAUAUUCUUUUGUUUAUAUUCUUCUUUUCGGUAUUGACAGAGGCUAGGCUCAGAUUUAUUAUCAUGGAUCCGAGAUUCGCUGUAGAUGCGCUCUGAAAAUAAGAUAUCCGGGGUCCGGAUCCAGAUCCGGAUAAUAAAAUCUCAGAUCUGUUAAACCGAUCUGCAUUCGGAUAUCCGGAUCCGUAUCCGUAUUUUACAAAAAUAUUAAAUUUUUAAUUUUAUUAAUAAUUACGAUUGAUAUAUUGAUACAUAUACAUAAAAUUAGUUUUAUAAUGUUAUAUUUUAAUUUAGCAUUUUAAAAAAUAUUUUUUAUUUAAUUAUUUAAUUAUUUUACGGUUCUGUAUUCAGCAAAUACUUUAACAUCUAGACGGAUAUCUGAUAUCCAUAUAUCCGGAAUCUACGAAUCCGAAUACGAUUCCGAAAACAAAUAUUAGAUCUACGGAUCUGGAUACUUCAAUUUUCCUAGAUAUCCAUAAUUGUCCCACCAAUAACAUAAGCGGACUCAAGUUAUAUGGAGAGGUGUUAGCUGGCACUGUAUUAGAACCUUCGUCUCUUUCUUUGUUUAAUUAGUUUUCGAAUUAACCAAAUCUUCCUUGUUUGUUGAGAGAACUUUUCUUUUUAUAAUUUAUGCACGAGUCUUCUCGAUCAAAUUUAAUUAUUUAUCUCUUAAAAAAUUUCUUUAAAAGAAUUAAGAGUAGUCAAGAUUGUCUAAUUUUGUUUGAUUUAACUCUAAUUCAAUAGAUUUGGAGCUAUCUAUGUUGGGACAAUGUUGUGUUCUAAAAAAUAGGUAGUUGUUGAUCUUUCAAACUUCUUUAAACAGUACCUGCAAUUUAAAAGAGAGAUCAAACUGUCUAUUUUCUUACAGUUCCCAGACAAAUGUUUUAUUCACUAAUUUAAUUCAAUUUUUUUUAGUUUACUGUAUUUUAAAAUACAAUUGACUUAACAAACAAGAAUAUUUACAUAUAUAUAAUUUUAAAAAUUUUAUAUUAUUUAUUUAUUAUUAGUUCUCGUAAAAUAGUAUUUCCUCUGUAUCACUUUAAGUGGUUUUUAAGGUUUCUGCACAUAGAUUAAGAAAACACAAAAUUCUAUAUAAUUUAUCUUGAUUACAUAAAAAUAUUAUUAAAUGAAACUAAUUCAACCAAUAAGAAAAAAUUUCAGUAUUUUGUAAUUGGUCAUAAAUUUCAAAUGAUAUUAAAUUUUACCUAGAAUAAAGAAAACAUCAAAAUUUUGAAACAAAAUUUUUUUCUCUAAACACCAUUAAAGUGAUACGGAGGGAGUAUAAACUUUUGUUAUGUUAUAUUUUUUACAAAAAUAAAAAAUAUAAAAAUCAUUUAAAGAUUAAAAAUUAUCUUUUGCAUUAACGAAGUGCAGAGAAUGCAUUUGGGAAAUUGCAAUAGAGCUCUCAUUUUAUGGGAUCUCACUGUUAAAACUAUUAUUUAUUAUAUAUAUAUAUUAAUGUAAUUACAUAUAUAAAUAAUAAAUGUAAAAUAAAAAUUUAAAAGAAAGAUAAGAACAUUUAUUUCAUAAAAAUAUAUAAAAUAGAUUUUGUGUUAUUAAUUUAGAUAUGAAUAAAUGUAAUAAUAAAAUUUUAAUAAAAAUACAUUAUUUUUGUUAUGUCAAUAAAACUCACAAUUUUGAUUUUUUAUUUCAAAUAAACAAUCAAAUUAAUUUUCUAAAAGAACUAAUACUAUUCCAAGAUCUACUGAAAAUUCAUUGCAAUCUGAGCUGCUUGUUAAAGAUCUAUUUAUUUCAAGAACAACCUCUUAGGACAUUAAUAAACUGUGGAAUUUGAUCCAUGAAGAAGAUGUUGGGAGGAUAUUAUCCAUUCCGCUAAGUAUGACGGGGAGUCCAAACUUUAUAUGCAGUGGACUUAUAGCAAAUCAAAAACAUAUACAGCUAAAUCCAUAUAUAACUUGAAAAGAAAGCUGGACAACAUAUCACCACACAAGCAAAUCAGGUUAUCCCUCUUCUCAUCUAAAUGACCUGAAAUAAAUAAUCCACCUCAACUAAAGAUAUUCUGGUGGAAAGUCUUUUAAGAAGAAUUUUUAAUAAAUGGGGACUGUCAAAUAUGUGGAGAAGCAAUAGAAAGGCUAACACAUAUGCUGGUGGAUUGUUGAAUUGUUAGGGAAAUAUGGUCUCUUCUCACUAGUGAAUAAUUGGCAACCAGAUAGUAAUCAUGAUAUGCUGCAUUUCAUUCAGAGCAUAGUUAAGAAAGUGAAUGAUACUCAUAACAAUCUUGCUAUGUUUCUUGGUUGGAGGAUUUGGUAAAUAAGGAACAAUUUGUUGUUGUUCGAAAACAAAAGGAAUCACAUUGUACAGGUAAUAAAUGCAUCACUCCUAAAUCAACAAAUCUGGGCAGAAGCUUUUCACCAUAAUGCUUAUAUGAGCCACCCCACUCCAAUUCCUCGACCAAACACUAUUUCUUAACUUCUUUCAUAAGAAGCAGCAUUUUACUGCAUUGUAGAUGUCUCUGGAAGUCGUUGCCGACUAACAAAAUUGGAAUAAGAUGAUUCUUAUACAGUAAAAAAGUACUUUCACUCCGAAGAAAAUCUGCAAUCAAUUCAACCAACCUGUAUUAUUAAAACUAAAGUACUUUUUGGUAUUGUUUGAAAACAUAGAUAUCAAUAUGAAUAAAAAUAAUUAGAAACAUGGAUAACUUUAUGAAAAAAAAUAUAGUGUCUUUUUAUAAUUACAUUAAUAUAAUUAUAUUAAUUAUUUUUCACAUUUCACUCAGUUUAACAAUUUCAUUAAUUAUAUUACCUUAACAAUAAAUCACAUCAUUAAUUAUAUUACCAUGAUAAUACUUGUACAGAUUUUUAUUUAGUAGUUAAUCAACGUUAAUUUUGUGCCAAUUAAAAAAUAAAAAAUGUAAAUAACUGGGUUUUGCAUAUGGUUAAACGUUCGGUUUAGUUGUUUUACUAUUUUUUUUAAUUUUAGUUUCAAUCGGUUGAAAAUUACGUAGCCAAAAACAUAAUUAAAAAACAUAUUUUUGUGAAUAAAAUAAUAACUUAAAUCAAAAUAAUCAAAAUAUAUUACAUUUAUUCCCACUUAAUUUUUCACUCCAUAUAAUUAUUUUACUAAAUAAAAAACUCUUUCUAUUUAUAUGAAACAUGUUCGAAUGUCUGGAUGAGUUCGGUUCUAGUGUAUAUGAACCUAAAAAUAUUUAAUAAUAAAUGUAUAUGAAACAUGUUCGAAUAUUUGUACAAAAAAUAACGAUAUUAUCCGAUUCGGUCCAUGUCUUUUGAAUACAAUUAGUUAUAUUACAAGCGUCUAAAAUAUAUAACACUAAUUAUGAAAAACAAAAAUCAAUAUAUAAAAAUGUAAAAAAUCAAUACCCACCCAGGUUAGUUAACUAUUAAAAGCAUAAGCAAUGGCCAUGCUAUUAGCCGUUCAACAAAUGAACACACUCUGUUACAAGAAUGUGGUCUUUCUAGGAGUGCAGAACUCAACAAGAGCCUGAAUCUCCAUCUAAGCAGAAGGAAGUAAACGCCUAACGUAAAUGGAGCAAUAGCCAUUCUCUAAGAUAUUUUGAAUCCAUCUAAUACUAGCUGUUGAUCCUAGCAGUUGUUCUUUUGAAUACAAUUAGUUAUAUUACAAGCAUCUAAAAUAUAUAAUACUAAUUAUGAAAAACAAAAAUCAAUAUAUAAAAAUGUAAAAAAUCAAUACCCGCCCAGGUUAGUUAACUAUUAUAAAAGCAUAAGCAAUGGCCAUGCUAUUAGCCGUUCAACAAAUGAACACACUCUGUUACAAGAAUGUGGUCUUUCUAGGAGUGCAGAACUCAACAAGAGCCUGAAUUUCCAUCUAAGCAGAAGGAAGUAAACGCCUAACGUAAAUCGAGCAAUAGCCAUUCUCCAAGAUAUUUUGAAUCCAUCUAAUACUAGCAGUUGCUCCUAUAAGGUUAUAGAUAAGAUAUACCUAGAGCAUUUGUUUAUCAUGUUGAUCAGCUAACGAAGAAAGUUAAGAUUAAUGAUUAAAACUACGUAAUCACCUGUCACAUUUAGCUGGCCUUUUAUGUAUUCUAAUAUUUUUAAAAAUGAAAUUGUUAACAGAAAAAAUAUUUUAAAUUCUCAAUAAAAUGAAAUUAUUUUUCUGACCCGCUCUGGCCUCUAAAAAUAUUUGAGCCGGUACUAUGUUGAAAGUUCUUUUCGGUCAGCUUGCGUCUGCAUAGUACAUAUGAUGGAAGGAUUUUUUGGUGGUACAUGCUCUCGGAGGUGUAGAAGCUUGCGGAAGAGUUGAUGAAAUUUGAGUCAUCACUGGCGGAUUCAGUGACGGUAAUGAGGUGAUGACGUAGCAGAACCAAUUCCGGGUGACAUUUCGAAGGGAGACACGUAUUGGAGAUAUAAAUUCUUAAAGCUACAAGUGUUAGUAAUUUUUUUUUUCUGUGUGCAACUACAAGUGGUAGCAAAUUAAUGUAACUUUCUUUCACGGCGUUGAUUGUUGGGCCUAUUAUGUACCACACGAUCUCAUCCUUAUGGGCUCUAUGAAAAGUUGACCCACGAAAAUAAGGAAGGAGCCUAAAGCAUCGGCUCAAGUGGAGACCGGACCAGUAACCAUACGUUUUCAUAAUACGAUAAGAUAAGAUAACCUUUCUGUCACGUGGCAUUUUCAUUGUGGUCAAGUAUCGAUAAGGGUAUCAACACCGUUCAUAAUCCUGUGGCUGUUAACGACGAUAUCAUGAAAUAUCCAUAAGGGUUCUCACUCUAUAUAGAUGACCAAAGCAAUAGACUAACAGUAAGAGUUAAGAGAAGGAAGAAGAAGUAGUCAUGGCUUACUCUAUGCUCUCCUCCGCCGCUGUUGUUACCUCCCCGGCUCAAGCCACCAUGGUCGCUCCAUUCACCGGCUUGAAGUCUUCCUCUGCAUUCCCAGUCACCCGCAAGGCCAACAACGACAUUACCUCCAUCGUUAGCAACGGAGGAAGAGUUAGCUGCAUGCAGGUAAAUGUCACUAGAGAGUUUACAGUUAGGCUUGUCUUUUAUUACACGCAACUGGUAGAUUCGAACAGAAUCCUAUUCAAAAGUACAUUUAGAAACCUAGGAUCGUUAAAAGGUCUAAACAGUAUGUACAAAAGUGAACUAAUAUUUCAUUAACUGGAAAUACGAUUCGUAGGUGUGGCCACCAAUUGGAAAGAAGAAGUUUGAGACCCUCUCUUACCUUCCUGACCUUACCGAAGUUGAAUUGGGUAAGGAAGUUGACUACCUUCUCCGCAACAAGUGGAUUCCUUGUGUUGAAUUCGAGUUGGAGGUAAUGAAGACAAAAUAUUUUUUGGAUCUAAACAUCUUUUAUCACAUGAUCUCAAUCCUGAUUUUAAAUGGAAUUCUCAUGUGUUUGUAGCACGGAUUUGUGUACCGUGAGCACGGAAGCACCCCCGGAUACUACGAUGGCCGUUACUGGACAAUGUGGAAGCUUCCCUUGUUCGGAUGCACUGACUCUGCUCAAGUGUUGAAGGAAGUUCAAGAAUGCAAAACUGAGUACCCUAAUGCCUUCAUCAGGAUCAUUGGAUUCGACAACAACCGUCAAGUCCAGUGCAUCAGUUUCAUCGCUUACAAGCCACCAAGCUUCACCGGUGCUUAAUUCGCUUUCAUAUAAUAAUAUCUUCUCAUUUCAUUUCCAAUAAGUCUGUUUCUUUUUUUUCUCUUUGGAUUUCUGUUUACGAGACUUUCUAUAUCGGAUUGUAAAAUGUCUGAUUUUAUGAACAUGUAAUUUCUAUAUUGCUUCUUCUUCGUGGUUACUACUUUCAGAUGGCUAUUAGGUUUUCAAUUUAUUGGGAUAAGAAAACAGUCAGAAUAAUAACUUUACAAAACUGGUUAGAUAAGAUAAUGGUAAUAUUUUUGGAAUAGGAAAACAUUACUACCUAGGAAAAAAAAAAUUCAUAUGGAGUUAAUUAGUUCAUUAGAGAUUCCAAUAACAAAUCAUUGCAUCAUUUUAUCGUCACGUUCCAUAGAUUUCAAGCAUAUAGUAUAUACAUGACAUCGGUGCAUUAUCAUUGGAAAUAAGAUACAUAUAGAUAUGGAUCUCUAUUCUUAUAUUUGUUAUAAUUGUUUUUUUUUUGGUAAAAUGUUAAGCUUACCAUUUUCUGAAAGAAGGAUACACUGUUGUUGUUAAACAACUUAUUACAAGAGAAAAACAGAGAAGCAGAAAAGAAAGACAAAGGAAACAGACUACACAACAACAAUCAAAAUAAGAGAAAACGACACUAAGGUGGAAAGAGACGUCUGAUGGAAAGGUAGAGCAGGAGGAGCGUGUCGUGGCCAUCAGCUGGAGGGGCUAAGGACAAGAGACGAUCCCUCAUAGAACGAUCAACAUACUUGGCGAUCGCCGCUGCGGUAGAGGAAACAUUCUUAAAGAUACGGACGUUCCUCUCUCUCCACAGGCUGUAGACUCCCUGAGCCUGGAGGAUCUUAAUGACAAAGUCCCAGCAGAUUGUAUCAAAAGCUUUGCGGAUGUCUAUUUUUAGCAUGCUGCUCCUGCUGCAAUUUUGGUUCUCAUACUUGCGGAUCAGCUCAGCUGCAAGAAGGACGUUUUCACCCAAGCUGCGCCCUUUAAGAAAAGCCGACUGAGCACGACUUAUCGAACUCUUGAGAAUCGGCUUGAGCCUGUUGGCGAUUAUCUUGGUGAUGAUCUUAUACACAAUGUUGCAGCAGCUUAUCGGCCGGUAGUCCCGAAGGCUACAAGCAGUAGUGGUCUUAGGAAUGAGAACAAUAGCUGUGGUGUUUAGGUCUUUCAGCAAUCGGCCAUUACGAAAAAACUCAGAAACCGCAGCAAUCACAUCCCCUCCAACAGUAUCCCACGAUGCUUUAAGGAACUCAAAAGAAUAGCCAUCGGGACCUGGGCUUUUGUUUAGGGGCAUGGAGAAGAUAGUACCUUUGAUCUCAGUUUCCAGGACAUCUCUCUUCAGGUAAGCUUUCUGUAGGUCCGAGCAUCUGAAGGAGAGCAAAUCUUCCAAAGCAUUUAGAGGAACUGGUGAGACAGGAAGCUCUGUGUGGCCAAGGAUAUCCUGGAAAUAAGAGACUGAGUGCGCCUUUAUAUCAUCGAUGGACCCCAGGAACUGGCCAGACUCAUCUAUCAGAUAAUGGAUGUGGUUGCUAUUAUUCCUUUGUGCUACUGUUUUAUGAAAGAAAGGUGUAUUCCUGUCUCCCACAUCAGCCCAGCGAACACGCGACCUCUGCCUGAAGAACUUUUGCUCAGCAUUGAGUAAGGUGUUAAGGAUAUCACGCUGACGGUGCUCCUCAGAGGCAGUAGCUGGGUCCGGGCAGGUGAGAAGACUUUGCUGCAGGUUCGCUACCCUCACAGACUGCUGCUUUACCCUUCCUGUGAUGCCACUAAAGUGCGUUUUAUUUAAGUUCCUCAGAUCUGUCUUAAGAAGCUUCAUUCGUCGGACCAAUUUAAACUGCUCAGAUCCUUGAACUUCAGCAUUUGACCACGCGUCUGAGACAACAGAAGAGUAGUCAGGAUGGCCAGUAAGAUGGUGAUAAAAUUUGAAAGGCUUGCGGAUACGUCUACUGAUUGAGGGAACCCUGAGAAGGCAAGGCGCAUGAUCAGACUGAUCUGGCUGAAGAAAGUCUGCGUAUGAAUCCGGAAAUGAAGCGGCCCACGAGUGGUUGAUAAGAGCAUGGUCAAUUCUUUUGGAGACAGGGUUGGAGCCACUGUUAUUCCACCAAGUGAAAGGGAGGCCUUUCGCUUGACAUUCGAAGAGCUCAGAGUCCUGCAAAGCUGCAACCAUAUCAUCAAUACCUGAUGGAUCAAUAACUGAGAGAGGGUAAUCAGAGUGCUGGCUUAGACGAAAGAUUUGGUUGAAGUCUCCCAGCACCGACCAAGGAGAGUUAACAACCGGAGUGGAAUCAUGUAUGUAGACCAUCUCUUCCCAUAAGUUUUUACGCUCGAGUACAGUGUUGAACCCAUAAACAAAAGAGACCGUGAAGUUCACAUUUUCCGCCAUAAGAUAAAUCCCACAAGUAACAACCUGAGCAGAAGACUUGUAGAUGAAGACUCGAACAGACGGGUCCCAAACAACAAUUAUUCGACCCGAGAGAUGAUGAUCAUAGUUGCCGAAAAAGCUCCAUCCUAUAGGGAGAGCAUUAUUAAUCCGUUGUGAAUUUCUUUCCUGAAUAUGUGUUUCCAAAAAAGCUCCAAGGAGCGGCCUCUGGAUAUUAAUCCAGUUUCUAACCAUGGUGUGGCGUCUGGGAUCGUUAAGCCCUCUCACAUUCCAUGCAAAAAAUUUCGACAUUUAUAAUUAUAUAGAUUUUGCGACCCUGCGGCCACAGCUCUGGCGGUUAACCAGCAAAAACGGGGCUUCAUGCUCAUCUGAGCCGUCUGCCUCAGCACUAGGGACCCCCGAGGAUGGACCUGACUCAUACGAAGAAGUAAUCAAGUCGUGCGCAGGUGGGAAUUUCUGAAUAGAGAUAUCCGGUGGGACAGUCUUAUCAGAUGAUUCAGGAAUGCCAUUCUCCCUAACCGGAGUUGUUACAGUGGUGUCCUCUGUAUGCUCCUCAGGAGGUAUUUCACCAUCUUCCAAACCCUGAGAGGAUGUGACACCCUUCUUCGCAUCACCAUCUACCGAUCGCUCCUUGUUGUGAGUACCAGCUUUACCUCCUCUCCUACGACGUCCUUGCCUAGACUGUUUCCUCCCCUUAUCCUCCUCAUUCGUUGGACUAGGAGAACGUCUUCUGCCUUCCUUGUUACUACGAGGCAGGGCACGACACUUGGUGUUGAGAUGACCAUAUUUACCACAAGCAUUACACUUUAGUGGGAGCCAAGGGUAAGAAAUAGUUAUCUCAUUUUCUUUCCCAUUUGAAAACCCAGAGAUCAUCUUUGAGGGGAGCUCCCGUGUGAGAUCCACACGCACAAAUAACUUUGCAACCUGAAAGUUUUCCUUCCGCUCUGUUUCCGGAGCCAAAGACACAGGUUUGCCUACUGCUGUGGCCAGCCGACUCAAACUCUCCUUGUUGAACAGCAAGUAAGGGACUCCCCUUAGCUCUACUGGAACCACCGCACUUGUAAUCGGAGCUUCCUCCGGAGUAAAAUCAUGCGACCAUGGAGCAACAAACAUCGGGAAUCCCGCAAUGUUCCAACAAGUCCUGGAGAGGAGGUGCUCCCUUGUCUUAGCAGACGUGACUUUUAAUAGAUACUCCCCAGCGCCCACCAUGUGGACAAAGAUUCGCGGCCCUGUCUUAGCCCAUACGGCAUUAACAACACCGAUUAUACGACCCAUGGAAGGCCAGUCCCCGUGGAAUCUAGCGAAGAUGUAAUCACGAAACUCCUCCUUAGCUGAUUCUAUAUUUUCAUCCGGGAUAAGAACGAAAGGUACUCCCGAUACGUGUUCAGAGGGUGUUCCUAGCUCUUCCAAAGUCGCAAAGUCCUUGACUAAACUGGCGUAGCUCUUAGUUCCAGAGUACUCCCCUAGGGUAGCAGCCUUCUGCAGGGCUCCAUGAGGGAUGUCUCUACUAACCACUUCCUGGAUUGGAAGGGAAACCUCUAUUGUAGCGUCAGGAGUUACCUCCUCCGAUACUGUAGGGGUAACGUCAAGCUCACAUGGCGUGAGAGGUGAUGAAUUGCCAAACUCAAGAACAGGAGCUAGCGGUAGUGGUAGGUGACCCAAACUCAGAUCUACAGAGACCUCAGGGGUCGACGGCGAAACCUCAGUCGUGGGUGCCACCGAAGCAGCAAUUACAGCAUCAGCGCUUGAAGCGCCGGCGAGAGACGACUGUUGUAACGACCGGACCGAAGUGGAGGGUUUCAACGCUCCUUGGAGACGGGCCAUCUUCGAAGAGCCCCGGAGGAGAUUACGAGUUUUUUUCUUCUUUUUCGGAGGCAUAUGGAUGUUAUAAUUGUUUUGAAAAGUUAACGAAACUUUCCACUUAUCAAAGUGAUUUUCUAGAAAAAACGUAUGCAUGUAAAUCUCUCACUCACACGGAUAGUUAAUCCCUGAAGAGAGGAUGACAGUUGACACACUUGAAUUCUAUGAUAGACGCGUUUGUGGACGCACCAUACCUAAGAUAAGCAUGAUGAUAAGAUUGGAGAUUUCCUUAUAUAUUCUCUAAAAAAUUCAAAUCAUUUUCGAAAUAAGACAGUUAUGGCAGGCAGUGGAGUUAAAACAAUUCUGUUAAAUUGGUGAAUUCUGUUGAUUUACCAAUUUUAACAGAAUUUUGUCAUAUUUAAUUUAUAUAGUAAUUCUAUUUUAAGAUAAUAUAAUCUACAAUUAUAAUUUAUCAAAUAGCAUAGAUUUUUAUAUUAAAAAUUAAUUAAUAUUAAUUUAUAAUAAUAUUAUAUUACUAAUUACAGAAUUAAUUAAUGCACUAUUUUCUAAAAAAUAUUUUUGAAAUUUCAGUAGGAUUUUAUUAGAUUUUUUCUCAACAUAUUUUGUCAUAACUAAAAACAAAAUUCAAAUUUAUAGUUAAAAUUAAUUUAUUAUUUAUAUUCUUAUUUAUAAUUAAUACUUUCUAUGAAUAUUAUUUAUUUCUCUAACAAAAAUAUAUUAAUAUUUGAUUGAUUAAUGUAAAUAAUUAAUUAAAUGAUUCUAGUAUGACUUGUCAACACUAGAAUUUAAAUAUAUUGACUAAAUUUUAUAUAUACCAUUUUUGAGUUGUUCUUAUUCGAUUAUUUAGUGUAUUAAAAUAGAUAUAAUAAAUAUGAAUAGAUUUUACGUGCAAAAUGAUAAAAUAACAUCAAUAUAUUUAGAAAAAAUAAGAAAAAUUACAUAUAAACUUCUUUGGGAAUAAAAAACUAUACAAUAUCAUUUUUGUUUUUCUUAGGACCAUAUAUUUAUAUAAAGUUUCUUAAAAAAUAUUUUCUUAUUAUCUUACUGAAUUGUGUUAUAUUUUACAUUGAUGUAACUCAAAACUGGUAAAAUUUAUUAACUUAUCUAGUAUUAUGUUUCAGAAAGAUGUAUAUUUUAAUAUUUUCACACUUGUUAAGAAAACAUAUCAGAUUUAAAUUACCAAUAUAUUAAUUUCUGUAAUUAAUUAUUCCCCACAACUUGUAACCAAUAAAACUUUAGUAAACACAAUUUUGUUUUUUGAAGUUUACAAUUUACAAUUUACAAUUUACAAUUAAUUUACGCAUUGAAAAUAUAAAAAAAUGUACUAACUGAAAUAUUUUUUUAAAAAAUAUUUAUCUUUUUGAGAUGGAGGGAAUAUUAAUUUAUAGAGUUUUAAAAAUGUACUAAAGAAAUCGUCGGUUAGUUUAUAUAAUCUGCGUUUUUCUUUUAUUAGGGCUAAACCCAGCCCAAACAAAGGAGGAAUGUCUAGCAAGUAUCCAAACAUGGGUUCGGGCCUCUGGGUUAAUGUUUGCUGGAUCUGGAUUCGGAUAUCCUAUAUAUCCCUAGUGAUAAUAAUUAAUAAGAGCCGCGGCUCUGAACAAAAUAUAAAACAAGGGCGGCCUUCUGCUUUUAGUUAACAAAGAAAAAACUCCGUAGAGAGAGAGAGAGAGAGAAUAGCGGUGCUGGAUCUAAGCGAUGUCGGAUCCUUACGAGAGGGCGAAGGGUGGAAGGUUAGCGUUUAAAGGAGGCGAUCUAGCCACCAUCAAAAAGAAGAAGAAGCAAUCGAAGAAGAAGAAGAAGGACAAGGAAAAGCUCGACGACGGCGCCGAUGUUGAGAAGAUGGACGCUCCAGCCACUUCCUCUGCUGCAGAUGGCAAAGACGAUAUCUACUCUAUCGACGCCGCGAAGAAGAGGAAGUACGACGAGCUUUUCCCCGUGGAGGCAAAGAAGUUCGGUUACGUUCCCAAAUCGAACUUCGAUUCGGUGGCGGAGGCUCUCGACGAUCGAGUCAAGAAGAAGGCCGACCGCUACUGUAAAUAGAAUCUUUUGCAUCUCCCUUUGUUUAAUUCCCUACUCUAUGCAUAAUUGUUAUCAUGUUUGAAGACUUUAUCCCUAUUUUGCUUCUGUUUGAGACUGGUUUAUUUGGAAUCCAAAUUAGUGGUAUUUGGUAUUCAUCCUUUGGGACAACUAGGUUUUGUGAAAUCUCUAGGUUUAGCAAGUAAAUAUUAAAGUGCUUUACAAACAACUCAUAUAUGUUUUAGUGUUAUGGUUCAAAUUUUUUGAAUCCAAUUUGUAAAUGGUUUUGCUUUUCGUUUCUUGGUAUUUUGUUUUCUUACAAGUCCUCAAUUGCUCAAUGCAUUUGCUUCCCUCUGCUAAAGGAUAUUACAGUGAGGCCACUGCAACGGAACUGCAGGAAGAAUCAGAGAGAUAAAUUCAGUUUAGUUAAGUUUAUAUUGUCUUUCUCCUUUAAGGUGAAAGGUCAGCCUGAGUUUAUAAUUAUUUUUCACACUACAUAUGUUCUUAGCAAAUGAUAGACACUUUAUUAUUUCUUGUGUUUCCCCUCAAAUAAUCAGUUUUUUAGCUCCUGUUACCUCGAGUAUUCCUCUGUCCUGCUUCUUCUGGUUCUGGACUAACCCUCUGAUACCUUGCUCUAGAAAGCCCCAUGUUCCAGAACUGCAUCCACCUAGGGCGCCUCCUCUCGGGAACGUCUUCUCUAAUAGGAUCACCCCUUUCCUGAGAAUCCGUAACGGUGGUGUUGACCGGAGGCAGAUCACGGCGGCAAAUUGGGCAUGAAUUGUGAAGCCUUAGCCAUGGAGUUAUACAGUUUUUAUGGUAAAUAUGUUUACAUGGUAGUUCGGUAGCUUCCCCUCCAGCAACGAAGUCCUCCAUGCACACCGUGCAUUGCGACAUGUCGUUGGUUAGAUGUUUCGAUGUAAUCGUUACGGUCGGUAGCGCGUCAAUGGUGGGUUCUGAUGCAGGUGGUGGUCCAGGCCUAUCGUCUUGUGUUAGCUGUUCGAUCAGCUGUUCUAAACCUGAUCCUCCAGUAAAGAAGUCAUGUGGGUUCAUACGCCUGGGAGGUAUUGGAUCAGUGGGCCGUAGUAUUACAUAUGUUCUUCUUGGUGGAGGUAAACUGCCAUUGUUACCAUUGUCAAGGCUGUGGCGUCGUCGAUGGUGCGGUAGGGGUGUUGUUGGCUCGUGUUCCACGUUUCUGGACCUUGCCCUGAGAAAUGGGUCUUCACCGAAUCUACCUAUUGUUGGAGGAUCAAACAUGAGGGACAGAGCUUCGAGAAGGCGUGUCUCAGGAGAAGCAUCAAACGGUGGAGCGGCGUGAGUGAAAGUCACCCGAGGCCGUCUCAUCUCGAUUUCCACAACAAAUUGCCUUAAGCAUCGAGGGCACGCGAUCUCUGAUGGGUUUGAUGAUGCAAUCCUGACCGUACGAUGACAGUGGUAGCACCAGUAGAGGCCAAAAGUCCUGAAUGCGCCAUUGGGUGCACCAUCGGUCCGUCUUAUUGGCACACUCAAUGACAUGAUUCGAAGAAGUAACUGUUAUACACCAGACAUAAAUACUUGCACAUUUAUAGAUAAUCUUUGAAGGUUGAAUGAAGCAAUUAAGCCAGGCAUAUUCCGUUCAUACAGAGGUCGUGUUUUGUCUGGAAGGCAAAGAAUGAGAAGGAUGAAGACGCAAUGCUCAUUUCUUCUGGUUUUUCUUAUUCUAUUUAGAUUGCCUCAAGUUAAAGGCUAGAAUCAUUUAUUAGAUCAAGUCAAUUAAAGAGAUUGGCCGUAUUGUUUAACUAGAGUAGAUAUAGAGGAAAAGAAACAAUCAUCAAGUUUAACAUAAAAUAUUAUUCUUUAGAGCAUCUCCGAAAAAACUUUAUAGCUUCAAAUACAGAGCUUGUUUCUAUCCAAAAACAAAUUUUAAAACUUUAAAUUUAGAUUUUUGAUUAGUGAAACUUCGUAUUUUUUUAGAUGCUCCAAGUUUAGAAUUUUAAAACUCUAUAAUAUUUUAAUAAUAGUUUUGUGACAAAAAAAUGAGUAGAAGUUUCACUACUCAAAACUCUAAAUUUGAAAUUUCAUCUUUUUAUUUGCAUUUUGGUCUUUAUAAUUAACUAGGGUCGGUCCGCCCUACGGGCGGGAAGUUAUAAUAAAGCAUACCCUUCUCAGGUAUACAUUAAAAACCCGACGCAACAUCAAGCUUUACCGGUCCACUGCUUUGAAGUUAGGUGCGAAGUGUGAAGAUGGCUCGUGUCCCUGGAGGGUGUAUUGUUCUUAUGAGAAGAGCAAACAGAAGCUGAUGAUCAAAUGUUAUGUGAAUGAGCACAAGUGUGAGAUAACAGGACACUCAAAGUUUUUGAAGUGUUCUACUAUAGCAAUGCUGUUCGCUGAGAGGCUGAGGUUGAAUCCCAAAAUCACCAAGCAUGAAAUUGCUUCUGAGAUCCAGAGAGAGUAUAGGAUGUUUGUGAGUGUGGAAGCUUGUGGGAAUGCGAAGACAAAGGUUAUGAAAGAAAGAAAAGCAAGCCACGAAGAACACUUCAACAAGAUAUGGGAUUAUCAAGCUGAGAUUUUUCGAACCAACCCUGGCACUACAAUGGAUAUCGAAACCAUCCCUGGACCGACAGUAGGAAGUAAACAGAGGUUUUUCCGGCUAUAUGUUUGCUUUCAUGCGCAGAAGGAGACUUGGAAGACUUCUUGUAGACCGAUAAUGGGUUUAGAUGGAGCAUUUCUAAAGUGGGACAUAAAGGGUCAUCUCUUGGCUGCUGUAGGACGUGAUGGAGACAAUCGGAUUGUUCCGAUUGCAUGGGCAGUAGUAGAAGUGGAGAAUGACACGAAUUGGGACUGGUUUGUGAGACACCUCGCAAAUGACUUGGGCUUAAAGGAUGGCAAAGGCUAUGCUAUAUUGUCUGACAAACAAAAGGUAAACGUCUGAUCUUGAUUUUUUAAAGCUUUUAGUGCUUAAAGCAUUACUGUAUCUUAGUGUUUUUAACUGUCUCAUGCUUGUAAUUGGCAGGGUUUAGUGAAAGCAGUCCACACCAUUCUUCCAGAGGUUGAGCAUAGACAGUGUUGUAGACACAUUUUCGAUAAUUGGAAGAAGAGCAGCCAUGACAUGCAGCUACAAAGACUCUUCUGGCGAAUAGCAAGGAGUUAUACAAUUGGAGAUUAUAAAAUGUGGAGUGAGAGGCUGAAAGAGUACAAUCCAGGCGCCUAUGCUACUCUUCAAGUCACCAAACCAGAAACUUGGUCCAGAGCAUAUUUCAAAUUAGGGACCUUGUGCAACGAUAAUCUCAAUAACCUAAGUGAGUCCUUCAACAGAACCAUCCGUGAAGCAAGAAGGAAGCCAUUAUUGGAGAUGUUAGAGGAUAUAAGGAGACAGUGUAUGGUUCGAAACUUCAGAAGGGCUGUAAUGGCUAAAAAUGCUAAGACAAAGUUCACAAAAAGGACGCAUCUUCAGAUGGCUAAAGUGGAGUCAAAGUCUAAGGAUUGUAUGAGCUUUCCAGCAGUUGGUCCAGUCACAGAGGUUGAUUAUGGUGGUGUGGCUUAUGCUGUGGAUAUGGAUGAGCUAAGUUGUGGGUGUAUCCAGUGGCAAAUGACUGGAAUUCCUUGCAUUCAUGCCGCCUAUGUGAUCCUUAAAGAUGGUAAAAAACUUUCUGACUUUGUAUCUCCUUGUUAUACCAUAGCUAUGUGGCGUCAAACCUAUAGUAUGGGGGUAAGGCCUGUUCAAGGGAAGAAGCUAUGGCCUGAGACUGGUAGAUUAGGUGUCCUCCCACCACCUUGGAGAAAAGGAAACCCGGGAAGACCAAAGAACCAUGAUAGGUUCAAGAGCAAGGGUGAGACAGAGAAGGGCCCGAAAGUCUCUACAACUGAUAGCACGAAACUAACUCGUGCUGAUCGAGUUAUUACAUGUUCUAAUUGCAAGCAAGAGCAUCAUAACAAGAAGACAUGUAAGAAUGACUUUGUUGAAAGUCAGCCCAAGAAACCACGAGGUCGCCCUAGGAAAAAUCAGGCAAGUUUCAAGAUGUUUUUGGUUUGUUUCUGAUCUUCUUAUGCUCACUUGAUUUUUUUUUUCAUUGUCAGUCUAAUGCAUCAUCGUCACAACCAAGCCAGGGACAGUCUCAUGCUUCAUCAUCACAACCAACCCAGCCACAAGUGUCAACACAGCCACAAGCCACACAUGCACCACUAAACUCAGAUGCGUCGGUAUGGGGUCGAUGGUUUUCGUGAUUUCGAAGUUAGAAGGGGCAGAAGCAGAAGAUAGUAUUUUCGGAUUUAGUGUUUUGAAGUUUUAGUGUUUUGACACUCAUGUUUCAGUUUUAGUGCUUUAACACUCAGGUUUCAGGUUUCUGUCUUGUGUAUCAGUAUUUUCGGAUCUAUUUUGUAGUGCUUUGACACUUAACUUAUGCUAUGUUUCAUCAAGCUUUAUUUAAGAUUGGUUUGUAUCUCAACCAACAACAACAACUUAGUUCAUUACUUCAAACAACAACAUAGUCAAUGAAACCAACAUAAUAGUCACUGAAUUAAGCCCCAAACAUAGUCAAGACCAAACAUUAAAAUUGUCACUUAAUCAAGUAAAUACAACAAGACACAAACACCAACAAUUUAGUUCUUCACCUCAAGCAAAUAACUAACUUAAUUCUACAUCAAACUAACUAGUAGGACAAUGAUGAUCACGCACAUGAUCACAAACAAGAUCGUCAUCAUCACCUUACACCUCUUCACCUCUGUUUUGGCUCUUACAACUUCUUCCAUCAACUCAGUGACCACGCCUUUCAAAUCUUCAAUAUCAGAUUUUUCUUUGUUAAGCUCAGCUUCAAGCAGUACAAUCUUUGGUAAGGCAUCUUGAACCUCUUCAUAAACAGCCUCCUCAACCCAUUUAAACAAGUGGUUCUAUGCAAAAACCAUAAGAUUUUAGGCAUAUUCCUUUAUAUUCAAUUUGAAUAAACGACAACAAUAUAAUCAAGAAGAUAAGAAGCUACCUUUCUUCUCGUAAGACAUCUGAAGAAAGGUCUCCCCGGAUUCUUGUUAGUCUCAGACGUGUAGAUUGUUGUCUUAGUCCCGCAAACACAGCUCGCCGGAAACCCGCGAAUACCGUAUGUGUUCACGGUUGAACUCUCAGCUGUCGAAUCCGAACUCAUCUUCGUGCUAAGGGAAGUCAAUCGUGUGAGAUUGGAGGAUUUUGAGUUGUAAUCGCAAUUUUUAGGGUUGGUGUGUCAAGAAAAUCCCCAAAUUGAUUUGGGGGAAAAUGAUAUUAGGGUUUCGGAUCUUAUUUUGAAGUUUAAGAUAAAAUGUUGUCGUAUUGACUAACUGUGCAAAUUAACAGGGUUAACAUGUUCCGUUAGUCUAAUUAACGUCGGGUCUAAUUUGAUCCAUUCAAAGAAAAGUUAGCUGGGUUUUUAAAGUCAAAAGAAAAAUUUAUUGUUUUUCAGGUCUUUCCAAAAGCUGGGGAUUAUAAUGGUCCAAAUGAAUCUUCCUAAACCUUUGUGAUCAGGUUCCGAUGUUUUGAAGAGCUGAUACUGCUCUCUCCAAGACUGGGAAAAGUUGUGAUCCAGGAAGCACAUUCGCUCGCUCCUGAAAGCUUGUGGGUUCUCCUGAUACCUCUGCCUUAGCACAUUAAUCCAAGCAUCUAUAUGCUGCAUAUUAAAUAUAACAAGUUAGAAGUUACAAGACGACUUAUCUUUAAGUAGACGACUUAAAUCGUGUGCAGAAGACUGACGCAGUCUUCCAGCCAUCCUCUGGCUGUCCGGAGGAAGUGGUACCACCUUGUUGGUGAUGUACGUGGUUUGUCCUUGGUGUUAGUUAAAUAAUGACUGCAAACAAAAAAGCAAUCAGUUUUGGACGACUAAAUCAAGCUAUUAUGGGUAAAGCAAUCACUUACGGAUCAGUUUUCAACCAAUCAGCGAGUUCCUUCAACUUAUCUCUGUUUACUGGCGGAAAUGGAUUAUAGGCUGCCACUUUAUCUUUUUUUUUCUCUGCCGUAUAAGGAGAUCUCACAGUGGGAGCAGGUUUCUUCGCUCGUUUACUCUUUGCACGCUUGUCCAAUACAACCAGGCUCGGUUCUGAAACUGGAUCGCUUGGCUCGGUGGAAGCGAGGCUCGGUUGUUGAUCGGUGGAAGCGAGGCUCGGUUGGUGAUCGGUGGAAGUGACAGCAACAAUCUCUUUGGAGGUGACACCAUCUGCUUUAUCCUCCGGCAAGAUCUUAUUUACCGAGUUCGCCUCGGUUGCUGUAUCCUCCGGCAACCAUCUCUGCAAUAAAAGUUGCACACAAGUUAACCCUGGACGACUUAAAUAAAAGUUGUCUGGACGACUAGUUGACCCUGGACGACUUAAAUAAAAAUCGUCUGGACGACUAGUUGACCCUGGACGACUUAAAAUUAAGUCUUCCGUGGUCAACUAGUCGUCCAGACAACUUACGUUUAAGUCGUCCAGGGUCAACUAGUCGUCCAGACAACUUUUACAGUCGUCUGGACAACUAGUUAACCCUGGAUUUGAUACUAACCUCUUUGAUUUGAGGAGGCUGUUUCUUUUGAGGAGGAGGCUGUUUCUUUUGAGGAGGAGGAGGAGGCUGUUUCUUUUGAGGAGGAGGAGGCUGCUGUUUGGUUUGAUGAGGAGGAGGCUGGUUACUAACCACGGUUUCAUUGGCAUGAGGGGUAGCCUGUUUGUUUCUACCCCCGGUUUCUUUGGCAAGAGGGGUAGGCUGUUUAUCUUGAGGGGUAGCCUGAUUGGUUAGAGGUGGAGGGGUAGCCUGAUUGGUGACACCAACCUUCUUCUCCACAGCUUCCAAUCUAUCGGACAACUUCCUAAACUCCCUCAUGCACUUAUUAAACCCUUUUUUCAUGCAGUCAGCUACGCCCUUGAACAUAAUUUCCAACUCCUCUCUGGUCACCCCUCUAGCCUCUUCUCUAGCCUCUUCACUAGCCUCUUCAGGAGCCUCUUUACGAGCUUUCUUCCGAGGUCUUGGAUUGUCUUCCUCCUCCUCCUCCUCCUCCUCCAACACAACCAUCUCUUUGGCCUUCUUCGAUGGAGUCACAACCUUAGGUUUUGUAUUGACCUUAGUACCAGUGACUUCCCAGCAAUCCAUGGUCCACUUCCACGGUCUCCGCUCAUACAUGACUUUAAUGAUGUUCUCCGCGGGCAGGUCCUCAACCUCAGAGUCCCAUUUUGGCCACAUUUCACUAAUGUCCUUCUCAACAAAGUUGAUCACGCGGGUCUGCAGUAAAUAGAAGAAUCGAGUUAGAUAUUUGAAAAAAAAUACUAAAUAGACGACUUAAUUAUAAGUCGUCUACUAAGUCGUCCAGCUGGAAGACCUUCCAGACGACUUAUAAUAAGUCGUCUAAUAAGUCGUCCAGAUGGAAGACUUUCCAGACGACUUAAUUAAGUCGUCCGAUAAGUCGUCCAGCUGGGAAGACUUUCCAGACGCCUUAUUAUAAGUCGUCUAAUAAGUCGUCCAGAUGGAAGACCUUCCAGACGACUUAUAAUAAGUCGUCUAAUAAGUCGUCCAGAUGGAAGACUUUCCAGACGACUUAAUUAAGUCGUCCGAUAAGUCGUCCAGCUGGGAAGACUUUCCAGACGCCUUAUUAUAAGUCGUCUAAUAAGUCGUCCAGAUGGAAGACUUUCCAGACGACUUAAUUAAGUCGUCCGAUAAGUCGUCCAGCUGGGAAGACUUUCCAGACGCCUUAUUAUAAGUCGUCUAAUAAGUCGUCCAGAUGGAAGACUUUCCAGACGACUUAAUUAAGUCGUCCGAUAAGUCGUCCAGCUGGGAAGACUUUCCAGACGCCUUAUUAUAAGUCGUCUAAUAAGUCGUCCAGAUGGAAGACUUUCCAGACGACUUAUAAUAAGUCGUCUAAUAAGUCGUCCAGAUGGAAGACUUUCCAGACGACUUAAUUAAGUCGUCCGAUAAGUCGUCCAGCUGGGAAGACUUUCCAGACGCCUUAUUAUAAGUCGUCUAAUAAGUCGUCCAGAUGGAAGACCUUCCAGACGACUUAUAAUAAGUCGUCUAAUAAGUCGUCCAGAUGGAAGACUUUCCAGACGACUUAAUUAAGUCGUCCGAUAAGUCGUCCAGCUGGGAAGACUUUCCAGACGCCUUAUUAUAAGUCGUCUAAUAAGUCGUCCAGAUGGAAGACCUUCCAGACGACUUAUAAUAAGUCGUCUAAUAAGUCGUCCAGAUGGAAGACUUUCCAGACGACUUAAUUAAGUCGUCCGAUAAGUCGUCCAGCUGGGAAGACUUUCCAGACGCCUUAUUAUAAGUCGUCUAAUAAGUCGUCCAGAUGGAAGACCUUCCAGACGACUUAUAAUAAGUCGUCUAAUAAGUCGUCCAGAUGGAAGACUUUCCAGACGACUUAAUUAAGUCGUCCGAUAAGUCGUCCAGCUGGGAAGACUUUCCAGACGCCUUAUUAUAAGUCGUCUAAUAAGUCGUCCAGAUGGAAGACCUUCCAGACGACUUAUAAUAAGUCGUCUAAUAAGUCGUCCAGAUGGAAGACUUUCCAGACGACUUAAUUAAGUCGUCCGAUAAGUCGUCCAGCUGGGAAGACUUUCCAGACGCCUUAUUAUAAGUCGUCUAAUAAGUCGUCCAGAUGGAAGACCUUCCAGACGACUUAUAAUAAGUCGUCUAAUAAGUCGUCCAGAUGGAAGACUUUCCAGACGACUUAAUUAAGUCGUCCGAUAAGUCGUCCAGCUGGGAAGACUUUCCAGACGCCUUAUUAUAAGUCGUCUAAUAAGUCGUCCAGAUGGAAGACUUUCCAGACGACUUAAUUAAGUCGUCCGAUAAGUCGUCCAGCUGGGAAGACUUUCCAGACGACUUAUUAUAAGUCGUCCGAUAAGUCGUCAAGCUGGACGACCUUCCAGACGACUUAUAAUAAGUCGUCUGCGCAGUCUUUUGGAUUGAAGUAAAUACCUGACUCAAGAUAGCAGCUUUCAUUGAUCUGCGGCCUCUGCUGCCCUCGUAAGCCAGUAUCGGUGGAGACGGACUGUCUGCUCUGGGACCACCAAUACUAGCACCCAAUUCCGGCAUAGCUGUGUACGUCCAGACCUGAAGAACUUGUAUAAACCCAUCCACGGUGUAACAGCCAGCAAUUUCUUUGUUCCACAAAGAGUCCAUCAGCACCUUAAACGCGACUCUCCCCCAUGGAUAAUUCUCAAACCGUUCUAAAUCCAUCACUAGCCUUGCCAGAGUAGAUCGUGUAGCGGUUGAAAACUUUCUCCCUUCAAUGAAUCCAGUGAAGAUGGAGAGGUACGCGAGCCGCUUGCGAUCUUCCCUGGACCAAUCCCCGCAUCUCUUCAGUGCUGCUAUUAUCUGAUCAGUAGUUGGCCCAGCUUCCAGAUGAACUCCCAGCAUCCCCCAGAAAGAAACCAUCUCUGGGGUAACGUCACAUUUUGGUGUCUCAAGGUCCUCGAUGUACUCGCAGUUUAGACCAGUGAGGUUUUCAAACUCUAACAGUGAAAACCUCAAAGGUUCUGGACCAACGAGAGACCACAUCUCAUACUUCUUCUUAAUGUCCAGCUUGAAACUGAGCAUGUAGUGAACCAGCCUUGAAGCCCAACCAAAUCCCUGCUCCUUGAACUUGAUGAAAACUCCCAAACUCGACUCCUUGAGCUCUUCAAAUUCGUCAUCAGUAAGAGCUUUCCUAAGAGCAGUAUGCAACUUGCUGUUAUCCGUAUGAUACGAAAUGCUAUUGUGGGCUUCUGGCUCUUCCCCUGAUGUGUAUAACCUACGGGGGAGUUCUGGAAUAUCCAUCCUUUUUGUCUGCAAAAUAAUCAAAGACAACAAUAUAAGUCCAGACGACUUAGUAGACGACUUAUAAUUAAGUCGUCUGGAAAGUCUUCCAAAUGGACGACUUAUAUUUAAGUCAUCUACUAAGUCGUCCAGUUGGAAGACUUUCCAGACGACUUAAAUUACUUACAAGUCUUCCAGUCGCAGAAGGAGUUGGAGUACUCGUCAUUGCGGUUAUAGAUCUGAAAAAAUAAACGUGAAACGGUGAGAAUGAGUAAAUUGAUAGAGACAACGUUUUAUGUUCAUCUUUUCCUCGAGAUUGAUGACUUAGCGGCGUUAGGGUUUACAGAGAAACGGCGCUAAGGUUUACAGAGAAGAAGCGGCGGCGCUAGGGUUUAGAAGAAGCGGCGGCGCUAGUGUUUAGAGGAAGCGGCGGUGAGAACGUUGGUGACCACGGUGGCGAGGGCGACGGUUUGUUCGGAAAUAGUGGAAGCGGCGGCGCUAGGGUUUAGAGGAAUCGGCGGCGCUAGGGUUUAGAGGAAUCGGCGGCGCUAGGGUUAGAAGAAGCUGCGGCGACAACGGUGAGAAUGAAGUGAGAUAGAUAGCCGACGUUGAGAACGAUGGUUUGUUCGGAAAUCGUGGGAAUUCGAAAUCGCCUUUGAGAGAGAACUGUUAGGGUUUCUGAAUUUCGCGAAAAAUGAAACAAAAAAAAUAAAAAUCACCUUAUAUAUUGGGUAAAUAAUCCGGUUAGCUUUAAAAGUACAUUGGUAAACUUUAAGGUUUGGUCCGGUUUAGACGACUUAUUCUGGCUGAUAAUGUACAACAGACGACUUAAUAUUUAGUCGUCUGUUUUCAGACGACAAAAUAUUAAGUCGUCCUAGACCCUAAAAUGAACCCCUAAACUAAAAUGACUAGAUUAACUAACUAACCACGUUAUAAAAUCAAAUUAUACUUAAAUAGUGUUUACUAUACACAGAAAUGAACACGCAUAAGUAAUUUUAAAAAUUUUCAAAAACGGUUUUAAUGCUUUCCAAAAUCUAACCCUAAGAACACAUACAAUACUACAACAUAUGUUGAUGAAACAUAAACUAAAGAAUAUCAUGACUCACUACUUUCACUCAUCUAUGCUGAAAACAAUUGAAAUUUGUUAUAUCUUAAUUUAUACCUCCUAAGACAUAUGUUAAUUACAUAAUUCCCAUUUUUCACUUAUCAAAAUAUUUUUUACAAAAUUUUUAAAUUAUGUUUAAGACUAACUGUCCAGACGACUUUCAGUUAAGUCGUCUGGACGACUUAUUUUCAAGUCGUCUAAACAGACGACUUGCGAGGGGUAGAAACGUAAAAAAAAUUCCGUUUUCUUGUUUGGUCACAAGGGGAUAGUUGUAAUUUCAAUAGCCUUUUAGGUUACUUUUGCCUUUGACCCAAGUUGGGGUAUUGUUUUGGGUUUGACUCCAAGUUUUGCGUCACACUUGGCAAUUCUCCCUAAUAAAUAUCAUUAUAUUUUUAAUAUUUAUUUUAGUUUCAAAUGUUUAGUUUUGUAAUAUUCUUCAUUAAACUAACUGAUUAAAGGUUUUUUUUUGCAAAUAUGAUUCAAAUCUUCAAAUCAUUCCUCAAGUAAUUCAUGCUUUUUUAGAAUUUUCUUUGUGCUUUACAGGUGAUGUAACUGUAUAUUUCUUUGUGUGUGUGUUUUGUAAACUUUUGAUAAGAGAAGUAUAUAAUAAUGUUUAUAGUUUUUGAGAAUGUUAGGGUGUUAAGGAUUAUGUAUGUUAAGAUUAGUUAUAUUUGAGUUCGAUAGAUUACAACAUAUAACAUAUUAUAUUGAGUGAAUGAGGUGUACGUGGUGCUCUCCUUGUAUGGUUUUUGAUAAUUUUGAAUCCAAAAUUGGUUGGUUAAUUAUGGUUUACUAUAUUAAAUUUUUUUAAGAUAAGUUCGUGGUUCUCAUGAUUAUCAUUUGUAUGAAUGGAUUGGGAUCAACAUGAUUGCAUUGCGUUACAGUAUAUGUUAGGCUAGAAAUAAUAUUUAAGAAAUGAGUAAAAUAGUGAAAGUAUAAGUCUAAUUAUUUAUAUUCUAAAUUAACACUUAAAUAUAUAAAUAUAAAAUUCUGUUUCAAACAUUUUAAUUCGUUUAAGGUCGUUGCAUAGGUGUAAAGAAUAUAUAUCUUUGAUGCAUAUGUAAUUUACGUCUUUAUAUCUUUGAUGCAUAUGUAAUUUACAUCUUUGUUUACUAUUACGUAAUUAGUUUAGUUUUAUUUUUUAUUUUUCUAUUAGUUUCUUAAUUUUUAAUUGAAUAUUUUGUAGUUCUUUGUAAAUGAAUAAAAUUAUUUUAGUUUGUUUGUGCUGAGUUCAAGUGAUUUAAUUUAGAAAAAAAAAUCUUUAUAUUUUUUUUAUUUUUCGAUUAGUUUCUUAAUUUUAUAGUUUUAGUUGAAUAUUUUGUAGUUCUUUGUAAAUGAAUAAAAUUAUUCUAGUUUGUUUGUGCUAAGUUUAAGUGAUUUAAUUUAGUAACUUUUUUUCUUUAUAUAUAGAUAUAUAUAAAAGGAUGACAAAAAAAAACAUAGAUAUAUAUAAAAAUUACUUCAUUAUACAUUGUAUUAUAUUUAAAAUAUGUUUUUUGAAGAGUGUCAAUAUUUAUAAUAUUUUGUUUAAUUUAUUUAUAUAGAUGAAAAAAAAAUUUCUAUUGUAGCAUGAAAUUUAUGAUAUUGUAAAAUGGAAAAAAUGUUAAAUAAAUCCUCAGCUUUUUCAUUUGGACCAUUAUAAUCCACAGAUUUCUAACUGACCAUUGACCAUAAAAACCUCAAACUUUUUGUCGAUUGGAUCAAUUUAAACCCGGCGUUAAGUUCACUAACAAAGCGUCUAAACGCAGUUAAUUUUCGUCGUUAAACAAAACGACGUCGUCUUCUCUUCAAUUAAAAAAACACAUCUUCCUCAUUAUCUCUCAAAAUCGAUUUGGGGGUUUUCUCAAUUAAGAACCCUAAUUUCACGAUUUCGCCAGAAAGAAGAAGAGAGAAGAUGGGUAAUGAAAAGAACAAGAAGUCUCGACAAGGGAAACUCGGUGGUGCCAGUUCUGUAGUGAAAAGAAAAGGUGGAGUCGGCGACGAAGCUGAUGUACGUAAGAAGAAAAAAAGCAAAACAGAUGUACUCGACAGGGAAGAAGAAGGAGAAAUCAGCGAGGAUGACUGUGGUGUUGUCGGUGACGACGAAGCUGAUGAAGCCCCAGACAACGAAGAAGUCCCAAACAACGAAGAAGUCCCUGAUGAAGCAAACGGUCAUGGUGGUAUCGAGGAAGAAACUGGUCGCGAUUUGACUGUCUUCUUCGGCGAAGUAGCGAGGAAUGAUGAUUCUGAGAAUGAUGAAGAUAGUGGGGACGAAUGGUAUUGGGAGCAUGAAAAAGAAGUUCCGGAUCCUCUAUCAUCAGAUGAUGAAAAUGAAGAACAAUCGAUUCCCAGUUUAGCCUACAGAGAAGAUGUGGAUCCAGAGGCAAUGCUUGGGCUGGGAAACACUUUCUCCACUGCUGAAGAAUUCAAGCAUACCCUUCUCAGGUAUACAUUAAAAACCCGACGCAACAUCAAGCUUUACCGGUCCACUGCUUUGAAGUUAGGUGCGAAGUGUGAAGAUGGCUCGUGUCCCUGGAGGGUGUAUUGUUCUUAUGAGAAGAGCAAACAGAAGCUGAUGAUCAAAUGUUAUGUGAAUGAGCACAAGUGUGAGAUAACAGGACACUCAAAGUUUUUGAAGUGUUCUACUAUAGCAAUGCUGUUCGCUGAGAGGCUGAGGUUGAAUCCCAAAAUCACCAAGCAUGAAAUUGCUUCUGAGAUCCAGAGAGAGUAUAGGAUGUUUGUGAGUGUGGAAGCUUGUGGGAAUGCGAAGACAAAGGUUAUGAAAGAAAGAAAAGCAAGCCACGAAGAACACUUCAACAAGAUAUGGGAUUAUCAAGCUGAGAUUUUUCGAACCAACCCUGGCACUACAAUGGAUAUCGAAACCAUCCCUGGACCGACAGUAGAAAGUAAACAGAGGUUUUUCCGGCUAUAUGUUUGCUUUCAUGCGCAGAAGGAGACUUGGAAGACUUCUUGUAGACCGAUAAUGGGUUUAGAUGGAGCAUUUCUAAAGUGGGACAUAAAGGGUCAUCUCUUGGCUGCUGUAGGACGUGAUGGAGACAAUCGGAUUGUUCCGAUUGCAUGGGCAGUAGUAGAAGUGGAGAAUGACACGAAUUGGGACUGGUUUGUGAGACACCUCGCAAAUGACUUGGGCUUAAAGGAUGGCAAAGGCUAUGCUAUAUUAUCUGACAAACAAAAGGUAAACGUCUGAUCUUGAUUUUUUAAAGCUUUUAGUGCUUAAAGCAUUACUGUAUCUUAGUGUUUUUAACUGUCUCAUGCUUGUAAUUGGCAGGGUUUAGUGAAAGCAGUCCACACCAUUCUUCCAGAGGUUGAGCAUAGACAGUGUUGUAGACACAUUUUCGAUAAUUGGAAGAAGAGCAGCCAUGACAUGCAGCUACAAAGACUCUUCUGGCGAAUAGCAAGGAGUUAUACAAUUGGAGAUUAUAAAAUGUGGAGUGAGAGGCUGAAAGAGUACAAUCCAGGCGCCUAUGCUACUCUUCAAGUCACCAAACCAGAAACUUGGUCCAGAGCAUAUUUCAAAUUAGGGACCUUGUGCAACGAUAAUCUCAAUAACCUAAGUGAGUCCUUCAACAGAACCAUCCGUGAAGCAAGAAGGAAGCCAUUAUUGGAGAUGUUAGAGGAUAUAAGGAGACAGUGUAUGGUUCGAAACUUCAGAAGGGCUGUAAUGGCUAAAAAUGCUAAGACAAAGUUCACAAAAAGGACGCAUCUUCAGAUGGCUAAAGUGGAGUCAAAGUCUAAGGAUUGUAUGAGCUUUCCAGCAGUUGGUCCAGUCACAGAGGUUGAUUAUGGUGGUGUGGCUUAUGCUGUGGAUAUGGAUGAGCUAAGUUGUGGGUGUAUCCAGUGGCAAAUGACUGGAAUUCCUUGCAUUCAUGCCGCCUAUGUGAUCCUUAAAGAUGGUAAAAAACUUUCUGACUUUGUAUCUCCUUGUUAUACCAUAGCUAUGUGGCGUCAAACCUAUAGUAUGGGGGUAAGGCCUGUUCAAGGGAAGAAGCUAUGGCCUGAGACGGGUAGAUUAGGUGUCCUCCCACCACCUUGGAGAAAAGGAAACCCGGGAAGACCAAAGAACCAUGAUAGGUUCAAGAGCAAGGGUGAGACAGAGAAGGGCCCGAAAGUCUCUACAACUGAUAGCACGAAGCUAACUCGUGCUGAUCGAGUUAUUACAUGUUCUAAUUGCAAGCAAGAGCAUCAUAACAAGAAGACAUGUAAGAAUGAGUUUGUUGAAAGUCAGCCCAAGAAACCACGAGGGCGCCCUAGGAAAAAUCAGGCAAGUUUCAAGAUGUUUUUGGUUUGUUUCUGAUCUUCUUAUGCUCACUUGAUUUUUUUUUUCAUUGUCAGUCUAAUGCAUCAUCGUCACAACCAAGCCAGGGACAGUCUCAUGCUUCAUCAUCACAACCAACCCAGCCACAAGUGUCAACACAGCCACGAGGGGAAUCAACACAGCCACAAGAGUCAGGGAGAUGGGAACAAGCCACACAUGCACCACCAAACUCAGAUGCGUCGGUAUGGGGUCGAUGGUUUUCGUGAUUUCGAAGUUGGAAGGGGCAGAAGCAGAAGAUAGUAUUUUCGGAUUUAGUGUUUUGAAGUUUUAGUGUUUUGACACUCAUGUUUCAGUUUUAGUGCUUUAACACUCAGGUUUCAGGUUUCUGUCUUGUGUAUCAGUAUUUUCGGAUCUAUUUUGUAGUGCUUUGACACUUAUGCUAUGUUUCAUCAAGCUUUAUUUAAGAUUGGUUUGUAUCUCAACCAACAACAACAACUUAGUUCAUUACUUCAAACAACAACAUAGUCAAUGAAACCAACAUAAUAGUCACUGAAUUAAGCCCCAAACAUAGUCAAGACCAAACAUCAAGCAAAUAACUAACUUAAUUCUACAUCAAACUAACUAGUAGGACAAUGAUGAUCACGCACAUGAUCACAAACAAGAUCGUCAUCAUCACCUUACACCUCUUCACCUCUGUUUUGGCUCUUACAACCUCUUCCAUCAACUCAGUGACCACGCCUUUCAAAUCCUCAAUAUCAGAUUUUUCUUUGUUAAGCUCAGCUUCAAGCAGUACAAUCUUUGGUAAGGCAUCUUGAACCUCUUCAUAAACAGCCUCCUCAACCCAUUUAAACAAGUGGUUCUAUGCAAAAACCAUAAGAUUUUAGGCAUAUUGCUUUAUAUUCAAUUUGAAUAAACGACAACAAUAUAAUCAAGAAGAUAAGAAGCUACCUUUCUUCUCGUAAGACAUCUGAAGAAAGGUCUCCCCGGAUUCUUGUUAGUCUCAGACGUGUAGAUUGUUGUCUUAGUCCCGCAAACACAGCUCGCCGGAAACCCCCGAAUACCGUAUGUGUUCACGGUUGAACUCUCAGCUGUCGAAUCCGAACUCAUCUUCGUGCUAAGGGAAGUCAAUCGUGUGAGAUUGGAGGAUUUUGAGUUGUAAUCGCAAUUUUUAGGGUUGGUGUGUCAAGAAAAUCCCCAAAUCGAUUUGGGGGAAAAUGAUAUUAGGGUUUCGGAUCUUAUUUUGAAGUUUAAGAUAAAAUGUUGUCGUAUUGGCUAACUGUGCAAAUUAACAGGGUUAACAUGUUCCGUUAGUCUAAUUAACGUCGGGUCUAAUUUGAUCCAGUCAAAGAAAAGUUAGCUGGGUUUUUUAAAGUCAAAGAAAAAUUUAUUGUUUUUCAGGUCUUUCCGAAAGCUGGGGAUUAUAAUGGUCCAAAUGAAAAAGCCAAGGAUUUGUUUAACAUUUUUCCCAUUGUAAAAUGGGUUUUGUAAACAAAAAAUGGGUAACACCAUUCACAAUAUGAUAAAAAAAAGUAACUAAAGGUUAUUUCUUUUAUUAUUUUGGGUAACAUUUUUUAUGAUUCAUGUAGUUAAUUCUGUUAAUUAAUGCAUUCAUGUGCUUCGAUUAGGCCUGGGACUUUUAUCCGAGAUCCGGAUUCGAUCCGAGAUUCGAUCCGGAUCCGAUCCGAAAAUCCGGAUAUCCGGAGGGGCCGAAUCCGGAUCCGGAUAGUAAAAUGUUGGAUCCGUCAAAGCCGGAUCCGGAUCCGGAUAUCCGCCGGAUAUUACACUUUUUAGGAGGAUAUCCGACACCCGGAUAUCCGAGAACCCCGGAUCCGGAUAAGGAUAGUAAAAUUAUGGAUCCGCCGGAUAAGGAUCCGGAUCCGGAUACCUUAAAAUUGCCCGGAUAUCCGAUCCGUCCCAGACCUAGCUUCGAUGAAUAUAAUUUUCAUAAGAAAUGGUCCUUCAUUCUUUCAUUCAAAACAAAUUUGAGGCAAAUCUAGUAGUCUAUUCCAUAUAUUUAACGAUCAAGCUCUCAUGACUGAAUUCAUUUAAAGUUCAUGAAAAUAACCAUGACCUUUUAUCUGUACAUUGAUAUAACAAAUAAUAGCGACAAAAAGGAUUAGAGAUUUCCGUGCAAGUGAGCAUGAUGGACAAAGAUAUAAUCAGUGCAAGAGGUUCAAACCAUGUACCCAUAAACUGAUUGUAUCAUUCAUCAAAAAUCUGAGACAGUCUCUGUAUACUCUUCUGAAUUUAAAUAUACAUGCAGUGCAUUGAGAAUCUAAUGACCACGAUUUUGUUGCUUUUCAUGCUCGUAACUAACAGACUAUUAUUUGAGCAUGUUACUUACUGAGAAAGCAUUGCCCAGCACCGGUUUCAUAGUCAAACUCUGCAAACAUAUAAACCUGAGCAUCAAAUUGAGAAUGUCUCUGCCACCGCCACCAUCAGCUCUACUCCAGAGAGGUUAGUUUGUGUUAAAAAGCCUAAGCAAUUCUUCCAUCACAGUAAAAGCAAUGUCGUUCAUAAGAGGCUUGUCCAUGUCUGAUAUAGUAGCCAAGUUAUUAGGCUGAGAAUGCAUAGAACUCGCUGGAAGAAGAUCAAAAUCCAGUGAAGGACCAAUCAUGGACAGAUCCAACGGUGAGAUGCGCAUUGGGUGUAGCGUUGCGAGGUGGGAGGAGAUUGGUCUUCCCAUGUACUUUGAUGCAACCGUUGACAUUCUUUCAAGCUGUGAAAUAAAGAUCAGAUUUAGAAAUUAGGAAGGGGGUUGAAUGAUUAAACCAUAAUGGAUAAACAAAACCUCGUCUCUAAGAUGUACAUUUUCGAUCCGGAGCUUACGCUCAUCGAAGUAAGGAUCUUCACUAACGGGAGGACAUCCACAGUUAGGGUAUAUAGCAUGCUUGAGUGCUUCUCUUAUGGCUAUGUUCUCACAUCGAAUCUUGUCGUUCUCUGCCUAUAGUGCAUUGUUAUCUGCUCUCUCAUGUUGCGCCUACAGAAACAGUAUCAACAAAUCUUAUUCAGACAACAUUUUAAACACACAAAAGAGGGAGAGAUUAAGACACAUAACCUUAAGCUGAGUUCUGCUGUUGUGGAACAGAACUUGAUUUGUCUUGGAGAGCCAAACCCAAUUCUCUGCUAAGUUGGUUCCUCUGCUUAUCAUCUGGAUGAUAACACUCCUUUAAACUCCUGCAAGAGAUUCAAACCAUUAUAAACACUAUGAUUAAGAGCUUUAAGAUCUGAGAAACCUCAAACGUUUCAAAAAGAGCAUUCAAAGAUUUUAACAAAAAUCGAAAUAUAAAAUUUGAUUAUGAGAUAAAUAAAAAUUUUGAUAAUUGGUCGCCGGAAUAGUUAAAAACAAUAUGGUUAUGAGAUUUAAGAUCUGACAAACCUAAGCAUCAAGGAGGAGCAUGUCCACCCCCAUCAACUCGCCACCACGGUUGACGCCAGAAUCUCAACAAAGAACGGGACCUCCACGGUGGAAGAACAUUGAAUAUGGUGAUGAGCAUCGAAGGAAUUAAGAUGUAUCUUAAAGGCGAUGAAUGUGGCUUCGAAACGGCUGUGAGUAAGGAAUAAACACGAAACGACUGAAAGGAAGUGUAAGCCUGAAACACGACGAUUCGUCUCUCUAGACUUUUAGAAUCUCCGUUGUUGAUACAGAUCGAGGAAGACGAUUAAAACCUAAUUUCCAAUAUCGACUCUAGCAGAAAAGACUCUAUCUAGCUAUUGGGCUGAAUACUCAAUUUUCUGAAGAGAAUAAUACUAACAGCCCAGCCCAUAAUAAAAACAAAUUAAAAUCAAAACGAAAACGAAACAAAUCUCACAAGGGAAAAGGACAUGUGUCAAGCCCUGGUUCUUCUAGUUAAUGACGUGUCUUCAUAGGAGAGACACAAACAUUUCUUUAUAUACAUAUAAGAUUAUACUUCACAUUUAUUAUUUUUAAGUAUUUUCUCUUUCAUAUUUUUAAUCUUUAAAACUUUUAUAUAUUUUAAAUAUUUCAAAUUAUAUUUAUAAAAUUUAAAUUUUACACUUAAAAAAAAUUAAACUAAGAUUUAUAAUAUUUUAAAAGUAGAAUUAGACAACAAGAAUAUUUCAAAAGAAAUUUAAUAGAAUUUUUUUUAUGAAGAUACAUGACCAUGAUUAUUACACAAAUUUAAAUAUUACAACAAUACUAAUAGUCUAGUAAAUUUUCUCCGGAACUUCUAAAAUAUUGUCCAAACAAAUUUUGUGUAACCGAAAAUAGAGCAUUAAAAAAAUAAUUUUAUGUAAUAAUAUGGUAUUUUUCUUGUAUUUUAAUAUUUAAUUAUGUAUUUCUAUUUAUAAUUUUAUAUUUUUUGUUGUAAGAUUUUAUUAAUUAAAAUUACUAUAAUAUUAUUAUAUAUAUGCUGGCUAACUAUAAAAGUUUUAUGGAUUUAUAUUAAUUAUGACAAAUAUAAGGAGUAUAGUAUAAUUUACAAAUAAUUUUAAAGUUAAAUUUGAAGUUUUGCUUUUGGAGAAGAACACCUUCAAACUUCAAAUAUAGAGUUUGCAAAACUAUAUAAUAAAGAAUCUUUUUGGAGAUACACUUAGAACACGAAGCAUGAGAUGUCGGUGACAACGCAAUGCUCAUUUCAUUUGGUUUUUCUGUCCUUGCCUCAAUUGGUUACUGUUACAGAUGUUAAUAAAUGAGUAAAUUACCAAUAGGAUACCCUAAGUUUUUCUAAACUUUCAAACCCAAAACUUACUGUAUUUGACUAAAAGCAUUUCUAAGAGCAAUUUUACUUUUAAAGUUUGGUGAACUUUAAAUUUGAGGUUUAAUGGUGACUUUCACCCAUGAUAAAACUUUAAAUAUUUUUUUUAAAGAAAUUAUUUGCAAUUAUAGUCCUUAAGAUUGUUUGAAGUUAAUAAGAAUUACAAAACUAUAAAUAAUAAAACAUAUAUGAAAAAGUAUUACAAGCAAUAUUUGUCUCACAUCGACAAGCUCGACGCAACAGUAUGACGCAACAAUAUAAUACUAGCUGAUAUCUUUAUGGACGCUUUCUCCGGAUAAAACUAAAUACUCAAGUAUCCAGACGAUCAUGAGAAAACGUUCUUUAUGAUGUCAGAAGGCAAUUUAUUACUGCAAGGUUAUGAAUUUUCGCUUAAAGAAUGCCGGCUCCACUUAUUAUAAACUGAUAAACAUGAUCGUUUGCAUAACAUACCAGACAGAGCAUAGAAGUUUACAUGCACGAUAUGCUCGUCAACUUUCUGGAAGUAGAAGAUCAUAUAGGCCACCUACAUCAAGCAUUCUCAACCCUGAGAAAAAAAAAACAGUAUGAAGCUCAAUUCCUCCAAGUGAUCUUCCAAUCUCUCUUACUCUGUCAUAAACUCGUCACUUCCUUGGCUUGUCCAUAAUCAGAUCACUAAUCUUCUGGCUCUCUGGAUUUAAGGUUUUACCCAUGAUACAGAUCUUGUUCCUUUUGCUCUGCAUUAGGGCAUUGUCUGGUAGGUUAAAAGGAAUUCCCUUCGCCUGCAAUGACAUUGCGUCAAUCACCUUAUCAGUAUUUAUACUUGUUCUGAAGAAAUUCCAAAAAACAUUUUCUUCAAAAAGGUAUAGAACGGCUACAUCAAAAUCAUAGAAAAACCAAUAGAAAUAGUAUAUAAUAUAUUUUUCCAAAUAUAGCGGUUCCAUGUUUUUGACACUCAGAAAAUAGAAAACAAAUUCUCAACCGUAAACACUGUUUUUCAUAAAGAUAAUAUAUUUGUUAAGAAAAAAAUGAAAACCUAAGCUAAAAAAGCCAAAUUACACACUUUUGAAUAGUUUAUUAUUGCGUGCAUUUGAAAUAAACUAAAUUAUAUAUAAAUAAGAGCAUCUCUACAAAUUUAAAAAAAUGUAGGACAAGAUGGUUUGACCGGUGGAAGCGUCUUAUUCCAGUAAUUUGACUAAUGAUUCAUUAACGUUUUUCCACCGGUAUAUCCAAAUUUCAAUUCCCAAAAAAAUAAUUUGUUAAACAACUAAAGAAAAAAAAGUUAAAAAGAGAUCUUCAAAAUUUUGCAAGUAAACUCGACCAUGUGUGAAUUUUUAUAGAAUGACUCAGGUGAAACAAUUAGACAUAGAUUUUCAUCAAACAUAUAACAUUGUCGGUUGUACAAUGAAUGCAGCUUUUGCGGUUGGUAGCGGUUGUUGGCGUUUUGCAACAAUCACUCAAACCGCUUCAAACCGUUUUAAACCUCAUAAUUCAAUAGCUGGUUCCCGCUAGCGUUUGCGGUUGCGGGAGAAUAUUUUUUUCUUUUUAAAAUAAUAUAAAUACAAAAAUAAAAAUAUUCAAUAAAAAAUUUAAAUUGGAAUUAUAAAAAGAAUAAAAUAUAUCUAUACAUUUCAAUUAAUAUUAUAAAAAAAUAAAUAAUUUAUUUUAUAAUUUUAAGACGUUUAAAACUAUAACUUUCUAAAUAUAAUUUUUAUAUUUAUUAUAAUAUUAUGAUUAUAUUUUUAUAAUUAUAAAAAAUAUAAAUAUUGUUAAUUUAUUAUUUAACCGCUGCUGCAUUUGGUAGUUAACCAGACAUAACUAUCCUGCAAACGUGCCAAUUUUUAACCACAAAACCAAUCAUACAAAUCUCUUAAAACCGCUAGAAACCGCAACCACCCGCAUUCGCAAAUUUCCACGACCGCAACCGCUGUGUUUGAACCAGUCAGACCCUAGACGUGAUGGAGUAAGCUAUAACAGUUUUUUUGUUGUUGAGAAUUUACCAAAUAAAUGGAUAUUUUAGUGAGUCAGGUUAUUCAUAUUGGUGAGAAUUAAUAUUAAUGUUUGUGUUUAGUAUGAAAAGGGUGAAAAGUAAUUAUUUUUAUAUAUUAAAGAUCUAAAAUUAUUAUAAAAUAUACUAUAACUAUUUUAUUAUUAUAUAUUUAGUAAAACCAUAUACUGUAUAGAUUUAAAUGAUAAAUAUUAUAUACGACCAUAAUAUAUUUAGUAAUAGAACAAUGAAGAAGGUAAAUACAGUAUGCAGUGUAUCUAACAAUACAAGAAAAACUCCAUAAAUUAAUAAUGUUAAUAUUAUGAUAUUUUAUUAAUUUAUAGAGUUAUUAAUAUAUAUAUUUAUUGAUUUAUAAAACUUUCCUUUCUAGAUUUUACUGUUUAUAUAUUAAUUAAAUUUUAGAAAAUCGAUUUUUUUCUAUUGUCUAAAUUUUUAUAGAUAUAUUUUUACUAAAUAUUAUCAAAAGUAUAUUGAAGGUUAAGAAAAAAUAGAGAUGAAUUCUAUUGUUAAUAUAAAUUAAACAAUAUUAUCUUUUGUUUGUAUUUAUAUGAAAUAUAUAUAUAUAUAUAUAUAUAAAAUAUUAAUUUAUGAUUUUAUAGGACCAUAUAUUUACAUAAGAUUUUUUUAAAAAAUAUUAUCUUAUUAUUUUAUUGAUUUGUAUCAUAUUUUGAAUCAUCUCAAUUCGGGAUUGAAAAAAUUAUUAAUUUACUGCGUUUAUUAAUUUAUAGAGUUUCUACUGUAUUAGUUUUUUUGUACCAAUUUCACUUUUUCAUUAAACAGUUUAACAACCAUUUUUAAUUUCAAACGGCUGAUCUAGUACUUAAAAUUAAGGUGGUUUAGGUAACUAUACAAAAUAUAAGAACCAAUAAAAUACAAAUAUCUGUGAUAUUUUCUUGCUAUCUUAGCUAAUGAGUCUGCUUAUUUGUUUUAAGAAAAAGGAUGAUAAACAAUAAACAAGUCUACAAAAAUCUACUCUUCAAUCUUGAAAAUUUUUUUAUCUCCAUUGAAAAGUUUGGCCCUGCUUAUAAAUCUUGUAUCAUCGAAACGAGGUCCUUGCAAUUUGUACUAAAGUGUUGGCACAACAACAUUUGUAACAUGCAUUCGAUAGCCCAAGAAAUGGCCAUAAGCUCUAAAUGUAUCGGUAACACACUUCUCGUCUGAUUUUUAGCUCCUCAAAGUUGAUUUUUUCAUGUCGAAUUUGUCUAAGCCCAUACAAAACCAAUAAAGAGUUAUUCAUGAGUCCAUGAUUUAUAGACCAUACAAAUUUCAUGUAAGCUUAUGCUGAUGACUCGGAUAGAUGAUGGACUAUGUAGUUCCUCAGGUUCCUUCACCUUUUUGAUAUUAGCCUCAAAGCAAGCUUGGUCUAUUAGGGAUAAAUGUUACAUAAGAUUUAGUUAUCUUAGCUAAUGAGUCUGAUUAUUUGUUUUUAGAAAAAGGAUGAUAAACAAUAAACAAGUCUACAAAAAUCUACUCUUCAAUCUUGAAAGUUUUUUUAUCUCCAUUGGAAAGUUUGGCCCUGCUUAUAAAUCUUGUAUCAUCGAGACGAGGUCCUUGCAAUUUGUACUAAAGUAUUGGCACAACAACAUUUGUAACAUGCAUUCGAUAGCCCAAGAAAUGGCCAUAAGCUCUAAAUGUAUCGGUAACACACUUCUCGUCUGAUUUUUAGCUCCUCAAAGUUGAAUUUUUCAUGUCGAAUUUGUCUAAGCCCAUCCAAAACCAAUAAAGAGUUAUUCAUGAGUCCAUGAUUUAUAAACCAUACAAAUUUCAUGUAAGCUUAUGCUUAUGGCUCGGAUAGAUGAUAGACUAUGUCGUUCCUCAGGUUCCUUCACCUUUUUGAUAUUAGCCUCAAAGCAAGCUUGGUCUUCCAUUUCGGCAUGCCUAAUAGUGUCUACGGAAUGCCUGUUAAUUCCUUUGAACAAUUUAUCAUUUUGCGCUUUUCAGAUAUACAAAAUAUCUAUAAGUAAGUGUUUCUAUCCAUUUCUGGAUAUAUACACAUGAAAUAGGGAAUACCAUUGGGUAAGAAGGUAUUGCUGCUAAUACCCAAGUUUAAAAAGUGGGUAGACAAUAAAAUAGCAUGGUUUAUGAAUUCAUCUUUUACUCUGGAUCUAAAACAUUGAUUAUCAUAUUUCAUAUGGCCGUGUUAAAUUCAUGGUUGCAUACAGUUUAACUACCGUGUUCAGUUACCAAUCGGACCCACUAUAUAGUAUUGUUUCCCUUCUUCGUUUAUCGACGUUAGCGUUAACAGUGUACUCAUUGCUCACAACUAAGUAGCUCAUAACUUGUAGUAAUAGUUACUAAAUGUGAUCUUAUUAAUUAACUGAAUCAAACUAAGCGAAUAAUUAGGAGUUCCACUAACAUUAAAGAUUUGGUCAUGUGUCUGAUUUGUCGUCUCCCAAUUAUGUAUGCAAAUUUUGUGGGAAACCUCGUUAUCAGGAGACGAGGGGAAGAGUUCCGAUCCCAUUCAAAAGAAUGUGGUAUUUGCCUUUGACGGAAAGAUUGAAGAGGUUGUAUCAGUGUGAGCGCACAGCAAAAGCAAUGAGAUGGCAUGCAGAGCAUUCCACAAAUGGUGAGAUUAGACAUCCUUCAGAUGCAAAGGCUUGGAAACAUUUCCAGUCAACAUAUCCAGAAUUUGCGGAAGAGAGAAGAAAUGUUUAUCUUGGAUUAUCUACUGAUGGUUUCAGCCCAUUUGGAAAGCAUGGAAGGCAGUAUUCUCUAUGGCCAGUUAUUGUGACACCGUACAACUUACGGCCGAGCUUGUGCAUGCGACGAGAGUUUUUGUUUCUCUCAAUUCUAGUCCCCGGGCCAGAUCAUCCUAAAAGAUCACUAGAUGUAUUUCUUCAACCACCAAUAUAUGAGUUGCAACAACUAUGGGCGCAUGGUUUUGAGACAUACCAUGUUUCGCGCAAAGAAAACUUUCAGAUGCGGGCAGUACUUAUGUGGACAAUAAGUGACUUUCCAGCAUAUGGUAUGUUAUCUGGAUGGACAACACAUGGGAAGCUAUCAUGUCCAUAUUGUCAAGAUGACACAGAUGCUUUCCAACUAAAGAACGGAAGGAAAACGUGUUGGUUUGACUGUCACAGACGAUUUCUACCACCUGAUCAUCCAUACCGCAGGAGUAAGACUUCGUUUACGAAGAACAAGCAGGUGUUUGAUGGUCCACCUGAGGAAGUUAGUGGGAAAGAUUUGUUGAAGCAGUUUAGGUAUUUUGAUGCAGAAAGGACGCCAGAUGUAGGUGGACAUGAAAACAUUCGAGUCAAUGCGGUUGGAGAGCUACAUAACGGGCAAAAAAAGAGUAUUUUCUGGGAUCUGCCAUAUUGGGAGAGUCAUCUAUUGCGGCAUAAUUUAGAUGUCAUGCAUAUUGAGAAGAACUUCUUCGAUAAUCUGAUGAACACAGUCCUUAACAUCCAAGGUAAAACGAAGAAUAAUUUGAAGUCAAGGUUGGAUUUAGUCGAUAUUUGUGAUCGUUCUGAACUUCACGUUGAUGAGAACGGUACGGCUCCUUUUCCCAUUUAUCGGCUGGAUGGUGCUAGAAAAGAAGAGUUCUUUGAUUGGAUUACAGAGAAAGUGAAAUUUCCUGACGGAUAUGCAUCAAAUUUGGGGAACUGCGUUGAUAGAAGCGAAGGAAAGUUUACUGGCUUGAAGAGUCAUGAUUGUCAUGUAAUUAUGCAGCGCCUCCUUCCGUUUGCNNNNNNNNNNNNNNNNNNNNNNNNNNNNNNNNNNNNNNNNNNNNNNNNNNNNNNNNNNNNNNNNNNNNNNNNNNNNNNNNNNNNNNNNNNNNNNNNNNNNNNNNNNNNNNNNNNNNNNNNNNNNNNNNNNNNNNNNNNNNNNNNNNNNNNNNNNNNNNNNNNNNNNNNNNNNNNNNNNNNNNNNNNNNNNNNNNNNNNNNNNNNNNNNNNNNNNNNNNNNNNNNNNNNNNNNNNNNNNNNNNNNNNNNNNNNNNNNNNNNNNNNNNNNNNNNNNNNNNNNNNNNNNNNNNNNNNNNNNNNNNNNNNNNNNNNNNNNNNNNNNNNNNNNNNNNNNNNNNNNNNNNNNNNNNNNNNNNNNNNNNNNNNNNNNNNNNNNNNNNNNNNNNNNNNNNNNNNNNNNNNNNNNNNNNNNNNNNNNNNNNNNNNNNNNNNNNNNNNNNNNNNNNNNNNNNNNNNNNNNNNNNNNNNNNNNNNNNNNNNNNNNNNNNNNNNNNNNNNNNNNNNNNNNNNNNNNNNNNNNNNNNNNNNNNNNNNNNNNNNNNNNNNNNNNNNNNNNNNNNNNNNNNNNNNNNNNNNNNNNNNNNNNNNNNNNNNNNNNNNNNNNNNNNNNNNNNNNNNNNNNNNNNNNNNNNNNNNNNNNNNNNNNNNNNNNNNNNNNNNNNNNNNNNNNNNNNNNNNNNNNNNNNNNNNNNNNNNNNNNNNNNNNNNNNNNNNNNNNNNNNNNNNNNNNNNNNNNNNNNNNNNNNNNNNNNNNNNNNNNNNNNNNNNNNNNNNNNNNNNNNNNNNNNNNNNNNNNNNNNNNNNNNNNNNNNNNNNNNNNNNNNNNNNNNNNNNNNNNNNNNNNNNNNNNNNNNNNNNNNNNNNNNNNNNNNNNNNNNNNNNNNNNNNNNNNNNNNNNNNNNNNNNNNNNNNNNNNNNNNNNNNNNNNNNNNNNNNNNNNNNNNNNNNNNNNNNNNNNNNNNNNNNNNNNNNNNNNNNNNNNNNNNNNNNNNNNNNNNNNNNNNNNNNNNNNNNNNNNNNNNNNNNNNNNNNNNNNNNNNNNNNNNNNNNNNNNNNNNNNNNNNNNNNNNNNNNNNNNNNNNNNNNNNNNNNNNNNNNNNNNNNNNNNNNNNNNNNNNNNNNNNNNNNNNNNNNNNNNNNNNNNNNNNNNNNNNNNNNNNNNNNNNNNNNNNNNNNNNNNNNNNNNNNNNNNNNNNNNNNNNNNNNNNNNNNNNNNNNNNNNNNNNNNNNNNNNNNNNNNNNNNNNNNNNNNNNNNNNNNNNNNNNNNNNNNNNNNNNNNNNNNNNNNNNNNNNNNNNNNNNNNNNNNNNNNNNNNNNNNNNNNNNNNNNNNNNNNNNNNNNNNNNNNNNNNNNNNNNNNNNNNNNNNNNNNNNNNNNNNNNNNNNNNNNNNNNNNNNNNNNNNNNNNNNNNNNNNNNNNNNNNNNNNNNNNNNNNNNNNNNNNNNNNNNNNNNNNNNNNNNNNNNNNNNNNNNNNNNNNNNNNNNNNNNNNNNNNNNNNNNNNNNNNNNNNNNNNNNNNNNNNNNNNNNNNNNNNNNNNNNNNNNNNNNNNNNNNNNNNNNNNNNNNNNNNNNNNNNNNNNNNNNNNNNNNNNNNNNNNNNNNNNNNNNNNNNNNNNNNNNNNNNNNNNNNNNNNNNNNNNNNNNNNNNNNNNNNNNNNNNNNNNNNNNNNNNNNNNNNNNNNNNNNNNNNNNNNNNNNNNNNNNNNNNNNNNNNNNNNNNNNNNNNNNNNNNNNNNNNNNNNNNNNNNNNNNNNNNNNNNNNNNNNNNNNNNNNNNNNNNNNNNNNNNNNNNNNNNNNNNNNNNNNNNNNNNNNNNNNNNNNNNNNNNNNNNNNNNNNNNNNNNNNNNNNNNNNNNNNNNNNNNNNNNNNNNNNNNNNNUUGAAUAAAUCUCAUAGGAGUUGGCAUGAAGAAGUUAUCCCACUUUCAAAUCAGGUGAUCCCAGUUUCCCAGUUUGGGAAUAACACAGCUUCUUCUCUACAAUUUUGAUACAAAGGUUGUUUUCCUGCAUCCAACAUGUCAAAAAAUCUCCUAGACUCGGGGUUUGGUUCUUCCCCUCUAUAAUGAUCAUGUACCAUCUGCUCAGUACCUACACCAUAAUCUAUAUCCGUUCUAGAUUCUUCUAACCUAAUAUCAGGCUGAGGUUCACUAACAGGCUGAGGUUCGCUAGUACUACCAUAUUCAUAACCAGUUUCCCCAUGAAGGUACCAAACUUUAUAAUUACGUGAAAACCCUUUCAUAUACAAAUGAGUCCAAACAUCAAAUUCUUUUAUAACCUUAUUAUUAUUGCAAGAAGAGCAGGGACAUCUUAACAUACCACUUUUUGCAUCCGGUUGCUGUUGAACAAGCCUCAUGAAUUCUCCAAUCCCUUGAACGUAUUCUUCCGUAAGCAAAUUGGUGUUCGGAUCCAAAUGAGGUUUAUCCAUCCACGAACGAUAAUAAACUUCUGAAGACAUGAUUUUCACGGAAUUGUUAUGACUAAAGAGAAUGAAGAGAGAAUGAAGUGUGAAUGAGAUGAAUGAAGAGGGGUUAUAUUUAUAGGAAAUUGCUUACGGACCUCCGAUGACUUUCCGACGGAUGUAAGCAGUCCGUCGGAAUUCCGUCGGAAUUGUCCAAUCUCAUAGUUCGUCGGAAUUCCGUCGGUAUUUUCCGAUGGAAUUCCGACGACUUUGCUCUUAAUCGGAAUGUCGUCGGAAAUUCGUCGGAAUAUACCGACGAACUUCCGACGACUACAACGGUUACAUUUUUUAUCGGAAUGUCGUCGAAAAGUCGUCGGAAAAUUCCGACGAACCAAAUUUGGUCGGAAUUCCGUCGGAAAUGGCCGACGGAAUUCCGACGACUUAAUUUUUUUGGAUUUGGUCGGAAAUUUGUCAGUAUUCCGUCACAAAUUUCCGACGACCUUGGUGUCCGUCGGAACCUCCGUCGGAAUUCGGUGUGUUUUCUUGUAGUGCAAGGAACCAAAAGCAUCGCCUCAAGUGGAGGCCAGCAGUAAAUCAGUAACCAUAUAUACACAUUCAUACAUUUUAAUGCAAGAUAAGAUAAUAGCACUUCUGCCACGUGGCCUUAACAUAGUGGUCAGUAUCGAUAAGGGUCUUAACACCUUUCUUUAAUCAUGUGGCAGUUAACGACGUUAUCAUGAAAUCUGGACCCUCUGGUUAUUAGGGCCUUUUCCUCUUGCGGUUCUCGUUAUAUAUAAUAGAUAACCAAAGCUAUAGACAAACAAGUAAGUUAAGAGAAAAGAAGAAGAAGAAGAAGUAGUAAUGGCUUCCUCUAUGCUUUCCUCCGCUGCUGUGGUUACCUCACCGGCUCAAGCCACCAUGGUCGCUCCAUUCACCGGCUUGAAGUCAUCCGCUGCAUUCCCAGUCACCCGCAAAGCAAACAACGACAUUACUUCCAUUGCAAGCAACGGAGGAAGAGUUAGCUGCAUGAAGGUAAAUAUCACUAGAAUAAUUGCAGGCAUGUCCUUUAUUACACGCAACUGGUGCAUUCGAACAUGAAUCCCAUUGAAAAAUGUAUAUAACGUACCUUGGAUCAAUAAAUGUCCAAAACAAUAUAUACAAACUUGACUUAGUAUUCACCAACUGGAAAUGUGAUUUAAUUUGUAGGUGUGGCCACCAGUUGGAAAGAAGAAGUUUGAGACCCUCUCUUACCUUCCUGACCUUACCGAAGUUGAAUUGGGUAAGGAAGUUGACUACCUUCUCCGCAACAAGUGGAUUCCUUGUGUUGAAUUCGAGUUGGAGGUAAUAAAGAAAAAAUAAUUUUUGGAUCUAAACAUCCUUUAUUAGACCAUGUGAAUUCUUAUUAUGAAUGGUACUCUCAUGUUUGUGUAGCAUGGAUUUGUGUACCGUGAGCACGGAAGCACACCCGGAUACUACGAUGGCCGUUACUGGACAAUGUGGAAGCUUCCCUUGUUCGGAUGCACUGACUCUGCUCAAGUGUUGAAGGAAGUCCAAGAAUGCAAAACGGAGUACCCUAACGCUUUCAUCAGGAUCAUCGGAUUCGACAACAACCGUCAAGUCCAGUGCAUCAGUUUCAUCGCCUACAAGCCACCAAGCUUCACCGGUGCUUAAUUUGCUAUGACAUUCACAUAAUAAUCUCUGCUCAUUUCAUUUCGAAUUGUCUGUUUCUUUUCCCUUUGGUUUUCUGUUUCUCAGACAUUCUAUAUCGGAUUGUCAAAUGUGUGAUUGUGAACAUGUAAUCUCUAUAUUGCUUCUUCGUCUUGGUUACUUUCCGAUGGCUAUUAGGUUUUCAACUCUUAUUGGGAUAGGAAAACAGUCAAAAUAACUUAACAAAACAGGUUAGAUAAUGUUAGUGGUAUAUUUUGUAGAAUAGGAAAACAGCAGUACCUAGGAAUAUAAUUUCAGAUGAAGUUAGUUAGGUCAUCAAAGAUUCAAAUAACAAUCAUUUUAUCUUUUUAUCGUCACAUUCACAAUAGUAUCAUAUACGGGUUUAUGUAUAUUUAAUAUAGAUUACAAUUCAUUCAUAAAAUAGUCAUCAUUUGAUAUUUAACACUUAUUACGUGGACUUUAUGAGAUCUUUUGUACACACUACUGGUACAUUGAAAAUAAGAUACAUGUAUUAUAUAUAUAUAUAAACUACUUCCUAGAUAUCUUUGUUCUUAUUUUUGUUAAUUCUUUUGAAGGAAAAAGAUAAUAAAUUUUCUACUUUUCUAUAAUACCCACACACAUUGUUAACCACUGGGGGAAAGGAUGGUCCACUUGAAAUCUUUGAUGGACACAUUUGUGGACGGUGUGCAUACAUAAGAUAGGGCAUGUGGAUAAGAAUUUAUCAUAAUAUUUAACAAAUACUAAGUGAAAAUCUGCGCCUUGCGGAAGAUGAACAUUAUAAUAUAUAUAUUAUGUAUUAUAUGUUCUUUUACCUUUUAAGAAAUAAUAAAGAAUAAAUAAAAAUUCAUUAACUAUUAUGUAUAUAAUUAAACUGGUAUAAUAAAUUAUAUUAACCAAAACAAUCACUUUCUAUUUUAUAUGAUAUAUAAUUCAAUUUUUAAAUGAUAAUAACAUUUUUUUUUGUCAUCUGUUGGAUUAAUAUUGAAACUUGAACAAAGGUUACAUUAAGCCGGCAAGACAAAGAUUCUUCCGGAGCCAGUAGCCAGCAUAGUAAACAAUACUAUCUGGAGCCAAAGAUUAAAAUAUAGAAAACAACACAUAAACUAGAAGACACAGACCAUAAAGGCAGAUGACUACAAACAUCUAGACGAGACUCAAACCCAUUCAUACAAGAAACAAACCGGACUGUUAGCUAAUAGAUAACCGUUGCUGUAGACUGCGCCUCCUCCUCCUCCUCUACGCCUGUACUCCACUGACCUCCUCCAAUUCCAACUUAAACUCGCCACUGGACUUUGAAAGGGCUCAGCACGCGCCUUCUACGCGCCUCCACACCACAGCAAGGCCACCCAAGCCUUACUUAACACGAUUCUUCUCCAUACAGCCGGUAACCACUAGCCAACCACCACAGGCCAUAGAUCUGACAAGAUCGAUGUCUGUUGCGUCCAGAUCUGAAUCUCUUCACUUCAAUCCGAAGACAUGAAGCUUCUAUUCAGAUUUGAGACCAUCGAAAACUAAAAAGAGAAUAAAACUAGAAGAAACAUGCAACCACCUUCUCACGGAACCAACGGCGAGAGGCCGCGGCCGGAGAAGGUGAAAAGACGACGACUCUGCUUUUUUUUUUCACUCGCUCUGCCCUUUUUUUCACCAGUAUCAAUGUCCAAAAAAAAUGAUAAUAACAUAUAUAUAUAUAUAUAUAUAAUUUAUUUUUAAUAUUGAUAUCUAUUAAAUGAUGUUUUUACUCAUAAGGUUUUUUGAUCAUUUGUAUAUUUUUAUAACCAAAAACUUUAAAUCGUUGAUAACAAAAUUUUCACUCUGAAAUUAAUAAUUUUAUUAAUUUAUAUAUUUUUUAAAAAAAUCAAUGAAAUAUUUUAAGUUUAAAUAUUAAUUUGUCAAUAGUUGUUCAAAUAUUUAUCAAGAAAAAAAAAUUCAAAACAAAUUUCAAAAUUAAAAUAUUUAUGUAUUCUAUAUGUUAUAUAGUUUAAUUUAAAAGAUAUUAAUAUAUAUAUUUUUUAAUCUUAAUAUUUAUUAAAUCAGAUUUUUUAAUUAAAUUAUUUUGUAAGCAUUUGUAUCUUAUCAUAGGAAAAAUCUUAAACAAUGGAUCACAAUAAUUUGAAUGUGAGAGUUUUGACAGUUUUAAUAAUUGAUGGUCGUUUUAAAAAAAAUAUAUAACAUAUACAGAAAAAUCUAAAUUUUUAUUAUAUGGUUAAUGUGGUCGUUUAAUUUAUUUUAAUAAUUUGAAAUUAAACAAAUAUGAUAGAUGAUACAAUGAUUUUUAUUAAAUCUGUAUUAUUAAUUUUCAUAUAUACUUUAGCCACAUUAGAAAAUUUUGUAAUUUUUAUUUAAGGAAAGAAUGAUGAAUAUUAAUGAUGAAUUAUGAUUAAUUUAAUAAAAAACUUAUUAUAUAUUUAGAUGAACCAAUCUGUUUUUUUAGGAUUCUGAAACUUAUUAUGGUGAUGAUAUGUGUAUACCUCAAAUGUUGUAAUGUUUUUCUUUUAAUAUAUAAGAGAUACACACAUAUAUAUAUAUUUCUUAAUUCUUAAUUGUAGUUAAGUAAAACAUUGCUGCGUUGCAAAUGUGAACUAGAACAUCUACAUAAACAAGACCUUUUAACAACUGAAUAUUUACUGUAAAAUAGAAGUUUGUUUGAAGGAAAAAAGAAAUAUAAUUUAAAAAUAAGAAAAAAUUUCUGGGAAGAACUUGUGAUGCAGGUUUAGGUUUUCUAUACAAGGAGCAUGAGCCUUAUAAAGAAUAAUGGACUUUGGAGAAUAAGAAAACCGAUAGAGAUUUGUGUGCUUGUGUGAUCGAUCGUUUGGUGUCAUUGCUGCCCGCUAGGUGCUAACAAACUUUGAGAGAAUUCUAGAAUUGAAUUCUAGGCUCUUGGGGAUUUUUAGAUUACGAUUAGGUUAUCCUAAUGAGUUCUUGCAAUAGAAAACAACGGCAUUUUAGGAGGAUUGCACUUUCCUUACUUAACACGAUUCUUCUCCAUACAGCCGGUAACCACUAGCCAACCACCACAGGCCAUAGAUCUGACAAGAUCGAUGUCUGUUGCGUCCAGAUCUGAAUCUCUUCACUUCAAUCCGAAGACAUGAAGCUUCUAUUCAGAUUUGAGACCAUCGAAAACUAAAAAGAGAAUAAAACUAGAAGAAACAUGCAACCACCUUCUCACGGAACCAACGGCGAGAGGCACUUUACUCUAGCCUCAUUCACACUUUCAAUUGGUAUCAAAACGAUUUUCCGAUAGGCCUGAGAUUUUGGGUAAUCGGGUCGGUUCCGAGUAGUUUGGUUAUUUGAAAACUGUAUCCAAAUAGUGUUUGGUCGACGUAUGGUUCAGUUUCGAAUCGGUCAAAUUUUUUGAUGAAACUAACCAUAUAUAACCCAAAAAUGGGUAAAUUUUGGUUCGGUUAAAUAUUACCCUAUUUAACUAAAAACUGAAACUAGACUUGUUACCCAAACGACAUCUGAUUAACCAAAAAAAAAAAACUCUAGAAAAUGAAAUGUUAAAUGAAACCAGACUCAUUAAUCAAAGUGUCAAAGCAAAACAAGCCAGGAAAUAAAAUAUAAUUUUCCAACACAGAAAAUGAAACAAACAUAGCUCCAUGAAACAAAGUUUUCAAAUCACACCAGAAACAAAAAAUACUUAAGUCUUAAACAAGAAGAACACAAACUGUCAAAUUACUUGAAAUAUUGUCUUUUUAGCACCAAAUGAGUCCCAGAGUUCACUCCUUACUCUAUGUUGUAUUCAGUUUCAAACUCUAGGAAAAAACAAAGAAUACCAUAAGUGUUCAAAACUUCAAUAAUCAAGAUUAUAUUUGGAAGUUCUGAUCAUGACACAUUGCAACCAAACUCUAGAAUCAGCGUAAGUCUAGUUGAAGAUUAGAAAAUUUUAACUCGUUGUCGAUUUUACCGAGUUUGGAAAUGAUGCUGUUGUACACUUCAAGUCAGAUGCUGAGGUUGGAGAGUUUGACGAAGAUUCGGAUUCAUGUCCGUCUGAUUAUUCUUCGGAUUUUGGGUAGAUUAACGUAUUUAGAAAAUCUGUAAUCAUAUAUUUAACUUUCAAUUGUGUAGUUUUUUUAUUUAUUGGUUGUUGGAGUUGAAUAAAAUAGUUGUAUUUUUUUGGUUGUUGGACUUAAGAAAUUUACAAUGUAUUCGAAAAUUAUUUAAUAUUCAAAAAUUUCUUUAUUUUGUUGGUAUUCUGUCGGUAUAUUCCAACAGAAUUCCAAUGAAAACACUUAUAUUGGGGUUUCGGUUUGGGGUUUCAUUUCCAUCGGAAUUAUACCAACGGAAUUGACCAAUGUCGUCGGAAUUCUGUCGGAAUAUUCCGAUGGAAUUCCAGCGAAUAAAUGUUUUCGAUAUGAUUCAGUUAAUAUUAAUGUAAAACCGGAUACCUAUGAGGUCAAAAACACAUAUUAAGUGUCUAAUAGGAUGUGAGUUAAAAAGCAUUCCAUUUUUACAAGUUAUAAAAUCCUCUACAAAUAUAUCCGCGGAUAUGUAAUAUCUCCCAUAAGCAUUUAUAUACUUAAAAAACAUAUUUCGAGAAUCCAACUUACAAUAUCAAUUAUUUGUAAUAUGAUCUCGUAUAAACAAUUAUAUACUUAAACAUGCAGAUAACUCCUUCUAAGUUAUCAAAAAGUUAUAAGAGUUUAUUGUGGGUCAAAUUUCAAUUGUUUUGAAACCCCCUCUCAUUUUCAUUGUAAAUUCAUUGGAAUAUACUGGCAAAAUUCCGAUGGAUCUAUUUUUCAACCAAUUGAAAAGCAUGCAGAGAAUAUGCUAUAUUCGUCAGAAUUUUAAAAGUAUUUUUCUGAAAAACUUCUGACGAAUAUAGCAUAUUCUUGUUUCCGACUUGGUCAGUUGACCAAUUAACAAAAAGUUCGACGAAAAAUAUAGGGUCAUUGUAAUUUCGUCGGAAUUUUAAUGUACCUGGGAAAAGGAACAGCCAAAAUUUUCGUGAACUGCCAAAUACCAAAAUAUUUUGAUGGAAUUCUGACGACCCUUUUCCGUCAUAAAUGUUUUAUAUAAAAAAACAUAUUUGCCUUCUUCUUCUUCUUCCUCAUUCCCCUCUCUCUCUCUCUCUCUAAUCCAGCGAGUGUAAACAUAUAUAACUAUUAAAUGAAUUUAGAAAACAAACUGUUUAAUAUAGCCAAAAAUGAACGUGAGUUUUUAGUUGAAAACCAAAAAAACAUACUAACUCAAAUCUUAACACAUGGUUUUUUUUAUGUUGAAUUACCACUUAAUUUGUCAAUUUUACCAAAGGAAUACCUCAAAAUUGUAACUCAAAUGUAAUACAUUAUACAUCAAAUAGUAACUCAAAAAUCUAAAAACUAAUCUUAGAUUUAACCCAAACUUAAUCUUAUAAAACAUUGCUUUUGAUGUAAGGAUAAUUUUUUGGAUUAAUAAAAUUUACAUUCAUUAAAAAAAACAUAAAAAUACAGCACUAUCUGACCAGAGAUAAAUAUAAUUGGUAAUCUUGUAUCAUUGCAAUAAAGGCAUCCAAAAUUUCAUUUGGUUGAGAAGUUCGGCUCGGUUCAAAAAAAAGCAGGUUUAUAAAAAAAAAUUGGUUUUUGGCUCGUUCAGUUCGGUAAUCGGUUAGAUCGGUUUCAAAAAAAAAAAUUUGUUCCCAAAUUUCAAUCCGAACUAACCUAGCUAACCAAAAUUUCGAAUCGAAGUAACCAAGCAACCUAAAAUUACUCAAAAUUUUGAACCGAACUAAUAGAAUUAACCAAAAUAUUGGACCAAAUUAACCAGACUAACAGAAUUAACCGAAUUAACCAAUUUUACCCAAAUUUUUAACCGAAAUAUAAUCAGAAUCAAAAACUUUAGUUAGUUUCGGUAAAAUUUUAAAAACCUAACUACCCAAAUACCAAACUGAACUGAACUUUUUUUAUGUUCGACAAGAUUUUAGUCGAACCGAACUACCUGAAUCUGCAGGAAGUUACCCAUCACAGAUAGAUGCACAAAGCAUUACCUAAAAACGUUACAUUUAGUGUUUUGGUACCACUUUUAUUGAUUUAGUUUAUAGUUUUUAACUAUUAAGUAACAGUUUUUAUACGGUUUUAACUUACCAAUCGGACCCACUAUUCUUUUGUUUUUGUUCGUUUGAGUAUGGACAUGACCAUUACAGUAGUCUCAUUACUCAUAAGUUAAUUAGUACGACAUACAUGUAUAAUUCAAGUACAUUUCGUAUAGUAAUUUCAAUUGUGAAUUUAAUAAUGAACCUAAUCAAAUUAAGCGAAAUUAAUUCAUAUAAAUAGAAGGUCCGCGAACAUUGAAAUGUAGAUCAUGCGUCAGAAUUGUCCUCUCUCAAUAGGAAAGAGCCAAAAGCAUUGGCUCAAGUGGAGACGAGUAAACCAUACACAUUCAUACGUUUUCUUACAAGAUAAGAUAAGAUAAUGUUAUUUCUACACCUUUCUUUAAUCCUGUGGCAGUUAACGACGACAUCAUGAAAUCUUGAUCCUUCGAUCAUUAGGGCUUUAUACCUCUUGCGCUUCUCACUAUAUAUAGAUAACCAAAGCAAUAGACAGACAAGUAAGUUAAGAGAAAAGAAGAAGAAGAAGUAGUAAUGGCUUCCUCUAUGCUCUCCUCCGCUGCUGUGGUUACCUCACCGGCUCAAGCCACCAUGGUCGCUCCAUUCACCGGCUUGAAGUCUUCCUCUGCAUUCCCAGUCACCCGCAAGGCCAACAAUGACAUUACUUCCAUCGCUAGCAACGGAGGAAGAGUUAGCUGCAUGAAGGUAAAUGUCACUAGAAUAAUUGCAGGCCUGUCCUUUAUUACACGCAACUGGUGCAUUCGAACAUGAAUCCUAUUGAAAAGUGUAUAUAACGUACCUAGGAUCAAUAAAUGUCCAAAACAAUAUAUACAAACUUGACUUAGUAUUCACCAAUUGGAAAUGUGAUUUAAUUUGUAGGUGUGGCCA
rnacentral:lncRNA from 1 species